GUAUAUAUAGGUCUGGACCAUAUACGAGGAUAUCAACGUCUUCUUUCCUUAACAAAUGUAUACUAGAACUGUGGACAGUGAUGGAAGUCAAGACUUACUAGUUCAAAAGAUCGAAUCCAUGUUUUUUAUAUCUUCAAAGCAACUAGGGAAGUUAGAUUCGUGCCAUUACAAAACAAGAUGAAAGGUUAACCUCCAAUUUCUAAUCCAGAAAAUUGCAGUGUCAUCCCACAUUGGUUGUUUGAGGAAGGCAGUAGCGAUGUCAAAGAUUUCUGAAAAGGAAGGAAAAUAAAGCAGUUUUGAGGAGAAAAUAAUGCUCAUGAUUUAGAUCUUGAUACAAUACUGAUAUCGGUGAUUCAUCAUGAAGAUACUGCAUCGGGUGAAUAUCGAUCGGUAUAUUGACAUGUAUUACAUCCCUUAUAUUAAGAUCGCAUCUUCUUCUUCCUUCUCUAUAUAAAGGUCUAAUCCUCAACACCUACAGACAGUGAGAGAGAGCAUUUUAAGUACAAAGAAGGUCUAAUCCCUAAUAAGGAUCAGAACACCUACAGACUCAGAGAGAGUGAGAGAGAGAGAGAAUUUAAAGUAUAAUGUUGAAUUCCAGUGAUCAUGUCAGUCUUAGAGAUGUGGUCAUCAGCCAUACCAUCAAAGAGAACACUCCACAUAUUUCACUGUAUCAACUCCAACAUUUCCUGAUCAAAGGACAACCUCGAAGCUUAAAAGAAGCACAGCGAAAGGAGUUCUAUUUCUGCUGGUUAGAUGUACUUCUGAUCUACCAGCAGAACUCAUAAGCAAAAAACUAUGGCUUCUUUUUCUGUAGAAGAAAGCAGCUGAAUGCUACUAAAUGAGAACCUCUCAGGCUAAAAUUCUAAGCAAAAUAUAACUGGCCACAACAAGAAAAAUAUAUAACAUCAUAGUCGUGUAGAUCAACUGCUGAUGUGAUAAUCUUCAUAGCUUUACUUGGGCCCCUAUAGUUGAAUGGAAGAAACCUUUUGUGUGCACUGAAAUAGAGUGCAGUUGACAUAAGAUUUCAUUCUUCACUACAUUAUAGGAAACUUGAUAUCUAUUUACUACAUUAUGAGACAGAGAAGUUGGAGUGUCUUACUGUAGUACAUUGAAAUGAAAUUAAUGGACUUUCACUGGUUUAUAUCAUCAGUAUAGUUCUCAUUUAUCUUUCUUUGACAGUAUCAUGCAAUUAAUGGAAGAAGACUAUUUUGGUACACUUAAGGUCGCAGUUAAUUGUUUUUGAUAUAUAUUGUUGUAAGAAGAUAUAGUUAUGUUGUGAGCCUUAACAUACAUUAGGUGCUUGUGCUAUAAAUUCUGAUAGUAACUGAGUGUUGGAUCAUAGUAUCUUUAUCAAUUUUGGAUGACUGCAUUAGCAAAUCCAUUCUAAGAUUUUGGUGCAAUCCAAUACUUGAUGGGACAUACACUGAGUUAUCAAAGGGAUAGGAGAUUGGUAUUACUACUAGAGAGAUCUAAGUUUCAUAACUGGGUUUUCCUUUUACUUGUAAGUAAAUUAUAAAGCAUGUUGACUAAGCAUUUGGGAGUCAGGACUCUAAAUAGGUAAGUUGUUCUUGGUGUGCUACCUUCAAGCCAUCCAAAAUACCAUGACACUCCAGAUGAAGGGAGUUGUUUGCUUCAAGCUAAAAUCAAAUUGAUUAAAAUCGAAAUUAAAUCAAGUUAAUAGUUUGAUGAUUUUGAACUGACUAUGGCUCCAAUUCGGUUUCGAAUAGAUUUAAAAAAUAAAUUUUUUUUGAUAAAUCAUCACAUGUCAUCAUGAUGAAUUAUCUAUUUUGGAUUGAUCUAUAUAAUUUUAUCAUAAUUUUGAUGGUAAAUAGUGAUGCUAGUGCAGGACAUUGAAUGUGCUUAUCGAUACUGAUACCUCGUGAGCUUUUCUUCUGGUACCAACUAAUAAGUUUAUCAUUUGUUGUUAGAGCGAAAUCAUCUAUUUUAUAUAAUUGUGUAUGAUUUUAUCCUUUUGAAAUGAAUCUAAAAUAUGUUUUUGGGAUGUCACAGACAAACUUCUAAUGUAAUGCUUAUGUAUGUCUGUAUCUUUUGGUAUAUUCAUGCUUUGCACAACAUGUAGAGGGACGACCAAAGACUUAAUAGUUCUAUUUUAGUUGAGUUUGGUGGUCGCUUUAGGCUUGUAAAUAAAGUUUGUGUCAUGUGGACACUUGUGAGAGAUUUUCGAUCUGUAAUGGAUCAUUUUGACCCUUUGUUAUAUAACUGUUCAGAGCUUGUAAAGUAUGUUUGUAAUUUGCAUUGUCUAUGAAGUGUUUUCGGAAAUGUUUGAUUGUGGAUCCCGAAUGAGACGUUUUCUCUAUCUCGUUUUCUCUUUUGUAGAUUCUAAGGGACCAUGAGAGGCUUCGGGGAGGCUGACAUUUGCGAACGGACACGCAAGGGUGUCACACAACUUAGGUAAAACCAACUAAAUCCUUGACAAAGAGUAAAGGAUGAUAUUGACACUAGAAUAAGGGCUCGUGAAAUCUUGACUCCCUAUUAGGAUACAGAUAAGCACAUUUAGUCUCAUAUCAAUUAAAAAGCACGGAAACAAAGACGUUAUAAAUACUAACAUCUCUUUUUUUAUAUUCAAAGAUAGUCUUUAGGAUUUAUGGAUAAAAUCAUACGUAACGAAUAAUUUCCCGUGAUAACGAGUGAUGAUUAAUUUCUCAGGUUCCGAAGUAGAUACAAAAUUACCUCGAAAUUAUUUUAGUAUCAAUUCUAAUUUUAAAGAGCCAUCAAAUCCGAUACCAUAGUGAGGAACGGGUUAUAGAUUCAAUACCAGUGUAGGUAAUGGACAGUGGUAUGAACUCAAAUUGACUUUGGAGUUGACAAAGUGGCCGGAGUUCAUAUCCAAUCAGACUUUUCAUAUCUAAUUGGAUGAACAACACCAUCAGUUUAAUGCAAGAAAGCCCCAAUACACUGUAGAAUUGUAUGUCUGUGCCAACCAUGAAAUAAUAGCUUCUUAGCAUAAGCAUUAUUUAUUGGGCUUUGCGAUCGCAUCUCGUGACUUGUCAGAUUUAGUACACAUCCCAACUUUGAGGUGUUCCGUUGUCGCCUCAGACGAAGCGAAGGACUCGAUGGAGUCGUCCGUGAUGAAGGCAAAGCAAUCAAACAAGGCAGAGUCGAUGAGAGAAGGUGGUCGGGACGGCGCAGAGGAUGCAGGAGGCGGCCAAGGAGACGACAGGAAGGACGACGACGACGACGCAACCGUGUGCAAGUGGAGGCAACGAAGCACGGAAGGAGUGUGUGAGAGGUUGACUUGUCACAUGUGGGAACUACAGAGAAUGGUUAUCUACAGACGUUUCGAAAGGAGGACUUCGAUUCAUGUCACUUUCGAUCACGCGAACUCCGGCGGAGGCGGCAGGUUGAGAUCCAAAUCGAAGCGAAUCGUGUCCGUCGGCCAGACGGAUGUUGGGGAGCGAGGACAAUCCACCACCGAGGACGAGUCUGAGUCGCUCUCCACCCCGCCACAAGCCGGCCCUCUGAAAUCCCUAACCGCCGCCGAUUUCUUGGCAGCAGCGAUCAGGUCCGAGUGCGGGAAGGGGGACAGGGAGGACGGCCGCCGCAGCGCGAGAUUUAGCGGCGAGGGACCGACGGCGGGCCGCCUCGAGGAGGUGGACGACUCGAUGGUGCUGUUGCUGGGGCUGGCUGGCGCCGCCGUUCCGGCCGCUAAUCCGGUGGCGCAGGCGAGGGAUUCGGCGGGACAGGGAAAGUUGGUCUUGGCUUUGGGGCCACGGAAUCGGCAGGCGGCGGCGUCGUAGGCGCGGGCGGCCUCCUCGGCGGUGUCGAAGGUGCCGAGCCACACGCGGCACUUCUUGGCCGGGUCCCGGAUCUCCGCCGCGUACCGCCCCCAUGGCCGCUUCCGGACGCCCCGGUAGUGCAUCCCCUUCCGGUCUCCGCCGCCGCAUCCCUCGCCACCGGGGUUGCAAGCCUUCGCCCUCGGAGCCAUCGCAGAGUGUGUAUCCCUUCUUCCUUGGAUCGAGAGGGAGGGAUGAGUGGUCGGAAUACACGGCGGGAGAUCGUUAUAUACAGAGGCGGAGAGAGAAGGAGAGAGGAAGGAGCGGUGGGACUUGCGGAAUGGGCAACGAUGGCGCGACGUGGCACGCGGCGCGAUUAGGUGGGACGGCGCGGUCUCCCUGGAGGCGCGUUUGGAACGACGGGAGGAAGGCGGCCGUCAAGUUGAAAGCGGUGACGGCGUGAGUGCGGCUGACCUGGUCGUGGCGUUACUCGAACGCGUGUAGGGUGCGACGUGGACAACCUUCCGUCGCGAGAAACCAACCUCUCGCAUCGUGGGCUCCACAUGUGAAUCUGAUUCCGACUCGAGUCACAAUUGUCGGUCGCGGUCAACACGCGUUGUAAGCGCUUGACAGGUGGCUCGGCGUAGUGCAUGUUGCGGAAUAGUCUGCGGUUAGCCACGCGGAACUCAAUGAGAGUAAUAAUAAUUAGAUUACUUUAUUAUAUGGUUUCUGGUAUUUUAUUAGAUUACAGUUGUCAAUUGAUAGAUCAAUUAAAUGUUAAAGUUACUAAUUAGACGACUCUAAUUCAACGAAGGGUAAAAAUACGUUCACGUUUUAGGCUCUUAUUCUCAGGUGAUGUUACCAUUUUACGUUACCAGUGUACAGUAGCUUUCCUUUCAAAUCCCCUAUCGUAGUACUACAGUAACAAUGAGGAGCCAUCUCAGGCCGCUUUGUUUCCUUGGAGUCACUGGUGAUGCGCCAUGUCCGCGUAGCCGAUCCCCUUGCGGGUGGUGGGGAAGACCAUGAACACCACGCCCGACAAGAACGCAGCUCCCAGCGGCAGGUUCACGAGGAGCUGCCUCGUGUUUGGGCUUGCCUCCGGGAAGAAGCAGUUGAGCACGUCGCUGUCACUGAAGGCCAGCGUCAGGAACACCACCACCGCGAACAGCGCGUGCACGCCGUCCAGCACCCGCAGCCGGUAUCUCCUCAGGUCCUUCAGCACCCCGCUCCGCUGUCCCUCCUCCCCGUCGUAGUUGAGCACGUACAUCCCCCGCAGCGUCGCCACCCCGUAGUACAGCUUGCCGUCGCCGCCCUUGAGGCUGUCGGUGAAGGAGAGAGCGGCGCAGGCGGCGGCGCAGAGCUGUAUCAGGGCCGCGGUGAGAUACUUGUUGGAGGUGUGGCACAUGCCCCGGUUGGAGAAGGGCGGCGAGAGUGCUUGGAAGGCCAGGACGGUGCCGCUGGGCAGGAGCUUCACCAGGUUCGCUGCGCUCGACAGCGUCUUGUCGACUACCACCGGCGGCUGAGCUCCGUUCCCCGACUGCGACUCCGCUCCUUUCUCAUACCGAGUCGCAGAUGGUUGAGGCGCCAUUGAUGAACUGAGACACUCUCUCGAUGAAAUCUUAGUAGAGGCAAAUGAGGCAACAUGGAAGGAUAUAUAGAACAAACAGUUAUCCUAAGCACGAUGGGAGUUGUGUAUGGAGAAGAAGAAUGAUGCGAUGGUGUGAUGAGAGGAGUAAUUGGAGGAAUUGGAACUGCAGUCACAGAUGCGGGAGAAGGUUAGGUUGCAACGGUCUUGCGUAGGAGAAGGCGGGAACAUGUGUUACGUGAAGAAGAUGUGCUGAAACAACUCAUGCAUGAAUCGAGUCCGUCAAGACAAGAAGGAAACCAUGCACGAGGAUGAGGCAAUGAAGAUGACUUGUGGACUAUAGAUACACAGAGAUGGAAGCGAAUCAGCUUGUUUCCACCAUCUAUGAUAUGCCAUGGGUCAUUAAAACGCCGUUGUUGUUAACGGUGAAUGAUGGAUUUAUGUAGAUAAGACUGAUGCAUCAAUCUCCACUACAGGAAACAAAAUGCAAUACAACCAUUUCCAUGUAUCAAUUACCCAACAAAAAAUUUAUCUACAAUAAUACCAACCUUGAACUACUAGCAAACUCAUCCAACGGAUAUGGGCAUUCAUUAAGUCAGCUGAAAGCUUUUACCUUCAAGUAAAAAACAGAAAUCUACAGAAAAAGAUCAGAACCAAAAAUUCAGACGGGCACGCAACAACUAUAGAGAUAUGGUCACAAGGAACCAUCAGCCAUUGUAAUAAAGACCUGUAUCAUGCUUAAAACGAAUUAACAUUAAAUCACAAAUAUAAUACCUGAGAAAUGGAUAAAAACCAAAACAAAUUGGGGACAUAAUUGCAAAUGCUGCAAAAUCAGGCAAAUAAAAAAUAAUCUUUUAUCCGAGGAGAAUCAAGAAUGUCUUGGAUCCUAUUUACAAUGCACAGGUUCGAUUGUAUGCACAGACAGGACAGGUACCACCGAAUUGUUUAUUUUUCUAGGAGUAAACCUCGGUGGACCAGUAUUAGUAAUUCUCAGUAUUAGUACAACUGAUUGGUGUCUAGCUUUUACAAGCUUGCCUCCACCAUGCUCUAGCAUAUCUUGGUAGCAACAAAAGUUCUGAUAAACCAGAUUUGGGCUCUUAGAAACUACAUACAGGAAGGUAAAGCUGACUUGUGCAGAUGCCAAUAUACAUAACAUACAAACUGCCUAGAAGGUUAGACUACCAACAGCAAUAAAAGAUAAAUUCUUGAUAAAACGAUAAUAUGGGCUUUCAUGUAAGUAGAGUCCAUGAUGAUGCUUCUCGAUCACUUUCUUAAGAAAAGCAACCUAAUAUCAGCGGCUGUUACCUGAAAAUCAAAAGAACCAAGAAACUUGAGAUGAACGACACUGUAAAUGAAUGAACUAUUGCUUUAGAAACAACCAGCUCAGAUACCUUGUGGCCCUCAAAGUUUCAAAUUGAUAAAACAUAAAUUUUUUGAUGGCUUCUCCUAGGAUGAUAGUACAUAAAUGAUAAUUUACCUUUAUGACUACCAUUAUACCCAACUACCACCGAUAAUUCAGAUCUGCCAUUAACAAUGGUGCUGCAUGCCAAGUGAGAUCACAAAACUGGCAAAUAGAAGAAAAUGAAGGGCAGCCAGAUUUUGCCAUCUUUCUCCCCUUCCUUUCUUUCCUGUCUCUCUUAUCACUCCUCCACAUUUGGAGAAUGACACAGGUCAAAUAUCAGUCACCACCUCCACAUGUGACCAUAUCAAUCACCACUUCAAGAUAAAGAAGGGAUCUAAUUACGAGGCCAAGGCCUCAUUCAUGGAUUUUUCAUUUGCUAAGGUUUUUAAAUGUCCUAGAUCAAGUUGAAUAUGCAUAUGAAACAGACACCUGUCAAACUCGCAAUUUAUUAAGAGAUACCUGUUGUUCUUUGCAGUUUCUGUGCUUUCUGGCCGUGCAAUUCUCAUUGAUCUCAACUUGGAAGCCGAUGCUCUAAAAGUGUGUAUUAGAGGCUGAUCCGCUUCUUCAUCGUCAUCCUCUUCCUGAUCAUUCUGGUCCGAAUCGCUAAUGGAAUCUUCUUCACUAGAUUCAUGCCCAUCAAAAAGUUUCUUUCCUUCUAGAUUUCUUGCCUUUCUUGGACGUCCUCGUCGUCUUACAACAUUCCCUUCUUUCUCAUCUGCAUUCAAGUAAUAGUUUCAGACUUGUCCUUCAAAUAAUAUGUAUAAAAUGAUUCAAAGUACAGUAACUCUAAGAGAUCUAUAUUGAUGAAGAUCACAUAUUUUAAGGAAAAAUACCAUUUCUAACAUGGAAGCACUGAGGUUCCAAACAGGACUAGUUCAAAGUUAUUAUUCCCUCUACUUUUUAACCAAUAAAUAAUAUACAAAUGUUCUCUCCUUGAAGGGAUCUAUACAAGCAGGAGCAUCAUUAAAGCAGGAAACCACAUAGAAGGCACAGAAAAGCAAUGCUGUCCUCGCACUGCGAAAGCAGGGUUUACACAGCAACAGACCAUGACCUAUGAAACAUGGCAAUCCACAAUAUUUGUUUUCCUUGUGUCCAUGUCAGACAUCAACACAUCACAAACAUUGACACACAUGUCCAGCAGUCCAAAACAUAUCACGAAUAUGUCAUCUACACUUAUUUCUGCUGAUAAUUGCUAUUAUUUAUGACACUUAUAUUGCCCUAUACAUGGUUACUAAGACAUGUCAAACAUGGGCAAUGUGUAACUAUAUUUUGAUGGCUGUGAAAAUCUUCAUGUGUUAUUUUUUUGCAUUUGAAGUGUUUUCUGAACAAUGCUUCUUAUAAGUUGCAUAUAUCAUAAACAUAACCCCUCUGAACCUUAAAAAAGACCAUCUAAUCCCACAAAUUAUACAUCCAUCCGUAAAGAAUAAUCUACAAAGCCCUGGGCAAUUGAUCCUUUCAAAAUAGAGAGAGAAGAACCUAGCAUGGAUCCACUGACGUAUUACUUCAGGAACAUAUAUGAAAGUGAAAUUUACCCUAGCAUGGAUCCAUUGACUAUGCAAGAAAAUUUGAAGAGAAUACCUUGCAAACCUUCAUUCUUUGCAUAUUUCUCCUGCAAGUGGUCAACAAACACGGAAUAUGGCCGCCAACCACUGGGAUCUUCAUCUAUGUUAACAUUCUCUGAUCUCUUCUGGACAUCCUUCAGGCUGUUUGAAAACAGGAUUUAGACCACAGAAUUCACGGUAAUCUAUGAAAAACUGAAACUAUAAAGCAUUGAAGUUAUCAAUUAAAAAAGCAUGCCUUACAUUUCUAGAAUAUCAGAUGUGGGAAGUUUCGAGACAAAUGGCAAAACAGCAGCCUCUAGGAAUGAUAAGUGUUUGGGAGCUUCCAAAAAGGCAUAUGAAAUGCCAUCCUUAACAACAUUUAAAAUUUCUGAUUUAUGCUUAUUUCGAGCUGCACCAGUGAAUGUUGCUGAGAGCCGAGAUGCAAGCUCCUUGCAAUCCGAAUAGGACUUACUCGCUAAGGACUCGUUACUACCAGAGGAAAGAUCCACUGUGUGCCUCUUAUAAGACUAAUCACAUACAAAACCAUGUAGAUUAGCAGUUGAGGAAGAUCAUCAGCCAAAAAAAAUUAUUAAAAAAGAAUAAACAUCUACAAAAAGUGGGGAUACGAAGUUUAUAAAAACAACAAAAAGCUAUCUAAAAUUUACAUAAGACUUGAACAAGAAAUAAAACAGAAACUAAGUAUAUAGAAAAAGCAGUUAGAAAAGAAAAUAAACUGUCCAUUGAUGAGUAAUAAAUGCAUAACCUUGGUUAUUAUAUAUUCAUGAUAUAACUGCUUCAUCUGACAAAUUUUGAAAUAUGCAACUACUUAUAUAUAUACUAACAAAACAUCUUUCAUUUAAUUGCAUAUGUUAACAGAUAUAUCAAAGUGUGUUGAUAUGACAUUAUUCUGAAAAUCUUUGUCAGCCCCAAAUGCAGAAACUUCAGAAAUCAUAAUGUGUUGAUAUGACAUGUAAUUUGGACCAAAGACUUGAUCUCGUAUCAACACCAAUAAACCUCACAUGCAUCAGCCUUAGAUUACUACUAGAAGGGCUGGACAAGCAAAGAAACUGAAUGGCCCAGUUUAAAAUCCUAGUUCUGGACCACACCUAGUUAGGACAUACUUUCAGGGCCCAAACACCAGAUCAGCAGCUUACACGGCAUGAGGUCCCAUCGACACACUAUAGCUACAUGACUAGUACAAACUAUGUCAAACCUAAUAUAAAUACAAUUCUCCCCUGGUUACAUACAAGGCUAGUUCAGCUGUUCAGGCUCUUGGUGAGUUAGUUUGACUAGUAUUGGCCUCAGAAAAGCUUAAUGACAAGAUAAGAUUCAUGUAAAAACCCCAGAUAGUUAGGAACUACACUUGAUCUUCUUGUGCAUGCAAUACCAGAAUCCCUCUCUCAUAAUCCUCGAGUCAUAAAAAUACAAUUCUUCAUUCAAAGAUGUGGGUUCAGUAAAUUAAAAAAACAAGUUUACCAAUGUCAAAGAAAAUUAAUAGAUAUUAACAACAUAUAAAGCAUCAAGCUGAUAAUGGCACCAUACCUACUUGACAUUACAACUAAACUUAGGGCAAUUAAGCAAAAUAAAAUGUCAUUCUUAGUAUGGUUCACCUUACCGGUCCGUACUGGUGUACCGACCAACCAUUGGUAUGGUAUAUAUUAAUGUACCAACAUACGGUACGAUGGGAUGUACCAACAAACCAAUAAAUACUGUCCAUACCGGUCCCCUAUCGAAACGGUAUAUACCGCUCAUAUCGAGCGAUACACCGCGAUAUGAUGAACCUUGAUCCCUAGGCAUAUCUUGUCAUAAACUAAUAAUAGUCAAGAUCCAGCUGAAGAAAGAACACAUUACUCUUUUCAAUGCCUCCAAAAAUAUAGUAGGUAUCUCAUCAUUUGCAGUUUUCCUUAAAGCUGUGAUCAAAUGCUUGAUUAUCUCCGAAAUGCUUGUUCCAUGCAUCACAAAAUGUGAAAAAAUCUCAGGAGCAAGAUAAUCCUGCAAAAUCAUCAAACAUCAGAUUAUGAACUUAAAAUUUAAUUUUAUUAUCAUAAUAGUGUAAGUGGCCCUUAUAAAAGUAAAUUUGACCUCAUAACUAGGUUACCAACCAAUUGAAAAGAUUUGACAUCAUCAAAGUUCAAUAGCAUACUAUGACAACCAUUAGUUAGCCACAACAUGCCAUAGUUGGCAAAGUAAAAUUUAGUUUGGUAAGCCACAAGAAAAUGAGAAACAGGGAAUGCAAUUAAAGAUCUUCCCAAUUGGGGAAAAGGAAAAGUAAAAUCAAGAAAAUAAAAGAGAUUGUCCAGUAGUUAGCGACCAGCCAUUUAAAAUCACAUAAAAUAUAGGUAAAAAAAAUAUCAAGCAUCCAAACUUCAUAUUUAAUUGAUGGGAUCACUGAAUUUUUCAAUUUUCAAUUAGAAGUUUUUGUUUUAUGUAUGGUUCAUUGGCUAGAAGAAACAGCAAUAAAGGCAAUAUUUCCACCUUCCCUUCUUCUCUAGAAAAGUGUAAUAAUAUGAGGAUCAUGAUUUACCAUAUGAUGGAAAUGACGAUGAUGAGGAUAUCAACCACCACGAACCUAUGCCUCUAUAUCAUUUUUCAAAUUUAUUGAUCACCCAUUCAUGGUCUCCUCUAGAGUACCACCCACCCCUUCAUUCAUCCAGCCACGUACUUGAUCACAAUAAAUGAUGAGGACAGUUGCAAAGGCACUCCCGUUUUCUAAGAGGGUGAUAAGAAGGUGGAAAGCAAGGAGACCAACAAGAAGGAAGAAAGUACUGAUAAUAAGGCCUUGGCGACCCAAUGGAGUAUUUUUCAGAAACGAUGAGUGGGUGAAUCACAAAUGCUUUUCCAAAGCAUUUUGUGAGAAAUUCUAAUGUCACCUCAAAAUGAAUAAUAUGAUAUUAGUAAACAUGAUACAAGAAAUUUAACGAAUCAACUUGCAUGGCAACAUGAUAUGAAUACUAUCGUUGUUUUCAACUUUGAAAAACUAUAUGGGGAAUCACAAUUGAUACAUUCUGAAGAAGAAUCUUGUAACGAUCAAAUAACUAAACAUAAUAGACAUGAAUGAAAACACAAAAAGCUAGGCCCAAGGCCCCAAGCUUCAAAAAAAUUAAACAAGUCAAACGGUCCAGUUCAUAGAACUCCCACCAAUGCAACAUCUGCGGAAGGCCAAUGUAUGCAGUAUUGCCCUAAACAAAAGAGAAACUAUUCCAUGACUAGAACUCAAGUCGGCCACCUAGGUCCGAAAGGAGCAACCUUUUGGCGAAUGGCGAUGCCAAGUUGCACCCUCUAAACUUUAAAAAACUAAUAGGGUGAAAAUGAUCAGCCAUUUGAUACUGAACUUGGUCACACAACUUCUGAACCAUAUACUACAAGACAUUGGGAAAUCAAUCACAAAGAAACAUCGCUCCUUAAAAGCCCCAUAUGAACUUGAAAUUAAAUUGCAUCUUGAUAAAUUCAAGAUAUUAUUUUUCUAUUGUAUAAAAAAUAACCUGACAGAACAUGCCAUUUUAAAACUGAAACAGAUGCUAUCAAUACACAGCUAAAAGAAAUUAUACUUUGCAUUUUUUUAAUUGUCAAAAUGUAACCACUUAUAGGGUUUCUUUACAGUGUAAAAAGUUAAGGAAAACAUAAAACCAAGGUUAAAAAAUUUGGUUCUCACCAGUUAUGACACCUGCUGUAACCAGUAUGCUACUGGUAUAUCAGGUGGUGCAAUGAUCUAUACUUCUUGGCAUCAUCCCAAAUAAUGUAAAAAUAAAUAAAUAAAUAUUGACCAGGUCAUUGAAUAUCAUGAUUGAAUGCUACAAAAAUACAAUGGCUAUUAUGACUAACAUAUCUACAUGGAUAAGUGACUCCAACCCACACUACCCUAAAGAAAGCUUAAGAAUGAGAAACUAGUUCCAAUCAGAUUACAAACCAGCAAUGACAAAUAAGCAGACAUUCCAAAUUUGGACAAAGAGGUAAAAGUCCAAGAGGAUAACAACUAAUAGACUGCCUGUUUCAAGUGAGACAUCUUCAUUCUGCCUGUUUUUCCUUUUAUUUUCCUUCUUUUACAUGCAUAUUUCAGCAAAUUAGGAUAUGUUGGUCCUGCCCAGCUGGUUUAGUGAAACCUUAAAACCCCACAGCUGAGUUUUCUUGAGAUAAGCAAUCAAUUAGCAGCUAUUUGUCACGACGACUGACUUGGGAAGAACUCAUCUAAUCCAGGAGUUGGUAGCUAAUGAUCAAAUGGAGACACAUCUGAGGUAAAAUUAUAUAUAAUUUCUUAUUCAUGGCCUUAAAUGUUAAAACUAAUUAACCUUUUUCCAGCAUUGAUUAUCUUUUAAAUUAAUAGCCCCAGCCAGAGUUUGGUUUCUACCAGGACUUCCAAAAAUGAAAAAAGGAGCCUGUUCAUUCUCCUACACCACUCAGCUGGGUUCCCUUAUCUACUAGAGUGGAAUCAAACUCCUUGAACAAAUUUAUAGCACAAAACAAAGAGACAUGAACUACUAAUAACAAAUUAUAGAUUUAUAAUUUCAUAUAACUUGAAACUUAAUCAGUGACUCAGAUAAGACACAAUAUUAACCAAAACAGUAAACAUAUUAAACUCAAAGAAAUGGAACUUUGAUUCGAAAUCUGACUCAAACUGACUCAAAUAACAAGGCCAUGAUAGAUGCUCAAGAGGGUUGACUAGUUUUAGACAAGACUUUAAACUACACUUUGUAUAUAAUUAAGGCCUUCUUUGUACUUCAUCCAACCUGAUCAUCAACUAUGCUUUGCUGAUCUAAUUGCUCUUCUUAACAGCUAAUAACAAGGUUUUAAGAAGCUAUUUACACAUACAGCCCUUCAAAAAAAACAAGGCACCUGGAUGAUGAACAGUUAAUAGUUUAUGAUAAAUAUAUGCUAUAACACAGCAACAAAGGACAUGUUCAAGUUUAAAAAGUGCGUCAUCACACUUAUAGCACUGACAUGUCAGUCUGUUCAUAAAUUUGAAGCAGUGGAAUCAUUAAGUUCAUAUCCAAUAGCACACCGAUAUAUUAUAAGUUAUCCUAGUUAGCUCACUUUGACAAGUACGCAUAUUUACAGAGUAAGCAGCCAGUAGCGUCACCUUGGAAACAGUAUGAGUGGCCACCAACUUUGCUGCUGCAAUCAUAACAGCAUCCCUGUUUGUCUCCUCGAUGUAUUCUUCAUUUGCAUCCUCAUCUUCAGUCUCAUCUGCCAGUUACAAACCGGAGUUCAAUGCACUGUUCUUCUUACAGGAAUGGAUGAAAGAAUAAAGCCAAUGCACUGUUCUUCUUACAGGAAUGGAUGAAAGAAUAAAGCAUUAGAUAUUAUUUGCUUCUAUUACAAACUUCUGUAUCAAAAAUUCAAUUUUUGCCACCUAAUUACAGCAAACCUGAAAUUUUAAGCAGUUGCUCAGAAAGUUUCCAGAAAUUCUGAAUAGAAGGUAAAUUUGGGGAAUAUCCUAAACUGUGCAGCCUUGUAGAAGAGUACUUUGACUUUUUAAAUAAGCACCAUGUUUCUGCAAGUAUGAUACAGACCUAUAUCAAAAGAAAAGCUGUUCAGUAAUUGCUUAAUCCAUGGAACCUAAAAUAGGCACAAAUUCUAUUUUGAAAAAUGAAAUAUAUUUAUGGCAAUAUAAAGAACUGCUACAUAGUCAAGUUAACCUGUCAUAUCUGCAAUUACUUUAGCUAAUAACUUACUCUACAAGAAAGCACAAUUCCACUCCUUCCCUCCUGAGGGGCAUCAGGCAGGGUCCUAGUAAAGGAUUCUAGUUGUUCAAGCAGGAUAUCCCUCUUGGACAAUAAUGCAGUAGUAGAUGCUUCUAGCAGACUGUCACUGUCAAUAGACUGCAGGCACCAAGCUACAUGCAGGUACAUGUUGAGAAGCAGAAAGCACUUUACCUGAUAGAGCAUAAAGUUUAUCAUAAAAGCAAAAUCAAAUAUAAAAUAUUUCACAGGAUAGUUGACAUACCUCAUUGUCAAUGUCACUCAAAUCCCUGAGGAUGCUAGCCAUAUCUUCAUAUAAGCCAUUGAUAGAAACAAAUUUUGUCAGUUGAAGCUCAUAGAGCCGCUUCAAAUUGACCAGAAGUGAGUACUCAUCACCACCCAUCUACAAGAGUUUGAUUGUCGGACUUUCGACAUUAAGCUUAAAAGAAGCAAGGCGUAAAGAUGUAAAAAUGAUGCAUACCUCGACUUCUUUCAUAGCAGCUUUUAGCUUAAUUAUUAUAUCACUCUCAAGAUCCUUCAGUUUAUUUUGCACAUAAUCUUGAAGAUCAGCUUGACUAUCAGUAGAACAAAACGUUAGCACCUUGAUACAAGAUCUCAGUGUAUCCUUCUCCCCAUGCUUAAAAAAUGCAUCCACUAUAAGUUCAAGAAUUGUCUUGAAAUUCUGACAGGACAGAUGAACAAAAUUGUCCUAUUAGUUCCUAAAAAGUAGUAUCAGGAUCUUGCAAGUUCAGAAAGCUAGAAGUCCAACCUGCUCCUGCCUUUUUAAGGAAUAAAGUUCAAGUUUCAAAAGACCCAAAAUCUCAACCAAAGGUGAGACCUUAGCUUUGUCAGAUAUAUACUUGCGCAGCAACUGCGGGUAGCUCUUCAUCAUAGCUGCAGUUAUUUCUCGUCUACUGUUUUCCAAUGCUUCCUUCAAUAAGUAUGACCACGGUUAAUAUUCCAGAAAUAACAAAUGGCAGUGUAAAACUGCUGAAAUACCAAUUGCAUCUUCACACUCGCUUCCAAUAAAAAAAUUGCAUGCCUUUAGAGCAGGUUCUCUUACCAAGCUUGGCAAUCUCCCACAUAAGAAUGACAAAUUAGUAUGUCAGCUUAAAGAACAAAAGUGAGCUACAUGAUACGUCCUGUUUGCAUUAGAUUAAUCAUUCCUAUCUAAGAAAAUAUUUUUGCAGUGAUUGACAACAUAGAGCAGAAGCCUUCUAGUAAUCUAGUUCCUACGUAUCCCAUGCUGAGAGACCAUGAUGUGAACUUAUACAAAUUUUAAUAAUCAAUAAUUAAACUCAAGUCCAAAUGACUAGCUUAUCUGAUGUUCAUCGUAUUAAAUGCGAAAAGUGCAUGUAGAAAAAUUAUUAACAGUUAACUAAACAUUGUCACAGGUUGCAAACGAAUUUCAAGGAUUUCAGGAGAGAAACUUUCAACCAUACCUUUUGAGCUUUUGUAUAAUACUGCUUUCGGUUAUCAGUGGCAGGGACUAUCUUUUCUCCAACAGCCUUCCUAGCGGAAGCAUAGAGAAGCCGAACCAGGUUAGUUGCAUCCACAUCAGUGAGUUCAAUCAAUGGAUUCUCGUCAAGGAGCAUGGAGAUAAUACACUUCCAAUCCUGUGAACAAAGAGCACCAUAUAUUUGCAGUGAGGUGUUAAAACUUACGGGUUUUAAUAAGUAAAUGUCCCUUGAUUAUUAAAGUAACAAUCUAUGCUAUCAGGUAAAAAGAAACCUUCAUGGCCUUCAUGUCAUCCCAAACAUCAUCAAUCACAUAGGCACUAAGGAUCGGAUCAUCAGGAAAUUCACGAAGAAUUUGCAACAUGCGUCCCAGGUGAACCUCAGAGGACUCAUUCUCUCCAUCUAGACAUAUUAUUAGACCAAUAAGUUUGGUUGUUUACAUAUACUAUACCACAGUGCAUAAUAAGUUUCAGGAGGAUACCCUUCCGUCCUGAAUGUGAAUUUUUAAUUUUCUGUGCAAUCAAAUGAUCAUAUACUAAUUCUCCAAUUGCACGCCUGAUCAAGGGUGGUUCAUCAAUAAGCAAAUCAUACAAAGGACCUAGUUCAUCAUCUGUUAGAAGCUGAUGUCUGCAAACCAAGAAUAAAAAAUUCUUCUUAGUAGAACUUACCAGCCACCAGAUAAACCACAAAAGUUGGUUUAGAUGUACAAAGAACAUAAAAUUACCUAAGUAGUUGUUUCAGAAGUCCUAUAGCUGACACAGCCACUGAAAUAUCAAUGUCAUCAGCAAGCUCAAUCAUUCGGUUGCAAAAUCUCUCAGUAAAAAGGCCAAGUGAUGGCACAUUAUCAUCCACCUCAUAUAGAUUUUGUAAUGCAAGUAUAGAAGCUUUUCUGACACCAGCACUCUUCACAAGGCAUUGAAAUAUAUAAUAUAGUUAAAACUUUUGCAAAAAAAAUAUUGACUUAAAGCCAAAGGAAGCAAUAUUCUAUGGAUAUACACACAAAACUUACCUUGUCAUUCAGUGUCCAACCAAGAUAUUUCAAGUACAAGUCUUGCAAGAAAAGUGAUGGAUAUGAUAAAAUCCAAAUACCCAGAGAUCUGAUGCAAGACAUCCGAAUCUCUGGGUCAACAUCUCGGUACCUGUGCAUAAAUAACCUACAAAAAAAAAGAUGCAAAAGAAUAAACAAAUUGUUCAUAACAGUGACACUGAAAAAAACCACCAAGUUGAAUCUCACCCUGUAAAUAUUUUACGCAUCAUCUCUUCUGUGGCAGUUAUCUUUUCAUGUGUCAGAGAUAACCUUUUGUUAAGAGAUUCCAGACGAGGCCCCUCAUUUUGUUUUUUCUUUUCAGCGUUUAACUGUCUCUGAGUGGUUUCACGUUGUCCAGAAAGUAUUUUGGCAAUAUUUAUGAAGGACGUAACCAGUUGGAGACCAACCAAUGAAGCCACUUGCCGAUAAACCCUAGGAGGAGUGCUGUAGUGCAGAAUAGAAGAAUCAAGACAACCCAAAAUUUCAGUUUCUUCCAAAGAAUAACUUCCUUACAAGGUAAAAAUAUGCUAAGGCAACAGAGAGGGAUAGCAAGAAAAGCUUACCAUGAUAGGGCAAUUACAAAGUCCAUGCAUUUCUCAAACAAAACCUUAUCAAACAACGGUCCAUUUUGGCACUCAAGAACCAAGUUGUCCCAGAAUGAUGCGAGAUUUUCUUUGAAGCUUUUAAGCUCCUUUUGCUUUGAGUUAACAUGGUCUUCCACUUCGCCCUGCAUUAUUGAUAAGUUAAUUUUUAAAUCAAAUGAAAAAUGAACUCAUUUACACGAGACAGAAAGAACUUGGAAGUGUUUGGCAUAAAAGAAUAUCAUGUUUAAGAAUAUAUCUCUGAUAAUACAUUUUUAGCUAGCUCCACAAGUGAGACCACAACAUCAUCCACAUCAGUCUCAUCAAAAGACGCGGCUUCUAGUUGAUACUUGGCUCCACAAGCCUGUUCACCAGCAGCAAAUUGCAUCAAAUACUACAUGAAUCUGAUUAUAGCAGUAUGAAUAGGCAGUAACUGAAGAGAUACUACCUCAAAGAGAAACAUUAGAAUCUCAACCAUUGCAGAUUUUGGAUCCCCUUCAUAGCGCUCAACCCACUUUUUGACAGCAUGGUUAAUUACUCUCCCAUUAUGCUUGAUGAUAUCUGUUUAUGAGACACAUUAAUUAACUUCAAGUAGUAUUAGCUAAAGUUUGAUUUAACUUUUACUGUGUUGCGAGAACGAAUGACAGAAAAUUGAAUGUUGUAAAACGAAGCAGAAAUUCAUAUUUGUCAUUAUUUUGAUACCUAAGCACAGGUCAAAGCCACAUAAUGCUUCUACGAAAUACUACAAAAAAAAUUGCACCUACCGAAGAAAGAUCUCAAGGAUCAUGCAGAAGUAGUAGAAAGAAAAUGAUCAUAUACAGGCACCUGGAGUGAAUGCAUAAAAUAGAGUCGACUUUCUAUAGCUUCAACAAUUCAACUAAUUUAUUCAAUGAACAGCUGUUGCAAACCCUAAGCACACCAUAACAUUUGAGAGAAUAAGAGAAACGGUGCGAGAACCCAAAAACACUUGUAAAGAACCGUUAACCAAUUCAACUAGAAUCAAGCGUACAAACCGAUCAAGCUCUGAUCUUCCUUCCACCCAGCAGCCCGAAUUGCCGCUCCGCGCUUCCUCUUGGCCUUCGGAGCGGGAUCGUCGAGGCCGUCGUACGAUCCAUCCCCAGACCCCUGGUCCCCGUCGGUGGGACUGUGGUCGGCCUUCUCCCCGGCAGAGCCGCUCGAUUUGCUAGGCCCGACGUCAGACGCGGCCAACGGUGGCCUGCCCCUCUUCUGCACCAAGCAGACACCCAGAUGUACAAAACGCGCAUUAGGGUUAGGAAAUCGACCAAAUAACACAAUAAGAGAAGGAAUGGGGGAAGAACGACCGAUCGGCGGACGGACGUCUCGGAGACCACGGCGGCGUGCUCCAUGGACUGGCGAGCGAUGGUCUGGGGCUAAAGACCCCUGUCGAUAUCGAUUGGUGCCCGAAAGUGAAGCGAUCGAGAGGUGGAACGAGGAAAACCCUAGAGAUUUGGGGGGAGGGAGUGAGGGGACCGAGGGGGGUUCUUGGCUUCAAACACCUCUCUCUCUCUCUCUCUCUCUCUCNNNNNNNNNNNNNNNNNNNNAAGAAAUGGAAGUAUUAAUAGAAUAAACCUCAUUUUAAUCUCCAAUAACAAUGACAGAAUAAUAAAGGAAGAGCUUUUAUCCACAAGCUUUUAGGCAUUUUACAUGCACACACAAAUAUAUAUAUAUAUAUAUAUAUAUAUACCCUUUUAAAUUUUGGAAAUAGCGUAUUUGUUCCUCCAAAUUUAAAUACAACAUACAUGUGUGUAUACCUUUGAUAUUUGAAUCUUUUAUACAUCAUUUCUAUAAGCGUUUAUUAAAUAAACUCAAGUUUUGUGAUUGUCAAUAAGUUUUAAGAAUUAUUAAAUUUUAAAAAACAUAAAAUUUUAUUUGAUAUUUUCAUCAAAAAUUUUACUUUAAUAGAUAAUCAUAAAAUAAUUAUAUAUAUAGGACUAUAAGUAAAUUUUAAGGGUAUUAAUGUUAUUUAAAACUUCAACAUUAUUUUUUUAAUGUUGGAGAUUGUUUAACUUUUUAUAAAGUAUAUAAAUGUUAAAUUUAAAUUUAAAUUUAAAAAUUUUGUAUUGAUAUAUCUGAUUAAUGAAUAUAUUAUUGUAUAAAUAAUAGGUUUUAAAUUUAAGUAUAUCAUGGUGAGAAAGUGAAAAAGAUAUAUAAAAUUUUACUAAUUAUUAUAAUAAAUUUAAAAUUAAGUAAUGAUGGAUAAAUACCACAAUAAUAAUAAUAAUAAUAAGCCAACUAAAUCAAUUUUUAUAUUUGAGAUAAAUAUUAAAUAUUAUAUUUAUUUUAUAGAGACUAUUUAUAUGCAAUGAGUAUAAUUUAUUGAAUCUAUUUUUAAAGAAAUAAAAAAUCUAUAAAACAUAUGUUUGCAUUUAUCAUACAUCAAAUAUGAUCUUUAAAAAAUCAUAAAACAACAAUCUUAUCAUUACACUGAGCAAAUUUAUCAUAGUACAUCAAAGUAUUAGAAUAUGAAACAUAUUAAUAAUCCAUCAGAUAUAGGUGGAUUGAUAGGACCAAAUUACAUCAUGAGGAAAACAAAUCCUAUCUGAUCUAUCUCUAAUUACAUGUGUUUGAAAGCCCUAAUAAAUCUAAUUACUGUUCAACAUAUAUAUUUGGAACUAGUUUUGUCCCAUAAAUAUCUAGCAUUUGGAUUUCUGUGGCUUACAGAUAAGCCAAUUUAUUUUAUUACCAAAAUAAACUCCAUCCCCACACUUAACAAGUCUCAAAGUAAAAUUUGCCAAACUUUUGGCCUACCAUCAUUUGCUGUAUCCAUUAAAUGCAAAUUACUAGCAAGGACAUAAGCCAAAAUGUACCUAUUUGCAAUAUGAUAAUAAUACCAGAAGACAUCUCCACAUGCACCUGAUUUGGAGCAGAUUGAAGCUCUACUGAAGCAAUCUUAUUACAUUUCAAUACACUAGAAGCUUAAUUUGCAUAGGUGAUGAAGCAAAAGAAUGGGAAUAUGAUCAUCCUAUGGAACCAAGGCUCAGAAACAGUAUCCUCAGACUGGCAUACAUUAUUAGAUGAAAACAAUGUUAUCAAAAUACAAUAUUCAACUUGAGGGUCUACAAAUUUAUCACCACAGGCAUUGGAUAACAACAGUUGAUGUAUUUUCCUCCACUGCAAAAAAGAGGAACCAUUAUACAUGAUUUAAGGAAACUGAAGAAAUUGGCUGAAAGUGGCAUCCCAUGAACUCUCUCUAUAUGUUCAUUGUAGUGUUGCUGAAUCAUAGACUGCAACAUCUGAGGAAAAGAGUAAGCAGAAUUUUCUUUCAGGUAAGGAUUUAUGACCAAUUCUUUAAAUGUGCAAACUUUAAUACCAAGUUCUUGUUGUAAAACUAGUAUGAAUUGUCAUCAAUAUUCAAUAAUGUCAAAGAUUUCCUCCCCACAUCAACUAUCCAUGAUCGAGUUGGUCUAAUAUAAGUCAAAACUAUUCCUCAAAAACUUCAAAAAUAUUAUGCAAAACUAACCAUUUCAUGUGUAUCUCAUCACCGUAUCACGCAUCAGAUUUUCAGGGGCUGCAAAAGAAAUAAGACAUGAAGAAGACCAAAUUAUUAAGACACUCCUUGAAGCAUAAAAAGCCUGCCAAACUGUGGUAAGAAUGUUCAAGAAAUUACCAGUCAAAUUUGUGAAUAGUUCGAAUUGGCCCAUUGCUUGCCUUAUAAACAUCUCAAGUCCGCUAACAACAGUAGCUCCAGAUUCUUCCGCUUCCCUCAAAAGUCUGGUUGCUCUUGGGGUGUAGACCGCAUCAAAAACCACAGAAUAAGACCCAAGAGCUUGCUGUAGAUUUACUAACACAUUUAAUCAUAGAACUUGGUCACAUCAAAAGUUAAAACAAAUCACAUUCUUGCAGCCAAAAACAAGCAGCACAUUCUCAUGUUUGAUAUGGGCAAUAUUCUAUUUGGUCAUAUUACAUAAGACAGACAAAUAGGUUAUUUCUGGGCUCCAGAUGCAUCAGCAAUGAAGGCACUACAAUCCCCCUCUAUAAUAUCUAUAUUAAGGUUUUAUGUACUGAAAAAUAGAAAGAGAUAUGUGAUAUGAGCUCAUUGUCCAGUUGGACCAAAUGAUUGGAAAAAAAAAAGGUUGCAUCAAAUGAACGAGGUGACUUUCAAAUGAUUAAGGUGAUGACUGAAUUCCCCAGUAGUAUUCAACUGAAGCUAUUUGUAUUACUAAGGUGGCAGACAUUAAUGUCUCAGGCCAUCUCCUUGAAUGAUGCAUGGAAAGGGCUAAUACAAUUUAUUGUAGAAAUUUGGAAGUAAUGAUUGACCUAUAAAAAAUUCUUGAAAGAAAGCAAUGCCAGCUUGAAAACAGAGAUUACAAACCUUCCUGAUAGGGGUCCCAUUAACAUUUGGUUGCAUUCCAAUUGAUGUUGUGUUUGCAAGAAUCAUUCCAUCUUCUGGAUGGAAAGUUUCCAAUUCAGCAAGUGUCAAUGCAUGGCCCCCGAUCAAGUUUGCAAGCUCUCUAGCUCGUUCUGACAAUCACAUAAGUUUAAGAAUUUACAAGGCAUGCAACCACAGUAAAUUCUAUUAGCUAAACAGACCUACUGCUGAUCCUAGUCAGAAUUCAACAAACUAUAACCAACAUCAUAAAUAAUAGUGGAGUAUAUACAUAUCCUACAGAUUAACCUUCAUAGAAAAAGCAUUAAUGGUAAGAUCUCAAUGUCAGAAAACAAGAUUGCACCUGAAAACGAUGGAAGCCAUUGCAAGGUAGAAGAAAUUUCCCAAUUUCAAAAGAGAAAUUUCUAAUCAUGAUAUCAUAACUUAAUCAACCAGAUCUACCAGCUGUUUGAAAAGUCAAAAAUGAAAAUGCAACAAAAUAUUAGUGGGAUGGUGGCAUGGAGCUAAACAGGCAUGGGCACUCAUAGGUCAUAAAUAAUGAAAUUGCAAUUAAUGAUGGAAUGAUGGCAUGGAGCCAAACAGGCAUGGACCCUCAUAGGUCAAGUAAUAAGCAAAAUAAGGACAAUAAUAAUGAGAGCAUAAGGAUUUUGUAUAUAUGGAUGCUAUGUUGCUCCUUUCUCUGUAAAUAUGCACUACUUUGUUCUUCCAGUACUAUCCAAUACAGAACCUAAAGAAGUGGUAUGAGGGCAGUAAUUAAUUGUCAUUUGAAGAAAAUUUACCAUAAGUCCGAUUUGCAAUCACAACCUUUGCUCCUUUCUCUUUUGCACCAUAUGCAAGAGCUUUACCAGCACCACCAGCACCUAUGAUGACAAACACUUUACCAGCAAGGGGAGAAACAGUCUCCUUUCCCACUCCCUGUGAACCUGUCAAAGACAUACAUGGGAUCUUGAUAUGCUGUUCCACUGAAUGCAAGCUACCUUUGCAUGUAAAUAUUCAUAAAACAGUGACACAUUGAACUGGUGAACAUGUAAGACACCUCUUAUUCCAUCCUCAAUUGCAGAUAUUGCACCAACAUAAUCAGUGUUAUAACCAAUUAAUUUGCCAUCACUUGGUCGUCUAAUGAUUGUAUUUACAGCACCUAUAGACUGGAAGAAAAAAAAUGAACAAUAAGUUAAGAAAAAGACGAAGGAAGAUGACAAUGAUCAUAACCAACUCAUAAUAUCUUGCUACAAAAUUCUUGAAAAUGAUGCAAAUAUCCCAUUAAAAUAAUUCCAAUAACCACUCAAGUUGGGAAUGCAGUUGCUCACCUUUGCUAUUGGGUCCACCUUAUCACAACAUCCAACCGCAGCUUCUUUGUGGGGAAUUGUACAACUGCACCAUAGGAGAAGGUGGAGUUGAUAUCAGACAGAAGAUUGAAAAUAUUCAUUAAAAAUGACACUUAACUAUCUAAAUAAAUAGAUAACAAACAUUCUUCAAUAACUGGAAAUUUAGCCAUCCGCAAAUUCAUAAGCAUGUACAAACCUGAUUCUGCUCAUGCACACCUAAGACUAAGACUUUUUUCAAGGUUAACAAAUGACUAUCAUCUUUUUCUUUCUUUCCUUCUUUUUUCUAGUGAAGACUAUUAGCAACUCAAUUGUGUUUUCAGGUUCUCUUUGCAAGGCUACACUCGGACAUGGACAGUGAGACUUGAAUUCAGUUUUUGAUGUACACCUAGUAAUGAGUAACCAUCCAAUGAUUAUGCAAUAUUAACCUUUAUUUCCUAGUCAGGUCAAGCCAAUAAUCUACCAUAUAAUAUGUAAACAUGAUUAACUGUUCAGGCAAGAGAAUUUAUAUCCAAUUGACAGUCACACAUCCUUGAUAGCCUGAAACAAGUAGACAGAAAAUUGAUCCAAAUGUUGGCAAAUAAUUCAUCAAAUAUGAUUAUCUUUUUUCUAAAUGACCUGACUGCACAGCAACUGAAAAAGGAUGUCAUGGUAUAUGAAGCUUUCUAUGUUGUCUGGAGAGGUUAAAUGCAUAUGCACACCUGACUCCUUCCCAUAAUUCAAAUUCAUAUUUCAUACAUUAUGUUCAUUAUAAAAUAACUUGAAGAUCCUGCACAGUUCAUUGCUCCAGUGGAGCAAUACUGCACAGAAACAUAUUUAAACAGAUAGAAAAGCAUCCAUGAUAUUUGGUUUACCCUUAAUGGUGAAGAUGCCAUCACGCCACCUGCCUUCUCUAAAAAUGUCUGAUUCAUAGUUUGUAUCGGGAAAGUACAUCAAAAUAUUUGAAGAACAUGAUGAUCAGUCCAUUUUGGAGCACAUUUAUGAAUUACAAGAAUGGUUAACUAAUAAAAUACUGGUCACCCAGAGACAUGCAUCAUCAAGAUCUUAGUCGCGAAAGGAGAGCACUUCUAAACUUUUGGCAAAUAAAGAAGCUAAUAUUAAGUCCACUAACAUGUGGUAUUCAAUCUUCAUUAGUUUGCUAAGUCAACCAAAUACUUGUUCUAUUGCAAUUUGGGAACAUCUACUUCAAAUCGUCUGAAAAACCAAAUUCUUGUCAAGGAAUUCUUGACAUUCUGAAUUGAGAUGGAAGUUCUAGUCAAGAAAAUUCUUGAGAAAGUUGCCAUAGUGAUUAGAAAUCUAGUGAUUGUAGUACAUAAAUAUGGAGUCAAAGGAAUGGAUAUAAAUGUUAUUUCUAACAUAAAAGUACAGACAUAAUCAACUUUUUGGAAGGUUGUAUGAACAGAUGUCCAAGGUUAAAACUUUCAAGGGCUGUCGGCACCACUCAUUUCAGCCAGCAAUUGAAAUACUUCUCCACUUCACUUCUCUGGCCUCCCCUCCAACAAGAAGUGGCAUCAUUGAUGCAACAUGGCAACAAUUUAAAUAUUCAAAGCCCUAGUGCAAAAUCAAAAUCAUACUGUCAUGGAUUUUGAGAUGCCAUGGACCAAUGCAGUCAGGUUGGUAAUGAGAAAGGUGUUUCGACCCUGUAAAUCGGUCACAUAAUAUGACCAAAUGCCUGGUGUUGUGUCUCAGCAUGAGAUUUGAUCAGUAUACUGAGGUUUAAUUGCUUGCAAAUGGAAUUAUGCAGGAAAAUCAAAUGGAUAAAACUUAAAAUACCUCAAUUCAUAUAUAACUAUUACUGUAAUUAGACUGCGAUUAUGAAUUGUAAUCAAGCAAAAUUUUAGAUAAUCACGUUGCCAAUCAGAAUGUUGAAUAAUAGGUUUAAUGUAAUGCCGUGCUAGUCCUGGGUGCAACCUGCCACAUGUAUUACCCAUAGAGGAAUGGAGCACAUUCAUGGGCUUGCAACCAAUAUAAAAUCAAACAACAUGAAACUCAUUGACACUGGGUUACAUGACAAAAUAAAGUUAAAAAAAGUUCUCUAAAGAAAUUAAUUACCAACACACAAGAAAAGACAGUAAUAAAAGUUACAUUCUCAAAACACAGCUGUACCUGAAACCAGCAAAGUCCGUGGAUGAAUAGGCAUUCAAGAAAUUAACAAGGUCAUCUACCAAAAGUGGCACAUAAACUGCAUCGAGACCAACUGACUUGAAUGCAGCAUUGAGCAAAACUGGGCUCUUACUGUGGCCUACAGGCUUCCCUACAAUCCCAAAAAUUUUUGUAUCUGCUCCAAUCUGCCUGAUAUUGUAUACAUUCAACAAGUCUGAUAUAGUUGGUUGCCCCGGAGCUGAUUCCUUUCCCACACCAAGGGUGCCAAAUGUUAGAUAUCCACCAAAUUUUGGGCAAAGCAACCUGGAGAUUAAGCCUCUCUCCCCCAUAACCAAUCCUAUCAUCGGAACCUGUUGUUCCCAUUCAUUAGUAAAAUACAAGAUAUUCUAGUACAAGUAAUAUACUAGAGUUAUCUACAAACAACUUAUUGAUCAUCAACAGGAAAACAAGUGAUUCAAAAACAUUUAUACACCAACAAAAUUGCCAGGAUCCUGACAGGAUAUGAAUUUCUACUUCAGUAGGGCUAAUUAUAAAUUACCCUCUGUAGUUAGACGUCUUUAGCAUCCUGGUUCCGAGGCUUAAAAAAUUUACAUUGGAAUCUAUAUAGUUAUGAAAGUGAAACAUUUAACUCCAUUUACCUAACGUCGUCGGUUUACCAACGGAAGCACGAAAACAAUGGGCAAAAAGAUAAUUUCAAUGUCUCAGUUACUUUUUCGAUGGUAGUAGACGACAGCACUGCUGGGGGCCGCGGGUUGCUGUUGUGGAUGAGGAGGGAGAACAACGAUGAGACUUGAGACAAAGGAAGAGGAAGAAAAGGACGACGCAGAUGUCGACACUCUACAUCUACGUCAGCACCGACGCAGACACAGAUACAGAGCGACGCCACUCUACAUCUGCAUUGGCGCCGACAACAAUGCGAGGAAGGGCGGCGUUGCUCUGCAUCUGUGUCAGCACCGAUGCAUAUGUCAAGCUAGCCCUUUCAUCACUCUACAUCUGCGUCGGGGUCGAUGCAGAUAUCGAGUGACCCUUUCACCUCUUUGCAUCUGUGUUGGUGUCAAUGCAAAUGUCAAGCGGCUCUUUCACCGCUCUGCAUUUACGUUGGUGUCAACGCAGUUGCCGAGCAACGUCAACGUAGAUGCAAAGCAUCGACAUCUGUGUCAUCCUCUUCCUUCUCUCCCUUUACCCUACCUCCCGCCACCGCUCUCCCUCCUCAUCCACAACAACCACCCGCGGCCCCCAGCGGCAUCGUCGUCCGUCGUCACCAAAAACGUAAUUAGGACAUUAAAAUUACCUUGUUUUCCUAUCAUUUUCGUGCUUCCGUUGGUAUGACUGACGCCAUUAAGGUAAAUGGAGCUAGAUGUUUCACUUUCGUAACUAUAAAGAUUUCAAUGUAAGUUUUUAUGUCUAUGGAUCAGGAUGCUAAAGAGGUCUAAGUACAAAUGAUAAUCUGUAAUUAGCCCACUUAAAUAUGAGCAACAAGCAAAAAAAAAAAAAUAGAAAAAUGAAUCUAGCGAAACACAAUAUUUUAAAAAAGAAAAUCAAAGUUCAUUAACAAAUGGAGCAGGUUAAGUUAUAAGAGAGGAUAUGUUGUUCCACAAGGGAAAGCAUAAAAUGGGAGCACAUAGGAAGCAAGUUAUCAAUUACCAUAACCAUAGCAAAUAAGACAGAUUAUAUCUACUUUAAGUUGGCAUUCUGAGUACUCAAUCACCAAUAUGAAGUGGCUAGGAUACUAAAGAGAUGAAGAAAUCUUAUGCCUACAUUUAUGGUUGAUUAUAUUUAUAUACUGUAGCAUACCAAACAUGGCCAUAAGGACAAGGCACAGAUAUUUAAGGUCACCAAAAUAGAAGCAAAAGAUAAGAGUAAGGUCAAAAUUAAUAAAAAACAGCAGGACAAGAUUGAUUGUAACUGAGCCCUAUUUUUAGAAUUCAUGACUCUGCACUCUUUCAUUCUCCAUUUCUAAAAUUGCUCUAUUUUUUUCUUCAGAUUUCAGCAACACAGUUGUAAGUUGAGUCAGCAUUUGCAUAGCUACUGCUCCAGUGUUGUUUUGGCUGAGCCAGCAUGUGUGAUGUUUGCACAUUCAACAAAACAAGCCAAAAGCAACUCACUGCCUUCAAUUAGUGACAUUGCAUACGCCGUGUGAAGCAUGCAUGAGAUAUAUGGCUCGUUUAGUGCAACCAUGUUGGUUGUCCACAAGGUUCAGUGGAACAGCGCCUCCCAACAUGAAAAAUAGAAAUAUAACACAUGCCUGGGUCAACUCCAAUUAUAUAUUGACAACAUAUUUUGGGUACUCACCUGGCAAUGCACUAUUACUUGGAACAUGCGUGUUACAUCAACAAUGUCCACAGCUGUGGUUGCAAUCUUUACUAUGUCUGCUCCAGCAGCUUGAAUUCUUGCUACAAGGCUACUUAACUCCUCACUUGAUGGAGUGCUUUGAUAAUUAUGAGAAGAAACAAUAAGCUUAAAGUUAUCUGGCUUCUUCCCAGAUAUAAGUCUAACAAAAUCAUCAGCAACCUGUGAGUAGGAAGUGCCACAUAGCAUGUCAAACAGAGAACGAUAACAGCUGAAUUAAUUUAUCAAUAAUGAUAAAUAGAAAACUAAAAGUCAUAUUUACUAAUGCAAAAUCAAUUGAACAUUUUAUGACCAAGGAACUCCAUAUUUGGUUGGGAAUAAAUCCUGCCUAAAGGAUAAGCUUCUUAGUCAUGUAAUUGUUGAUGAUAAUUGAGACAUGAUUGUUGGGACAUUACGGCUUGUUGUUGUUUUUCUAUGUGUCAUAUGAUUCCAGUUAUUGUUAUAGGACCAGGCUUUAUUCAUAAGCAGUUCAGAAUCUUCAGAUUAGCAUCAUGAUGUCAAAAUGUAUCGAUAUCUUUCUUUGGUGCUGUAAAAGCCUGUAUGGUAGUAUGUUUCAUUAGUUUCUGUACAUAGUAUGGCUGGACUGAGUGUAUUUGCUUUGAGAAUUCCUCAUAAUAUUGAAAAACCAACCUUAAGCUCAACAUCAACAUAUUCGGCUCCUAGCUCCAUAGCUAAGCAAAGUGCCUCGAAUCUCUGUUUAUCAUCACCUUCAUAUUCACCUCCUUCCCAUUUUGGCCUAAGGAAGAUGAAAAGGUUGGAAUAAAAUUGGGAAAUGAGAGUAACCACAAUAUGGUUAAGACUUACCAAGAGAGUCCCAAAAGAGACGAGUUUGGAGAACCUUCCAAGCAAAAGCUUGUCAGCAAAGCAGUAACCAAAGUGGAAGAAAUUAUUCAGACAACAACGUAUACUACCAAUUAGCAUUCAGGAUAUGCAUAAAGGUUCUUUCUAAAGAAGAGAUAUGCAUGGUUAUUCUUCAUUUGACAAAGAAUGAAAUAUUUUUCCCAAAUGAAUAUCACAGUUCAUGUUUUAGUGGAGUUAAUGAUCGUGACAUUUGGGUAGCAAAAAUGUUCCAACACUCAUGUAAUAUUUCACCAGAUGCAGAAGCAGAAGAUCUCAUAUCAAACAUUCAAAAUUUAUAUUUGAAUAUGCCUUCAAACAUUUUUAGACAGAAAUCAAUAGACGUAGUUGUCACUAGUCAUUAAUCCAGCAUUAUAGACUAAUAAAAUAGCACAGGGUAGAUCAUACUUCAUAUGGGAUGACUCUUUGAGACUGUUUUAAUUUUUUGCUUCUCCCUCUCUGCUACAAUGCCCACUGAUAGCCUGAAGCUGCAAAUUCAUAUCAAUACAUCGUCCAUGGUAUUCAUUUCUAAAGUUCUUCUUGGAGUGAAUUGUGAGCAGCUUACUGGAUAAAAGGCAUUAGUAAUGCUUGUGUGAAUAUAUUCCAGUUCUUGAAUGCCAUCAACACUAUCUAUAUUUGCCAGACCUUGAUAAGCCUUACAAGUAACUUCUUGAUAAUUUCAUUUUUAGUUAUCAACACAAAGGCCCCAUCAAGAGACUAUUCUUCCACAAAUCAUGUAGUCCAGAUGAAAAUUUGAAAUUUAGGAGAAGUGUCCAUGCUUGAUGCUCCCAUUGUUUGCCAAUCAACCUUUUUUUUUUUCUUCACCACUCUAGACUGGAGGGGAUAAGGUCUUGAAAUAUGUUCCUGGAUUAAAUAUGGGAGUUGGUCUUGCAAUGAGUUGUGUUGUAUUAACACAACUAAUAAAUCCUUGCUUUCUCAAAUCCAAGCAAAAAGGAUAAUAAAGCUGGAAGCUUUACAGGAUGCAUGUAUACAGCACCAAAUAUUACAAUCACGUGACGGACCUUUGCACAAUAUCUAUUCAAACUAGUGCUUCAAAACUUAUCAAACAAGAAAGCUGGCAGGCCCAAUUGUCAUUAAUAUACGGAAACAACCGUUCCUUCAUAUUAUAAAGUCGCAUUUCCAAAAGAUUAUGCUCCUUGGACAUCAUUCUUGAGGUUUAUUUACUGAACAUGAGUAACAGUUUAUUUACUGAACACAUCAAGGGCUCAAUACAUGGCAUCCACUCCGGAUUAACUCAGGCCAGAUCCAGUCUUCCAACAAUGCAUCUGACCCCAUCAGAUGAUCGGUUCAGUAAUCAAACAAGAGGAGCCACUACAUAAGAUACUAAUUACUGAACAGCUACCAAAAUCAAUCGAAUUUAUCAAGGGGGAAGAGACGAGACCUGUAGGUGACGAGGACCGGGAGCGGGCGGUCGCCAACGAGGAGAGGCAAAUCGCGGCGGGGCUCGAAAUCGGACAGGUGGUCGAGCCGGAUCUCCACGAGGUCGGCGCCGCGGGCCUUGGCGGCAGCCAUGUCCGCCAUCAUCUGCUCCACCGUCUUCGCCACCAGCGGCACGCACAGCAGCGUCAUUCCGUGGAUAUGGGGAAUCGACUUGGACUCGCAAUGGUGAGGGAAGAAGGAGGCUCUUCUGCAGACUCCUUUAGACUGAGAAGACCAAACGGAGAAAAAGGAGGAGGGGGGUGUGUGGGUGGGUUGGUAGCAGGUGGAGUUUGGUAGACUCGAUUCAUCGGGAAUUCCUCGUCUGCGGGAGCGGAUCAGCGGAUGCCGGACCGCAUCAAACGGUCCACGGAACUUCCGGCGGAUCAGGUACACGGCAUCAGCCGAUGAGUCGGACCGCCACAUAGAAUCGCGGCCGAUGGCGGCUGUGAGAUCACGGGAAAAGGGUUCAUCUCUCAUUGGUUGUUCGCUAGUGGUAUCAGAUGGGGCCUCAAAUGGCAUCCAAUGAUAUCGACGUAAAUAUUAUAAAAUCUUAAAAUUAUAAUGAAACUAUAAUUUUAUUUUUUUAGAUGAAAAUUGUUAUAUUUGAUUUGAUUUUAUUAUUAUAAUUUUUUAUAUAUCAUUUUAUUAGAUAUCUCAAUCGAAAUAAAUUUUAAUUUGUCGUUGCUCCGAUUUCUAUUAACAUUAGAAGCAGAUCAACGACUUCUAUUGAAGGCAAAAGAUAAAAUUGAGAAAAUAUUAUGAUUUUUUAAUAAUUUUAUUAAAAUAAAUAAAUAUUUUAAGAUAAUUUUUUGUAAAAACCCCUUAAUUUUUAGAAAUUUCUACGGCACAUUCUAAUUUUCAAAAAUUCUCAAAUCUUACUUUUUCAAAAAGAAUGAUUUAAUCCCUAAUCACUUUUACUCCUUUUGUAUAUCAAUCAUAUGUGCCCAUCAUUAGCCAUGUUAGCUCCAUGCACUAAUCACUUUUACUCCUUUUGUAUAUCAAUCAUAUGUGCCCAUCAUUAGCCAUGUUAGCUCCAUGCACUAAUCAGACACUGACGGACGUCGUUGUUGUCACCCAUAGGCUCCCUUACCAUCAACUAUGGAUGAGAGAAAAGAGGGUGUGACCCAUACACCCUCGUUAACCACGAGCAAGAAAGAAAUGGGGUAGCCCAAGGCAUUGUCGUCACUUAUAGGCUCCUCUUGUCAUUGAUCAUGAGUGAGGAAGGAGGGAGGGUGGGUGAGUCCUCACGUAAAGAUGGCUAAGGGCAUUACGAGUGAUAGGCACCUGUUUAGGAUAGAGGGCAACAAUUGACGAGGUGAAAGUGUGGCCAAGAGCUUGUAGCCUCCUACCCCAUCAUCAUCCUUGGCAAAAAGGAUGGGAGGUAGAGCAAUGGGUUCAACGAAGAUAUGAGUAAAAUAAUCUUUUCACGCAAAGAAAUAACGCUCUAUCAUAAUUUCUAAAAACAAAAACUUUUUUUUAAGAAUUCACCUAAAGUUUAAUUCAUACAAAAAAUAAAACACAUGGAGCUUACUAUUUAAAAUCCUCAUACUAUUUAUAAUUUAAUAAAAUAAACAUUGUAAUAUUAAUAGUCCAUCUAAUUUUGAUUUUAAUUUUUUUUACUCACAUACUCUGUAAUUGCCACCUUUGCACACUAUCAUAGGUCUUAGCGUCCAACCUAUGAGUACUAUUGAUGUUGUCCUUCCACUUACUCCUUAGCCCGUGCUUUGAUCUUAUUUGUCGUCGCCCUAUCAACACUCCUCCAAGAAGGAUGGGAAAGAUGAAAAAGAUAUUUAUAGUCCAUCUAAUUCUAAUUUUAUUUUUUAUUUUCCUCACAUACCUUACACACUGUCAUAGGUCUUAACGUCCAACCUGUGAGAUCGUUGUCCUUCAACUUACCCCCUAGUCCGUGCUUUGAUCUUGUUUGUCACCGCCCUAUCAACACUCCUCCGAGGAUGAGAAAGAUGAAAAAGAUAUUUAUGUCUAUUUAUAAAAAAUAAUUUUAAAAUAUUAUUUUUAUAAAAAAUAAAGAGAGAAUUGUAAAUAGUAACAUGUAAAGAAUGUAUUAUCAUCAACAUGGACUUAAGUAUUUUGAAUAUUGUAUAUUAUUGGAUCAUGUAUCUUCAAGAUAUUAGAGAAACUUCAUGAGGCACAAAUCAUGUAGCCCAAAUGGUUUACUUCUAAUAAUAAAAAAUUAAGCACACGUAAUUUAUUUAAUGGAACUUCCAAAACUUUAUUGAAAUCAAACUAUCUCAAACAUAUUUCAUCAUGAGUUCUCGCAUCUCCUUUCCAGGGGCUGCAAAUACGAAGAAAAAACAAGCAAAUUAAGUACGAAGAACUCAUUGGAGACUCACAAAUCUCAUCUGCGAGAGAAUAGAAAGCUUACCUUCCAAACCUGUGAACAGCUUAAAUUGCCCCAUUGCUUGCCUUAUGAACAUCUCAAAUCCACCAACAGUGGGGACUCCACAUUCUUCUGCCUCCCUCAGAAGCCUCGUCACUUUCGGGGCGUAGACCGCAUCGAACACCAAGGCGUAGUGCCCGAGAGCUCGCUGUCAUUUCCACAAACACUUGCCGCUCAAAUCCAGUGCACAGUGUCAUAAUGAAUCCAUCGGGUGGAACAGACCUUAGCGAGAGGAGUCUCGCCCACGUUUGGCUGCAUGCCCACCGAGGUCGCGUUUGCCAGGAUCAUUCCGUCCUCCGGGUGGAAGUUCUCCAGCUCAGAGAGUGGCAGUGCCUGCCCACCAACUUGUUUCGCCAGCUCCCGGGCUCGCUCUGUCGACCACAAGUUCGAGCUCUUCAUGAUCCAUGUAAAAGCCAGAAGCGCAGUUUGCUCUCCAGGAAGAAGAAGAAGAAGAUUCACCGUAAGUUCGAUUAGCGAUCACGACUCUGGCUCCUUUCUCCUUCGCGCCGUAAGCAAUGGCCUUCCCAGCUCCACCUGCACCCAUUACGACGAACACCCUACCUGCAAGGGGAGAAGCAGUCUCUUCCUCCUUUCCCUGUCCCUGUGAACCUGUUCCAUGAAACAAUGAGAACAAGAUGUGAUCUUUACGAGCUGCUGUUUCCAUGUAGGUAUAUCUCAGUGCACCUCUCAGUUCCUCCUCGAUUGCAGAUAUUGCACCAAAGUAAUCGGUGUUGUGGCCGACGAACUUGCCGUCGCUCGGUCGCCUGAUGAUGGUGUUCACGGCGCCUAUAGACUGCAACAGAUGAGAAAAGGUGAAACGAAGGGUAUACUGCACAGAUCAUAAGAUUGCAUGACGUAAAGGAGAUGCUGCUAUCGCUUACCUUCGCAAUUGGAUCGACUGCAUCACAGCAUCUCACUGCAAUUUCUUUGUGGGGCAUUGUGCAGCUGCAAACAGAACACUUGAGAGAAGAUGGAAAACAGAAGGAACAAUCUAUUGUUCUAAAACUCGAUUACUUUUGUGCUUUCCAGCCAAACCUGAAUCCAACGGAGUCCGGAGACGAGAAGGCAUGUAGGAAAGCAGUGAGGUCAUCCACCAGCAGUGGCACAUAGACAGCGUCGAAGCCAGCAGAUUUGAAUGCAGCAUUGUGAAAGAUGUGGCUUUUGGUCUGCCUCACUGGAUUCCCUAUCAACCCAGUGAGUUUGGUGUCUGCUCCGAUCUGCCUGAUGUUGUACAGGUGCAGCAGCUGUGAGACGGUUGGCUGCCCGGGAGCCGAUGCCUUGCCCUCGCCGAGGGUGCCGAAGGUGAGAUAUCCACCGUACUUGGGGCAGAGCACCCUGGAGAGCAGACCUCUCUCCCCCAUAACCAGUCCUAUCAUGGGGACCUGUUGUUCCAAUGCAUCCACCAUUAGCCAACCACAAGAUGAGAAAGAAUGCUUAAUACACUUCAAUCAAAUCUCUCUCUCUCUCUCUUGUUGCUUCUUCUUCUGACAUACCCUAUCAGUACAACACCAAGCAAGCUUGAUUCAGGCUCAAGAAAGCUUUAGAUAUCGAUCGGCAAGUGAAUCUCACCUGGCAAUGCACGAGAACUUGGAACAUGCGUGUCACAUCCACCACACUCACAGCAGUUGUUGCGAUCUUCACUAUAUCAGCUCCGGAAGCCUGUAUGGCUGCCACAAGGCUUCCGAGCUCCUCACUUGAAGGUGUCUUUUGGUAGUUGUGAGAAGACACAAUAAGCUUGAAGUUUUCUGGCUUCUUCCCAUCGAUGAGCCUCACGAAGUCCUCAGCCACCUGCAAGCCUCAUGUCAUACAGAUUUAGAGCUUUCCUUCGUAUUAAUGUGAGGUAAAAAUCUAGAGAAUAUAGACACAACCAAGAAUACAAGCACUGACAGGGAGAGUGAAGACAGUGGAAUACAGAUCUCUGUUACUUUCCGAAGGAGCAUUAUUAUGGAACAACCAAUCAAGGAGGUGAGAGAAGAGAUCAAGAAAAAAAUAAAUAAUUAGGAGAGUUUUCUCUAUCGGAAUUAUCUGCAUGAUUUCCUAACAUAAUAAUUGUCUACCAUAACUUUAAUCCGAUCUAAUUAAAUCUUUAAUAUAUCCUGUAAGAAAUAUAUCAUCGCUGAAAUCAGUAACCUAAAUUUAUUUGCUUCUGAUAUAAAACCAACCAACCUUAAGCUCAACAUCAACGUAAUCAGCUCCCAAUUCCAUGGCCAAAAGCAAUGCCUCCAAUCGCUGCUUGUCAUCACCUUCGUACUCACCUCCUUCCCAUUUGGGUCUACAUAUAACACAAGAAAUCAGAAUUAAACUUCUUGCAACACUGUUUGCAGCAAAACAACAAAUCAAUCCUUUUUUUUUCGUUUUUUAAUUUAAUUUUCGUAAAUAAAAGAUGAAGGAAAUGAAUUCAUUGCUUUCAGAAAAAAAAAACUAAUUAAUUAAUUAAUUAAAAUAUGGCAUUAAUGUCUCUUCUCUCGCCCACUAAAUGUCUUUUAUUGCCAUCAGUACGACUGUCGACAAAAUCUUCGAAAAGGAAAAUAAAUCUAAACUGAAAUAUUUGAUUAAUCGAAUCGAAUCGAAUCGACCUACCAAACACAUUCUAAAAUAUAUGGUACAUUAUCUUUGUAUAUUGUACACAUAUUUCCUGUAAUUAGUAGAAGUCAGAAAGAUUCUCUUGAUGUGUGUGUGGGUGGAUAUGGCAAGCUACUGCAUGUGGAUCCAACACAACUUGUUCUGCUUGGAUCCUCGAUGCUCUACAUAGCAUCCGUGAACGACCGUGACUCCCGCAUGAAUCAUGGUAGUGUUUCCUCUCAUGGCUUGGCAGCUCUCGAGAGUCUUUGUCAGUAGCAGAGAGCAAAGAGGAGAAAGGAGGGGGCGAUGGACCUGUAGGUGACGAGGGCGGGGAGGGGGCGGUCGCGGAGGAGGAGCGGGAGGUCGCGGCCGGGGAGGAAGGCGGAGAGGUGGUCGACCCGGAGCUCGACGAGGUCGGCGCCGCUGGCCUUGGCGGCGGCCAUGUCGGCCGUCAUCUGCUCCACCGUCUUGGCCACCAGCGGCACGCACAGCAGCGUCAUCCCUCUUCCUCUUUGGAUCUGGUAACGGAGUCGGAGGGAGAAGGCUCUUCUUCGAUGGAGUUUAUAGAGAGAGGAGGAGAUGAGGAUCCACGUCAACGUUGCGACAGCAUACCGGAUCUGAUGGUUCAUGUAAGAUAUGUGCGUGUCAGGAGUUUGGUGAGUAAUGUGACUGUGAAGGCAUUUCGUCAAACAUGAUGACUGCGAGCCUUCUGCUAACACCUCCGAGCCUCUUUUCCAGCCGUCGAUGGCAAGAUUGACCACAUGUAGACAUUAAUGAUCAGAGAGAGAGAGAGAGAGAGAAGGGGUGGGUGAUGGGUCACCUGUCAUGAUAUGUACCCAACAUUAGGAAAUUAUAUUUAUAAGACUUCGAGAUCACAUCGUCACUCCUAAAAGACUCGAAUUUCUUGCAUAAAUGUCGGUGUCGUAUUGAGGUUAAUUUAAACUGAGUUGGCAUAUCCUAAGACAUGUAUUUUGGCGAAGAUCAUGAUGAAUUGAAGAUACAUUAUAUGAAGGUGUUAAUGCAAAUCCAAAAUCUUAGAUAAAACAUCAAAAUUCUUAUCAAUUAAAAAUCAGCAAAGACGAUGGAUUGAAAGGAUUUAAUGAUUUAAUUAAUAUAACAAAUUAAAUCACUCUAUCAACGGAGGCAUUUUCGACUUAUCUAAUAUACGUUGAGUAAUUAGGUAGAUAGUUUGAUAUAAAAUGAUUAUAAGGUGCAAUGUCACAGAACAAACCCAAAAUGCUGCAUAUGUUGUGAAUUCAUCUCCCCAAGUUGUUUUAUUUUUCAUAGCUAAUGUAAAGGUUUCCAAAUAAAGCAUGCAGAAAGGGAUGUCUCAAAGGAGAGUUUCAGUACACAUUCUUUGGAACUCAAAUAGUUGUUCUAAUGUACUCUAUGACAAAACCUCAGCAUCCAACCAAUAGGUGAAAAAGAUGAUCAAGCUUGCAAUCCAAUAAUGCCUGAAAUUUGACCCCCCCCAAAAAAAUCAAGAAUAUUAUGAACUAGAGAUAACAGUGGACAGAAUGUGAUUGCAAAUAAAGUAGUUGUUAUUAUAAUCAAAGUAAAGAUUCAAGUUUGUUUGUCGAACUCACCGCAGGCAACCCUUCCGCCAGCGUUCCCAGUGGUCUUGCUCAGCUCAUGACCACCUAAAAACAGGAAAACAAGUUUUUAAGAGAAAUAAAUCCCUAGAUGGAUGGAAAACCCACGAGAUGCCACAAAGGAACAUUGCAAUCUCGUUAAUAAGUUAAAAAGACAAGUUUAGCAUGAUAUAAAAAGUCAGAAUAGAUUGCCAAUAAAAAUGAUAUACAAGCUUCAACAAUCUUGUCGGCAGGAAAAAUCCAAGAUACUUAGGAAAAGUUAGAUGCUUAGUUACUGAUCACCAAAAUCAGCAGUAUGACCUGAAAAGGCAUUACCGGUCACCGCAAUCAGCACAUCUUAUGCACACCAGUCCGCCAAAUACAAGAAACAUUUCCAAGAUUGGCAGCACGGGGAUGGAUGGAGAUGAGGCUACCAGAUACAAGAAACAUUUCCCACAAGGCUAGAAACUGGAUGCGAAAAAAGAGACUGAAAGAGUAUGAGGAUCAAUAAGACGAAACAUGUUCAACAUUUCCACGACAUUGAUAAACUGCAGAUCCAAGGCUGUAGUCUAUGAUUGUUAAGAUGAUUGGAAUACAGGAUUUUCAACCAAGUCAUAUCCAAUUUGAAGACAUUAAUAAUCUGGAAAUUAUGUCCUGUUACAGUUACACAGAAGAGUCAUCUACUACUUAGAAAUAGAAGCAAGAUGGUAUUUAUUGGAUAAUUAAUAUGGAUCACAAAUGAGGGAACAAAGAAGUACAGAGUUUAUGCUUUUCCAACUGUUUAUCAUAAGUCAUACAGGUACAAAGCCACAAAUAUUUACCAUAAUAUCUCAGCAAUAUGAAUUAAAGGAAUUCACAAUUUUCUUAUCUGCCUGGAACCUAAAAUAUUUCAAAAUCAUUUCACACAAUAUCACAAAAAAUAUUCCAAAAACAUGCUCCUUAAACAAUAAUAUCCAUGUAAAGAAUAUGUCAUCAAUUUUCAAGUCACUUUAACAUCAAAUAUUCAGUAUGUCCACUAAAAUAUACAUGUCGUUAUGUCAAAUUGUAAAGCUACAACACGCCAGAAAAUUUUCUAGCAUUCUCUGGGGGUUAUACACUGUUUAUAAACACUUAAGAUACUGGAUAACUAGACAUUGAUUUUACAUGGGAAAUUGAUAACAUAAUUUUAACUCUGAAAAAUUAAAAAUCUCCAAGAACCAAAAUACGAAAAGAGAAAAGAAGAGAGAAGCACCCAGAAAAUUAGCUGAAUAGCAUACAUAUAGAUGUUCAUUCUUCAGAUAUCAGAACAAGCUGUUGCACAUGCUCAGACAAGAACUUCUACAAUGAAUGAGCCAAGGUUGUAAAAUUAAACAUUACAGCCUAAAAAAAAGUGCACAUAACCUUUUCCAAGAUCAUCUGGAUCGGCAUGGACCACAACAGCCCUCCCGAUAAUGGAAUUUGGACCGGAGAGGGGAAUCUGUGAAAAUGGAAAAGUUCAAAAUGAUUACCAAACCAAAAGCGAUGUCUUUUACAUCCGGAUCACAGGAACAAGUAAAAAAGAAAAGCAUAUACUGGGUCACCUGGCUAUCAGUGAUGGAGAAAGUGACAGUACCUGCAAUAUCAUCAACAAACAAUUAUAGAACAUUUAAUUAGCCACUAACAAAUUGGACCAACACAGCUCACAAGGGAAAACACAGAGUGGUCUCAGGUCAAGCCUAGAAAACCACAGAAGCUGAGGAUCACAUUUGUAGUACCAUCCAACGAUUCCAAUAAGAAUUGUCACUUACCAUCCUCCCCGGCGGUCACAUUCCCAAGAUCGCCGGCGUGGCGGCCCGCAUCGUCCGGCGCUCCAUGUUCCUUCCCCGCAGGAUUAAAAUGCGGCCCUGCCAUGCGGUGAAUCAGGAAUUACACAUAGUACAGAGACAUGGACUAUCAAAGGGAUCAAACGGAAAAAAGACCGAUACCAGUGGACAUGCAACCAUUGGUGGUGUCACCGAGAGCAUGAACAUGGAACCCAUGAAGUCCAGGCUUGAGACCAGAAAUCGUGCCAGUCACGGUAGUCGGACCUGGAGACAGCAGAACAACAGAUCAAACCGAUUCGCAACCCUAACCAAGAAGCAGCGGUAAUAGCGAAUCCAAGAGACGAGAUACCAUCCCCUUCCUGGGCGAAGUACACGGUGCCCUUGACGCUAUCACUGCUACCGAGAACCGCGACGGCCUUCGCCAUCUUCGUCCGUGAUCUGCACGACAAAGAUCCAAAACCCCGUGAAUGAUCUCUCCAGCGAUAGGUGCUCUCCACGUCGGGAGACAGAAUGCCGAAACCCUAAGCACGGCAGCUAUUACCUCAGGCGACCCCUUUCUUUUCGCUUCGAGAGAGAGAGAGACAGAGAGAGAGGAAUCAGAGAGGACAGGCGAAGUGGAGAAGACUUAUCACCAUUAAUUAAUCGAGAAAGGACGAAGGUAGGAUGAGAUUACCACAGUGAGAAUAAGACACCUAUGACCACCACAUCAACAGGUGUCUAAUAUUAUUUUAAUAUACGGAUGUUUUACACAAUAAUUUCCACACUUAAUUUUGAUAUUAUUUAUAGGACAAUUUCCUAAAAACAAUUUGAUUAUAUAUAUAUAUAUAUAUAAUUUAUUUAUCCUUUAAAUAAACUCAAGUUAACUAUUGUUAACAAAGCCAUUAUUGAUAUUGAAUCAAAUAAUAAUAAUAAUAAUAAAAGUGAAAAUGUCUUAAAUAUUUUAAUUAUUCUUAUUAAUCAUUUCAACCUUCAUCUUGUUUAAUAUUUUCGAAAAAUGGUAUUAAUAUCAAUCUGAAGUUUCACAUCAUUAUACAAAAUUUUGAGUUUUACAAAAAUACAUUGAAAGACUUAAAUUUGAAGAGGAAAUAGAAAAAUUACUAAUUUUAAAGGGAUGUAUAUGUAAUUGUAUCUUUUUAUUAAAGAAUAAAUUAAAAUUUCAUGAAAAUUUGAAAACUCCAAUUAAAAAAAAUACAUAUAUUAUUUUUUAGAUUGAAUAUUCUAAUGUCAAGUUUGUACAAAAAAAAGGCAUUUAUUUAUAUAUAAUUAUUCUAUUCAAACACCUAAUGAUCAUUGAUCUACCAUUUCAAAAAAAUAGUUGUAAAAAAAUUAAUAAUUGGAUGUCACCUACUCUGAUAUGGUGUCAGCUCUCAUCAAAGCAGAUGAGCCAAAAGUCAAAAGGAAGUAAGUAGAUAAUUACUGCAUUCCUUACAAUCUUUCUUCCCUCCCUGUUGAGCUUAAUCUUCCACAGCUUACAGAAAAGUCUUAUUCCAUGAUCAGAUUAUAGAAGGAAGAAUAAUGUGUCUCAUCAUUGCACAGUGAUCAUCUUCUUUCAGAGCAGGGCAGACAGGAAAGAACAAGUUCCUCCAAUUCCAAUUCCAAUUCCAUUAUGUGGAAUCCCAGAUUACAGCCAUGGAAGGAAAAAGAUGUAAGUUUUGUGCUUCAGAAACCUUCAAAUUGCUGCAGUAAGGCCAAAAACUAAGAGAGCAAGUGGAAGUUUAACUAAUUGAUGCCAUCUUUGACUCCUCAAGAACCCAAAGGCUGCUGUCAGCUUCACUCAACCCUUUUCUUUCCUUUGUUCCUGUUGGAUAUAAAUCUGCAGAUGAGAAAAGAACAAUAAAUGUAAUAAUUAAACAUGCUAGUGAAACAAAACAAUUUAGAAAUGAAGUUAACACAAGCAGUUUGAACUGUUUAUCAGAGAUCAUCAAGAUUCUUUAUCUUGAAGUGAUGCAAAUGAUCAACUGUAUUGAGGUUUUAUUAUUUUUUUCCUCUUGUAUUUAUAACCAUGCUGUAGAUCCUUCCAAAAGCAGUUGAUUGAUGAUUAUGAGAACUGAGAAAAUGCAUGACAUUAGAACAAGCCAAUAUAAGAUCUUUAACCGAGUAAAAAUGUUCGGUGAAUUCUUUUGUGUGCAAAAAGAAACCGACCGACGAAGACAAAAAAAAUCGAGCUUAGGAUCUUACGAUAAACUAUCAAAGUCUUUAUGAGCUAAGCUGGCUGACACUUUCAAUCAUGUUAUAAAAUUUUGUAUAAAAUAAUCUCCAUAUGAUAUGAUUUGGUUGUGCCCUACUUGUCAUUUCAAACAUUAAAAAUUCUCUUCUUGUGGAAUCCAAUCUGUUCUGAACACCAAGUGUUGUGAGCUUUUAUACCAACUCCUUUUCAUAUAUUUUGCACAUCAUGUACAAACUGGCGCAAAAGGAAUCCUAAUCCAUAGAAAAAGAUUGGUUGGAGCAUAAAAGAUUUGAUUGGUGGUGAAAUGAUGUGAGUUAUGGCUUAGGGAUACGGACAGAUUGGUGGCUCUUUGUUCCUCCUCUCAUCGAAGCUACUUCAUUCCUUUCUGAGAUACGCGGCUAUAAGAGAAAGGAAAAGCUUAGUAGAAUUUGGAACAUAGCCCAUCCGAGAAAGUUGACAUGGAUGCAACGCAUGCCUCUUCAUCUCCGACCCAUUCUUGGAUCCAGCUAACUCUAUGGGUAUCGAUUCCCCAUCAUUGUUUGCUACUGCAAAUGCUGCUGUACACCGACUGUUGCUUCCAUUGUUUUGUGUCCUCUUUCUUCUCCACGAAGCAUCAGAUUGGUUCCAAAUCAUUUCGUAUAGAUGUCACAACACUAACCCAUCGAUAAGAGUAAACUUGUAAGCAUUUACUCUUAACAUGAAAGUCAAAUGCAUCUAAGGUCAUGUAAUUGACGUGAAACAAACCAUUUCAGCUUGUCGUAGUGGAGAGCAAAACAGGGUAUCUAUUCUUCUCCAAACCCAGCUCCUUGUUUCAGACAUCUUGUAACAUCUCCGGUGUACUCAUGUCAGAAACUGGAACCUGAGGACAAAAAAUCUUAAACAAUAAAGAGGGAAUUCAAACCUUAUCAGAAUGCAAGAAUCCUUUUGGCAUCAGAAUUGACAUUACUCAGGAUUUGCCUUGCAAAUAUUCCUGUUAGAGUAGCCUUAGCCUUAUCUGUGAGCCUGGCUGCUAAAAGAGAGAAGAACAUUAUCCGACUCCUGCCAUUACCAACUUGGAUCUGAAACAAUAUGUGAGCAGAUGCAGUAGCAGAAGAAAGGGAAUGAUAUGCGCCUAUAUAAACGAGUCACACGAAGAGUAGAAUGUGCACAGAGCUCUCAGGUACCUACCUCGCUUCGACUUGUGGCUGCGAUGGAGAAGGUGAUGAGGUUGGCGUCGCAGCGAGCGGUGACGGUCUUCAGCUUCAGCUCAUGCUGCAUGUGCUACAGCGUGAAGAGUCUGUUCAGUGAGCUCGGGGUCGACGCGGCCAUCCACGAGCUGGACGAGGACCCGAGCGGGGCGGAGAUGGAGAGGGCGCUCGUUGGGCUGCUGGGGCGGAAGCCGCCGGUGCCCGCCAUAUUUAUCGGCGGAAGGCUGGUUGGCUCCACGGACCGGAUCAUGCAACUCCACCUCGGUGGCAAUUUGGUGCCGCUGCUUCGGGAUGCAGGCGCUCUGUGGCUCUGAGUACGCACAAUGCCGAGUUCAUGGCACAAACUAUAUAUAUAUAUAUAUAUAUAUAUAUAUAUAUAUAUAUAUAUAUAUAUAUAUAUAUAUAUAUAUAUUGAUCGUGCAAUAUGCAUGAAAAUAAGUUAUAGAGAUGUUGUGAUAGAAUCUACUCAUUUAUAAUAUUAUUUUCCUGAUGAAAAUGAGACAUAAUGUGUCAGUUCAUAUAAGUGAAAUGGAACUUACUUCUUGAUUGUGCUGCUUUUCUUUCUAAAUGACCAUAAUAUGACGAUGUAUCGAAGUUGCGUGCACAUAGAAAAUGUGUAUGCAUAUGCCAUCGAUCAUUAUGGAUGUACGAGUUUAUCAUUUAGAUAUGGAAAACACAAUUAAGCAACAAGAUAUGACAGGAGUUAAAAUCACAGCCAAGCUUCCGUCUACUGCAUUCUCCAUCACAAUAAAUCAUAUGAAACCUAAAUAAAAAAAAAGUCAAAAAUUUCUACUUCAAGAAGCUGGCAACACAAAUUGGUAGCAACAGGGCCUACGAAUGCAGGAUAAGGUCAAUUAAAAGUACAGAUUCUAAACAAAAGAUCACAAUAACAUAAUUACCAGAUGACAUUGAACAAAAAUAUAGAAUAGAAUAUUUGAAGAAGGUCAGGGAUCAUCCGAUGAUUACAGUAUCAAAUUCCUUAACAACACAAUUCCAGUACAGGAAUUUCGUACCACACGGUGCUUCCCUUUGGAGCAGAAGUCGAAGCAGUUACUUGAAACAGAUGAAUAUACAAAGGAAGUUGCCACCAAAGUCUUGAAAUUUUGUUAGCAAUCUCCAGCCUGUGCAGCUAUAGAUUUCAACAGCCUUUAUUAGCUUCAUGGUCGACAUUGCUGGGAGCCUGAAAGACAUGGAAGGGCGUGUGUUUCUCCAAAGAGAUCAGAUCAAUCAGGCCAGGUAUCUGAAAAGAUUUGGGUUGUCCUUGUCCCGCUCUAAAUACUCUCUGGUGAUCAAAUCUUCUAUUCUUUUCUUAAUUGCUUUAAAGUCAGGCUGCAGAAUUGAAAAUUCAAGACAGCAAGAAAAUCGAUGAGAGAUAUAUGUAAAAGCGGUCUGUUACUGAUCAACCUAUAUUUCUCCUUAAAAUCUGCAUCAAUCAUUUUCGAUGAUUAGAAAUAUGCCAACACGAUUGGUGCCACAACUAUGGAAACAGUAGACGGCCACACAGCAACACUUCCAUUGCUAUGUCAAUGGUGGAUAAUACAGGGAACAAGAGGUUAUAGCUACUGAUUAUUUAGGGUCAACUCAAUAUACCAACUUGGAAAACGCAGGGUUAAUAGAUGUUAUAAGCAUAAAAAACCUUGCGAUAAAGAAGCCGUAUUAGAUUUUCUAGUUCAUAAAAUAGCCAUACAUUAUGUUAUGAAAUCAUCAAAAUAAAGAAUAAGCAAGUACCUUGAACAUGCGACCAAGCUGUUCGACGCAUUCCAUCACUAACUGUUGAUGACCCAAAACUUUACGACUUUUCAUAAUGCGCACAAUGGAGGCAUCAAUAGCAUAUCUUCGAUCCUUGUCAACAUCUUCUAUUACCUUCUUCUUUUCAUCCACUGGUGGAAGAGGUAUCUGUAGGCAAGAAGAACCAAUGAAACCAAAGAUGGUUGAAAACCAGAAGCAACAGGCUAGGGACAUUUUCUGCUACUUUAAAAUGGAAAAAUUUGUCCAGAAUCCAGACCUUGAUCCUUCUCAUUUUGUCACUGAAUUUGGAAUUAAACUCAAAGACGUCAUUCGGAGAAAUAGAUUUCGUAUAUGGCUCUUUAUUGAGAAUCUUAUACUUGGCACAAGAAAGGGAGUGAAGCAAUCUGAUAACAUCAUCAUCGGUCAAGUUAAGCUGAGCCAUGAUCUCUGAAUAACUCAAUCUAUCUGAGGCAUUAAAAAGAAGCAAAGCCGCCGCCUGUACACAAAAUAUACGAGAAUGCUUCUUGUUGGCAUCCAUGUUUAUUUAACAUGAAUAAAAGUGGAAUUCAAUAGAUACCUGAUAAGUUGUGACAAUAAGCUCCAUUGUCUUGGGCUCAAACUUUCCAAUGAGGUUACAUGUCCCCAAAGAAUAAAUCCAUGUAAGCUUCCUAUGUUUGGUUUUUGUCUGAUAGAACUCUCUAAAAACUUCUACACAUUUUACCUGAAAUCAGAAAAAUCCAAAGCAGGUCGCUUAGCAUUUAAUCAAUAAAUGGUAAAAUAACUUUUUUUUUAACAUAUCCUUCCCUAAAACAUUUGUUAUUUAUAUACAAAUUCUGAAAUAGUCAUUGCUUACAUGAUAGUCCCUUAAUCUUGCUUCACUGUGCAUACCAGUUCCAGUCUGUAGCCCAAGUUCAGUUAAGCCCUAAGUUUUGGGUUUGAUUGAAAAAAAAAAAAAAAAGAAGGCCUGGAGAUUCUUCUCUUUAAUUUAUCUCCAUCUUUCUUUGAAAUAUCAAAGAAUAUCAAAUAUAAAUAAGCUCUUCAAGAAGACACUACAUGAAGAUAUUGGUAAAGAAUAGUCUCUACCAAAAUCAUCAUAACACUAAGCGAAUACAAAGGAAGCAAUCGGGAUGCAAAGGCAUAUUUGCAUGUAAGGAUCAGGCUCAUUGCUAACUUGAUGAACAGUUUCUUUCAUUUUUUUUACUGAAAAGUAACAUCUGCAGGAGUGUAAGUGGCUAUAUUUGGUCGAUUUGAUGAGCAUAUGGGAGUAAGGUUGCCCUUAUUUGUGUUAUGAAGUGGAUGUCAUUUAGGAAAAAAGAAGAUGCGUCCAAGUUGCUUGAGGGAGGAGAGUUUUCAUUCAAAUUUAAAGCAUCAAAAUUAAUAUUAUCAUCAAAAUCAAUUUUCUUAAAUUUGGGAAGCUUAUUAAAAACAACAUGAAUAGAUUCCUCUAUGACCAAAGUUCUUUUAUUAAAGGCACAAAAAGUUUUAGACAUAGAGAAAGCUUUUUGACAUAGAGGAAUAACUAAGAAAAAUGUCUUCAUCGGAUUUUGCAUCAAAUUUUCCUAAGACAUCUUUUUCAUUUAGAAUAAAAUAAUAAUCCUAGUAUACUCCUUAAAUCUGUAUUUAGACUAACUAUGACCAAAAAUGCACAACAAAGGCGGAUAUCAGGAACUAACAUGCAAAUAACAAGUUAUGAAAUACUUGUACAAAAUAAUAUAGAAUUCAGGUACUAUAUGAAAAAGGUAACAUUUGAUUAAUUUAGGCCAAUCCUAACUAAUAUUCCUUUCCUCAGCCUAGAGCAUAUUCCAAAGAUAUGCCAUCUUCCGAGAUAGUUUCCAGUUUUCAUAGGACAAUGAGAGAUCAAUUGGAAGACAAAUUUUCACUUGUUAAGAUGGUCGACAAACCAUUUCAGCAGGAAGGUUGAGAUCAAAUGAUUUGUAACUUGGCCAGAAUCCCGUUGUCAGAACGGUGACAGUGAGAUCUAUCCCUGGAUUUGCCUGAGGAUUAAUGUUGAGAUAGUCCUCAAAAUUAGAUUGGUUUUCUCUGGCAAGCGUUAAAUCAGUCACCUGCAAAGACAAACCAAAGACUCUAAGCCACUAAAUUAUAUCCAUCUAAAACAUAAGCAUGGUGCUACAUACCAUGCCCUCCAUCUUUGAGGUGAACUGUCCUCCACAUUGCUGCUUUAACUUUGUCAAAAUACUCCUCUCAUGGUCAUCAUUAGCACUUUUGUCAAAGAGCAACCUCCGAGCAAGCUUCUUCCUGCAGAUUGAUUCCUCAAUAGGAGAACAGCAAUGAUGAAAAAAGUAGCAAGCACUGAAGUCACAUAAAUGUAAAUGAACAUAGAAGAUUCUACAAGUGACUAUACCUAUAGAACUCGGCAAACAGAUCUUUGUCACUGAUAUAAGCAAGCAACCUCACGACCUGCAAAUACAAAAUAUGUGUUUGAUGGCAUCCCAAAGUUGAGACUACAGCAGGAGAGAAGAACAGGGCCAAACAAGAGAGGGAGAAACAUAGGAUAAGAAGAGAAAGGGAAGAGACACGGAUGCAAAGACAGUAAAAUAAGGUAUCUACUUUCUCAAGUGUCUCCUCAAUUGCUUCGUCACUGAGUUUCUCACUUCCACCCUUCUUAAGAAUAUUAUCACAGAAAGUCGCCAGCAACUCAGCACUUGAGCUUCCUGCAACACCUUUGUUACAGAAAACCUCAAAAGCCUCUUUGAGUGCCUAAAAGGGACAGAACAGACUUAUGCAAAGUACAACAACAAAAAAACCAACUUGACCAUUAGUGCAUCAUAAACCAAACCUUAUGGAAAAGGGAAUGAUUCUGAAAGCAGUCAUUCACAUAAGACAAGUACUUGUCAUGCAGCUCAAUAACCUUUCUGACAAAAACCUGGAAACCAAAGAUUAUAAUUUCUGAUUCUCAAAUAGUAACCAAUCAACUUGUCUGAAAGUACUUAUCAAAGUGUUUCAAUCUACCUGUUCUUGGAGGCCAACCACAUCCCUUUUCUCUGCCUGCAUAGAUUAUAAUGCCAGAAAUGUUAAUAAAGUAGGCAUCUGAACAAGCAGCUAAAACGAUGACUGCAUGAUAUACACAAAAACAGAAAUAACAAAGGAUGCAACUCAUGAAAGAAAAUAAAACAAGCAAUACAACUGUCAAAUCAAACAAAGCUGAAGAUAAAGGUCAUAAACCAAUAUAACUAACAUAGGGUGAGCACAAUCAGUUCUGCAACACCAUUUGAAGUAGAUGUUCAUUUUCUCCAAACACAACAAAAUGUAUAUCACAUAGAGUGCAUGAAAGUAUUACACGACAUUGAUAAAUCAUAAAACACUAUUCCACUACGCCACUGCAAACAACUAAAAAGAGAAAGUUCAACUCUUGUUACCAUAGUCAUUUCUGUGUUCUUACUCAGCUAUUACAAAACAAAGAACUUCUAAGAGCUGUGCAACAUAAUCAGAAUUCACGAAAUUGAAUAACAAGGACAGUUAGCUAAUUGAAGUAAUGCCAUGAUAACAAAAAUUUGUCAUGACAACAUAGACACAAUGCAUAUCAAGAAUGAUGCCACUAUCUUACUAAUGAACACAACAAAAUUUAACAAAAAGGAAUAUGCUUCCACAGAAAAUUUGCUCUGAAUCAUUCUUAGCAAGUACUGAGUUCUUGUGCCAAAAGAGUUACUGCCAAGUGCAAAGGACACCUCAAGAUAGCUCAAUUCUCUUAAACUCUAAAAUUUUUGCAUACCUUCUCUCAGUCCACCUCAUAACAACUUCCAAAAUGUUCCUAAAGUUGGUAUAAUUUCGCCAGUAGAAUGUUAAAACAAAUGUGCUUACACAAGAUGAUUAAUAAAUGCAUACAUUUGCGAACAUAGUCGUUGUUAAAAUCGAGGAUGACUGAGAGAAGACUUUUAAGUUGGUUUGACAGUGUUAAAAGAAACCAAGUUAGAAAAAGUGAGUAUCAGGAGAUGUAGAGCAGUUCAAAUAGAAUUUGAGAGAAACAACAAUAAGAAAUUUUAUUGCUCUAAGUUUGACAAGCGAAUAAUGAGAUUGCCUUCGAGGGCCUCAACAAAACUCCAUGGCAGGGAAGGAUUUAUGUAACCAAUUUACAUCAAACUCAUAUUAACUCAACAUUAUGUUGAGCCAUGGUUGCAUAACCUAGCAAAUAUGAUAAUACGAAAUUCAUGAUGAUGUAUACACUUCAUGUAUCAUAUACUUUAAAGAUAGCUAAAGUCCUAAUAGCAAAUGCUGUGUAUUAAGAGCAAAGAGCAAUAGUUCAGACAAGAAUCCAUUUUGACUACUUUGAAUAGACUUUAUCAUACAAAAUUAUUUUGAAAAUUAACACUAUAAAUUGUAUCUACAAAGGCAUAAUAAGAUCAGUACUUUAUUAAGAUUUAAGACAUUGAAUAAUAUGCAAGUGCACAAAAUUAUCAAAAUAAGACAAUGAAAGCCUACCUUCUUGUUGCUUGCAGCAUCUUCUGCUUGUUUAACCAAUGCUGUACCCUCAGCGGUCACAUGCUGCACCAGAGUGAUGAGUCAGAAAUCACAUUGCAAGUUAAACUUUUACUGAAGCUCCAUAAAGUUCGAACAUGAAAUAUCAGAAAGAAACCUGCUUAAAUAUCUGAGAAACAGGAUCUAGGCCACGAGGUAUUCUGCAAAAGAGCCUAUACAUACGAGAGAGGUCAUCCACCUGAAAUGCAAAUAGAAGCAUGGUCGUCAAACCUUAUUAAUAUCUCAUAACAAGAAUCACUUAUAUGCAUUAUAGAGGUACAGGCACCUUGUCAUCUCGAAGUAAGGCAUGGCACCCAGAAUGUUCCUUCUCCAAAAGUUGGCUUGCAUAUGCAAAUAGUAACUCAUGUUGCACUUUCUACAAAUAAAUGAAAAUUUGAUGAUGAAAAUAUAAAGACAAAAAUGGAAGUAUCUUGCUGAAAAUACUCAUUAUUGUUCCACAUAGCACAAUAUUAAGUCCUCGAGUAUCAAGAUUUCAAAAUAUCCAUUCUUUUUAACAUAAAAACACAUUUAGGUCACUGAUCACCUCAGCUAGAUGGUGCUAAUGACAAAGGAGAAUAUACCUCUAACAACUUUUGUUCACUGCUAGAGUGCAAGUAAUGAGCAACCCUAUCCUUCUCCCGCUUUAAGCACUCUUCAGCCUAAAAAAAGGCCACAUAAGACAUCAAACACACUCACCGUGAGAUAAUUGAAUAUAUUCAUGCGAAUUAUGAUAGGAAAUACCUUUAACAUGUAAUCUGGACAUGAAUCUUCUAGAAUCCAAUUUGAAGCUUUCCUAGAAUAAUAAGCUGCAGUAUCUUUAAGCAGAUCUGCUUCAAAGUCAUUUUCAUAGCAGUCCAUGUUACCCAACCCAAUCUCAACGAAAAUGUCCAAGACAUUCUUCAAUAAAGCUCUAUCAAUUUGUUCCCCCUCACGCUCUUGAUCAAUCUGCUUGGAAGACCAACCACGGUCAAGCCUGGCUAUAUAGAUGAAAAUGACCAAUAGUGGAAAGAAAAGGUGACCAACUUACCAAGGAAAUGACUGCAUCUUUAACUUUUCCUUUAAUCUCUUGAUAAACCUAAAACAAAGAGAGGCCCUAAGGAACUCAAACAUAAUGAAGCAAUGCUUGAAUCAUAGAGAAUGUGUAAUCUCAUGUUACAGACAGCAGCAAUGCAGCAAAAGAAGGAAAGUACCAAGUCGCGAAAGCAAGUAAGCCCAACUUCGUUCAGUGGUGGAAGCGACCUUCGCGCGAUGAAAUAACGAUCAAGGUAAUGAAAGAAACGUGAAAGCCACCUGACCAUAACCUUAUGAUUUAACCAUCUUUUGACUAGUUCCCUCAACAUAAAUUCAUCAUGCUUUUCUCUCAAAGAUGGCAAAACCUGAGUAAAAAAAGAAGGAAGCUCUAAUAAAAUUCUGAUAACAAUGGUAUCACUCAAGAGUUUUAUUUAUUUUAGAGUAAACUUUUUAAUCAAGCCACAGCUUUAUACUCAAAAAGAAAUUUCAUAUGUUACAUAAAAGAAUGAUGAUAUAUCAUAUAUGCAUCUAACAAUGAUUUAAAUUUUGAUCCAAUACCAGUUUUGGUAAUCUAGUGAACAAGUACAGUAAUGGUCGGAAAGUAUAUCGGCCCAAACCACCUGAUAUCAGCCAAACUUAUAUUAAAAGACUUACGUUGACCAGCAUCAUACCAUGUGCUCCAAUACUAGUCCUUGCUUGGACGGGCAAAUACCCAUUGGUGCGUAUCAUACCUAUUAUCUAAAUGCAAGUUAAUUUGUUCUAUUUCAACACUCAAGACUUUGAACCUUUCUUCGUAUGCACUACCAUCUUUGAACAUGAUUAUCAAACAUGAUCAAAGAUGUAUCUAAAAAGCAAGUAAAUUAAUUCUCUAGUAAUUAUUCAAAAAUUUGAACAUCUUUUCAUAUCCACCAUCAAGGUCUGUCAUUUUGCUUGAACUGGUACGUACCAGCUGGCAUUUACUGGUCCAACGUAAACUGGCAUCCACACUGUCCCUUUUUGAGUAGUUUAUUUAGUAACUUAAUUCUUUAUUGUUAGCUUGGGAGGCCUUGUCCCUUCUUAGACUGAAGAAAAACUUACUAGAGGUGUCACAAUUGUAACAUUCUGUCACUUCCAAGCUUCACUAACCUACUCGUAGUCUAAUUUAGCCAAAUACUCACAGAACAUCUCCCAAGAUUUUAUCCACAUCCUUGCGGACUUAAUAGAAGUAACGAGAGAAGAAGACCAUUAAGAAAACCAGUUCAAGCCUAGUUUAGUAAUGAAAUUAAUGAACUGGAAGAUCUUUUUAUGGUUUGAUGAAAAUCAAAAUCAUACUGUAGUAUUUACUAAGCAAUUGUUUAAUAGAUGAUGUAAUGAUGUAUAAUUUUCUCAUCGGCCCAAAAUAUGAAAUGAUACAUUCAUUAGAAAAGAAUCAGAACUUGGUCUACAGCACUUCCACAAAACCCAUGUAAAGAAGCACCUAUUAUUAUUAUUUUAAUCAAAGAAGUUGCCCGAGAUACUGCUAAUCACAUGAAAUUAAAUAUGACAACUUUUAAUGAUGCAGUAACCUCAGUUUUAAUAUUUAAUGAAUAUGUUUGGAUAGCUAAAUGCUACAGUGUCAUUCUUUUUUCUCUUUUUGAGAUCAGCACUUCAUUCUUUAGGAAAAAACAAAGUUUUAAGUGCUUGUUUAGGUAAUCAACAUAGACAAUAACCCAGCCUCUAUGAAAUAUGGCAGGUGAACACCCACAAAAUGCAAUCUAGUAGGACUUAGGAUCACCAUCAACGCACAGAUUAUCAAAACCAGUAAUACAUCACAAUGGUUCAUAUUGUGUAUUUUGAGUAACACUCCUAUGCAUAAAGCUGAAUUUACAAAAUAAAAGAGUCUUAGAACAGUAUGCCACAUGAGUAAAUUUUCACAAACUAAAGAACAAAUGCAUAUGAUACUUGAACACAAAUUUAAUUCAAAUGAAUUGUACAACCAAUUCAUCAAGAGACAGAUCAGUGGCAUGAAACUAACUAAUUAGUCAAUCUGCAUGAUUAGAAACUAGUUGUCUGAAGAUUUCAACAAGAAAAACUAAUUCCAAGGCUAGUUCAGUCCCUACUCGAUCACAUAGAACUGCAGGAAAAUUACUUGAAAAGGGUGGUGGGUUUCAACAAGUUAAGGAUAAUAAAAGAGAAUAACAGAGACACUGAAAAUAAAACCUCUUAUUCAUCAUAGUAGCUUUAAAAUCUAUCAGUUAGACCCUAUAUCUUUCAGCCUCUCUUCGUUACCACUUUCGCUUUUUAUCUCUUCAUGCAUUACAUUACCCACUAUGUAUAGAGGGGUCAAACGAAGAGUUUAACUUCAACUAAAACAAGGAUUUCUAAUUUUACUAAAACUUUCAAAGCAACUAAUUAUGUAAACAUAAAGUUAAAUUUAGUAUUCCAAUAAUGUUGAAAACAUUCAUGUGUAUGAUGUACUAGAAAGGUAUGCGUGAGUUUGAACUCUCAAAAUAAAGGGGAAAAUGAUCAAUCCACACAACAAAGGGGAAUAUGUUGGAAAUAUCCAUGUUUGAGAUGCAAAAGAGAUGGAAUAAAAAAAUAGCCAGUGAUAUACGAUGGGUUUGGCCCACAACUUAAUAGCUUAAACUUUUGGAUUGCAUUAGUGUCCAAACUCAUACAUGUUAGCUCCAACCAGUUUCAAUAAGACAGAAUGAGAUAUCAUAGCCGAGUGGACAAACUUUAAUAUAAAUGAAUAAAAAAUGAACAAAAAAGAUUGAGUCAAAUGAGAAUUGAAGAAAAAGAUUGAGUCAGAUGGACUGACUGAAGCUAAUUUAGAUAACCCAAAUGAAUCAUAUAAGCUAUGCAACCCAAGUCAAGCUAAUGAAGAUGAGUGAUAUUAUAACAGGUAGACACAAUGUGGCGCAAGAAUGAUGUGGAUGAGUUUGAACCAUUGUAGAAACAAGGAAGACAAUUAACCCAAACACAAAAUAAGAAGAUGUUAGAAAUAUUUAUAUGCAUGAGGUGCCUGAAAGAUGUGUAUGAGUUUAAACCCUUGAGAUAACGGUAUAGAUGCUCGGGAAAAAGAUGUUAGAAAUAUUUAUGUGUCUAAGAUGAUAAAAGAAAUGGACUCAAGAAUAAUCUCACGUUACUAAGGAUUGGAAGAGUUGGAUGACAUGUGAUGAGUCUAGCCCACAACUUAAUAUGUUAAACUUUUGGCUUUUAUUAAUAUUCAAUCUCAUGUAUGUUAGCCAUAACCAGUUUCAAUCUCAUAACAACACAGGUUGGCACGGAACAAAUUUUCAUCUUUUUAUUUUUUGAGAAUGCAUGCAAUCCAAGGCAAAUGAAUUAUGCUCACCAUGGAAGUAAUGUACUCCUGAAACGACUCUCUGUACUUGUCAUAUAGCUGUUGGGAGUAAUCGUGCGGGGGUUUCUGUGUGCACAUGUUGUAUAUAGUCCUGAUCCAACGUCGAGGGCAACAAAACCCAUGAUCAACAGAAAGACAUUGAAGGACAAUCAAAAUUAAGGAGGAUGAAUGACGAUACACAACGUACGUGUAGAGCAUCAUGUAGUCCUCUGAGCUGAACUGCGGCUCGGGGAGCCCCUCCAAGAUGUUCUUCAGUUUGGUGACGCCCUUCUGCAUGAAUUCCCAUCCCUGCUCCAAAUCGAUCGUCUUCCUCUCGUGCAUCGACAUCCUCCGCUGCGCCCCAGAUCCCCCCUCGACCGAAUCCUACACGAAUCGGAACCCUGCGCGCGAUCACCCGGUAGGAGAGGAAGGCAAGGGGAUCGAGUCAAACCCUAACAUGGCAUGGGAGCCCCAAGCCCAUGGAUCAAACAAGGAAGAAGUAGGGUAAGGAGAAGGGAGGGGAGGCGAGGAACGAGAGUAAUCGCACCUGAGAUCGAUCGAUACGCUAACCCUAGGAAGAGGUGGGGGAGUCGGAAAAGCUUCGAAGGAGGUCGCUGUGGUCAGGAAGAAGGUCGAUGGCGAUGGAAAUAGAAGAGCCCGAGGACGGUCUUUUAAACCGAGAACUCAUGCGAACGCAUGUGACCGUGAAGCGCCUCUCGCUCGAAGGAAACUAGUGCUUUCGAUGAAUGCAACUCCGAGGAAGCGUUCGCAUUUGCUUGCGACCAAAACAGCGUCCAAUAGGAGAGAAUUAACAAAGAAAAAGGAAGGUACAAACGUGCCCCGCCCGAGUCCGGAUUAGUGGGGUCGCCAGUGGGUCUCACGUCGAUUUCCAAUCGUCACGCGGGUAGUUUAAAGGUUACGGAAAAGUGUUGUUCUUGGCUGAGGUGUGCAGGACGAGAUUGAGUGGUUUAGCAUCUUUCUAUGUUCAUUUAAUAGUUAUAUAAUCUAUAAUGUGAUCGACAAAAUAAUAGUUACUGUCCCCACCACAAAUAUCAUACUUACUAUAAUAACAAUAAAUCCGUAAGUUCUACCUAAACAUCAUUUUAUAUUUAUUUAAUAUUUAUAUAUUUAUAAUAUGAUUGAUAAAAUAAUAGUUACUGUCUCUAGCAAAUGAUUAUAAUAUGACCAUAAAUCUCAAUUCUUUUAGAUUAAUUGGAUGAAUCUUUUGCUAAAUAUAAUUAAAAUAAUAAACGAUUAAAUAUAAGGUAUAAAAAUAUAUAUAAUCAUAUAUGAUAAAUAAAAAAAAAUAUUUUCAUAUGGAAAGUUGCAUAAAAAUUAGAGUUUUUAUAAGAUAAAUAAUGAUAUUUUAUUAACAUCAUCUUUUAAUUACCUUAUUCGUUUAUUUCUUUCUUUAUAAUUUAAACUAAUUAUAUAUAUUAUCCACUGUAAUAAGUUAUUUUCAGUAUCACGGUUCUACAAUUUCAAAAGUUACAUUGAGAUCCCAAAUAUUUAUAAAAAGUGAAAUAUUAAUAUCCAUAUACAUGAUUAAAAUGAUGAUUUUAUAUUAUUAAAAAUUAAAAAGAUAAAAAAAAUAUUGAAACAAUGGGUUCAAUAUUUUACUUUCGUAAGUAUAAGGAUAUUAAUAUAACUUUUAAAAAUAUAAAAAUUAAGAUAUCAAAAAUAACUAAUUAUAAAAAAUAAUAUGUAAUUAGUCCUUGCGAUUUUUUUUGUCAUGUUUUAGAGCUAUUAAAGGUGAGUCGAUUUUUUCUAAAAUAAUUUUUUUAUUUUAAAAAUAUUUUUUGUUGAUCAUUUUAUCAAAAUUUAGAUUGUUGUGUAUUACUGUUAUAAUGUGAUGUGGAGAAGUCAAAUAUUUGAGGGGUUUGAGAUGGUCUAAUGAGGAUUUGAAAUAUUAGUAUCAAAUUAAGUUGAUAGUUUGAGAUAUGUUAGAUACCAUCUAAUAAUUUUACAUAUAAGAUAAUGAUCGAAUGAUGGUGUGUCCAAAUUCUUGACCUACGAAAUUUUAAGGUCUACAUUUUCCGAAAAUUAGAUGAUGUAAUCAAGACAUUUUUUUCGGUGAAAAUAUUAAAAUCAAUGCAAAAAACAAGUAUAUGUAAUAUUAUUUUGGAUUAUGUUAAAUAUUAUAAGAAUUAUAAAAAAUUUUGGAAGAUGUAGAAAAAUAUGUAAAUAUUCGAAAAUAAUAUUUAUAUUUUUUCUUCAAUAUUUUUACCAAAAAUACUAAAAACACAUUUUUCUCAAAAAGACUCCUAUUGUUUUUAAAAAAUGGUGUAGCUAAUUUUUUAGAGACCUCAAAAUUAAUGUACUGAUUUUAAAUGAUUUAAACAUAACGUCCAUUUUUAUUUAUUUAUAGUUUAUUUUAUGAAUAGUUUACUGUUUCGGAAUAUUAUAGAUUGAUUUUAAAAAUGUGGCUCUUUCAAAAAAUGUUUAUUGUAUGUAUUUUUAACAUCCUAUUUUGAUAUAUUGUUUAAAAUAUAAAUAGUAAAAUUUAUUAAAAAUUGAAUUUUAUUUCUCAAGUUUAUCUUUUUAAUAGUUUUUAUAGUCAUCUAAUUUAAAAUUUACCGAACCAAACUAAGUAAAAAAAAGGACCCAAAAAGGAUAAAAAUACCAAAACAAAACUUUUUUUUUUUUGAGACUUCAGCUAAUAUGUUAGAAACUAUGACAUUUUUUUUUUAAAGAGACUAUUAUCUAUUUUUAAUACUAAAAUUUAUUCCUAUAUUUAUAAAACUCUUUGAUUAAGAGUUUAACAAAAAUCCAAAUUUGCUUUAAUUAGCAUAAUUAUAAUUUUUGAAUAUAUUUUUUUUGAUGAGUUAGUUAAAUAAUAAUGCUCAAUUUUAUUGCUUACCCUUUUCCUUUAUUUCUCUGAUUGGAGUUUGUAAAUGGACCCACGGGUGGUCCCGCAUGGAGACAAGUGCAGGUGCUUCGGGUAAACUGUCAUCGAGUAGGCGAAGUAAUUAGGAUUAACGUCGGGCAAUCUUUACAAGCUGGUCUAGCUUUCCCAUAAUCGUCUCCCAUUGCAUUAGUAUCUCAUUUUGUGUGGGGUCCAAUGUGGUCCCGUUCUUCUCUCCAUUUAUAAGACGGGUACGUCAUUCGAGUUAAAGAAAACGUGUAGAUAUAGACUGAAAUUUAAGAACAAUGAUGAGAGGCGCUAUUUUUCUGCCGUUGCCCGCUCAUUUCCGUCCGGUCAUCAACUCUAGUAAUAACGGCAGCUCUUGAAGGACGAAAACCCUACCCCAAGCUUUCCAACUCGAAUGGCGGACUCCGAUCCGGCUCCACCUCCAUCUCCUCCGGCGUCCGCCACCGCCGCUUCAUAUCUUCUCUCAUCGCCAUCCGUGAGUCUUCUUAUUCUUCUGAUCUUUGCUUUCAGUCUCCUCUCUCCGCCCUUUCAUCCAUGUCUCUGCUCUUGGGUUUUGUCUUUGCGAUCAAAGAUCGGGAGGGUGAUUUUGAUUAUUUGAUGUCCUUUUUGGUUUUUCUGCCAGACGAAGCAGGACGAUCUGCAACCAGUGGCAGCAAAAGUUGCGGUGAGAUGAGAUCUAUGACCUAUCUCGCAUUACCGGGUUCUCUUUGCUAAUAGACUUCGUUUGAUCCUCACAUCGUUUACGGAUUUUGUCAGGAACUGAAUGAAUCGCAGUCGGAGUUGUUGGAAAGACUUCAAGGUUUGAAGCAGGUGGAUCUGCUCCUCCUUUUUCUCUUCUUAAUCUUAUGUGAGUAGUCGAGGAUUGAGAAAUUGGAGGGAUUCGGGAAUGAUACAUUCGUGUGUUGACAGGAUUUGCAAAACUGGAGAAGUAAGCUGGACACCCAAGUCAAGACCUACAAGGAUGUGAGUGCCCAUCGUCUAUUGUGCUGGAAACUUGUUUCUUCUUUUAUUUCUCUUUCUUAAUAUUUUGUAUGAUUAUGUUCUCUUCAAGUUUGAUUUUCGCUCACAACUUCUUUGGGGCGUCAAUGCCAUCGGUUAGGACGUGCUGUGGCAUUCAGAUCUCUAUAAAAUGUUGGUCUACUAAGGAGUGUUACCGUUGUCUAAUAAGCCUGAUUAUUGGUCAACAGAACAAAGAUAUCAUGAGGCUUGGUUAUUCAUCCACUUUUGACAUUGGUAGGCAGAUAAUUCUAUCAUAUAGGACUUAGUUUCCUUAGAGGCUUCUGUGACUUUAGUUGGAUAGAGGACACUCAUUUAUGUUUUUCUUCCCACUGUUAGGUUUUCCUUGGCUUUUUCCGAUUGAAGAAUGGCAGGCCUAUUGACAUUGAUAAAUGAGAGUCGAAGAACACAUUCUUCUUCCAGCUUGCAACAUUGCACCAUGUACUAUUCAUGUUCUUGUUGUUCAUUGACUGUGAUCAUCGGACAUGCUCAUUUUCGGUAGUCAAUAUGACUUGCUAUUGCCUGACUUGCCAGGCUUACUACUAGCACAAGGUGAUAUCCCCUUGUCUGCAGGCUUAACUGUUGCACCAGCCUUGUGUCUCCUUAGAAUGAGCCUGUAACUAUGUGAGCCAAAAUUCUUAAGCUUUUGUUGCUAGUGAUGAUUCAUUUCGUCUAACAUGCAAACGUUUCCCUUCCACUUCCAAUGUCAGGCUAGUUGGGGCAUUACAAAUAUAUUUCUCAAUAAUAUGGAAGACUAUGUCAAGAGGUUCUUAGGUGCUUGCCUUGAUACUCUGUUAAGUCAAGACUGUGCCCAAGCAUUUUGAGGGGCACUAGGUGAGGUGUCUCCAACUUGGUGUUGCCUAGGGAAGCACUUCAGUUGAGGUGUUGGGCAUCCUUGAUGCUUGCUUCGGUUGGCCCAAGCUAUCUAAACUCUCUAACCCUAUCCAAAACCUAAUUUCCAACCUCUUCUCAUCCGCACAAAUAUGACUUGAUCCGCACUUGAUCCCCUGCAUGAUCCAAUUAGUCCUCCCUUCGAGCCCACCCAAUAGCUAUGCUCUUUUCCUCAUCUAUUCAUUACUUUAACCUCUUUCUUCCCUCUUAUUUUUCCUCUCUCUUUGUGGAUGCUUCAUCACUGCCGUCGUGUCUAUUCUCAUUCCUCUCUGUUCCUCCUCUACUCUGAGUUCAACGAGCACCCCUCUAGCUCUCACUCUCAUUUCCCUCAUUGCAGUCAGCAUUGAUUGUUGUUGCCCUUUUUGCUUUCUUCUCUCUCCUCUCUUCUUACUCCUCUAUCUCUGAGUACUUCAAGCCAUAAGGGACCUUGGGUCCUUAUAGUGCUGUUUGUUAUUUGCUACACUGAAUAUUGAUGCUUUCAUGCUCUCAAUUUUUGUGUUGGUGCUUGGUUGUUGGAGUUUUGGCUGUCAUUACGAAAUCUCCAGAAAAAUCUGGAUAAGAAUUUUGUUCUUUUGUUGUUUCUAAGUCAGUCCCAAGAAAGAGAUGCUGAUUGCCUAGAGCAAAUUACAGCUGUACAAGGAGUUUGAUACAACCUAAAAGGCUACUUUGUGCACAAUGGGAAUAAGCUCAUGCAGCCUUGAGCGACCCUCCUAAAUUUUCUGAGCAACUAUUGACUUUGGGAGAUAUUCAUCUCCAAUGCAGAAAAAAAUGUAGAAAUUCCAACAAGGCAGACAUUUACUUGGUUCUAUCAUUUUUUAAAAUCACUUAUCUUAAUGUAUUAAUGAUUAUUCUCAUUAGAGUAAGGUUUUAGUUGUUUGUUGAAUGCAUAGCACCUUCUAAGUUGAUAUGAAUCAUCACUUCAUAACAAGAAUAAGAAUUGUUUUUUAGCUAUUGGUUUUCCUCUGCACCCCACUUAUCUGUGUUCCAUGCUGGAUCUUUAAUUGCUUUUUCUGAAGAUAUAAUGUGAGAUAUUUCAUGCAGGAGCUUUCAGAGCUGAAGAGUAGAUUGAAUACUGACCUGGAUCAAUUAAGAUCUGUAAGGCUUGAUAAGCUUUGCUUUCAUUUAGGUUUUUUAUUUUCACAAGCCAUGCUCAACUUUUCAACAUGAGUUAAUUUAGGACUUCAAAGAUCUGAAGACGACCCUUCAGAAGCAACAGGAGGAAGUGACUGCCAGCCUAAGAAACUUGGGGGUACUUGUUCUAUCUUUACUCUGUUUUAUCUUUCAUAGUAUUUGUGAUUUCUGUUGUACAGGUGUAUUAUAGUGCCAUGUUGGACAUAGCUAUUUACAAUCAGUGGCUAGUCUUAAGAACUAAAUUGCAGUUCUAAUGCGGCAGAGCUUUUCUAAGUAAACACAAUAUAGUCGCGUACUAUUAUUUGCAGUUGCCGUGGUAAGAUGGCCAUUUUGCUUUUCAGUUGAACGAUGCUCCUGAAACUCAUGCCGAAACAGAAUGCAACGGCAAGGACGGCACAGGGAAAGUCCGAGAUUCUUCAAUGGACAACACGAAAGAAAUCAAACUUUCAGAUGAUUCGGUUGAUGAAUCUUCUCAGAAGGAAAACAAAGACUAAAUAGGUGAGAAACCUUGGGAAGAAAAGUAUCUACAAGCCUUUUACAGCUAGUAGAGUCCGAAAUCACUUGUCUCUCAAGUCUCUUGAGUGUUGGUGUUGUAUCCACUCCCUCCCUGGGAGACCUGCUGCUAUGAACCAAUAAUCAAGUUUUUCUCCUGCUUUCUUUUUGUCACCUUUUUAAGUGGGCACUCGUUUGAUAAGCAUCAUGCUGUUCUGCCUUUAGGAGUACUAUCCAGCAAAGUAUUAGUAUAGUUGACAUCCAUCAUCCAGCAUUUGUAGGUUACAGCAAACAUUUGUGAGCCUGGAAAAGAGCCGAAAGGCACAUGGCUCUGAGCCAAUCGGCUCUCGCUGGGCAAGCACGUCAAGGCAUCUACACGAUUGAAGCCUUGAUUGUUGUGUUGCUUGAACUGCCCUACCCGUCAUCCCACACGAUUCAUGACUGUUGGUUCCAGUAUCCAUUGAGAAAGGAUUCGACUAUUUGUCAAAUCUUCCCUUGAAAAUGCCAUAUGUAUGCAUGUAUAUAAUAUUAUGUAUGUAUUGAAAAUGUCAUAUGUAUGUAUGUAUGUAUGUAUGUAUGUAUGUAUGUAUAUAAUAUUACCAUGUUUUAUUUUAAAGAAAUUAGAAACUAGGUAACAAAAUAAAAGGCUGAGAAAGAAGAGAAAGGGGAGCGAUGUAGAAUUAAAUCUCUUUAGUACCUAUGUGAUUUUAGACUUAAAAAAAAUUAAAUUAAAAUCUUUAUAAUUAUGAUAGUUAAAAAUUUAAUCUAAUUUAUCAUAAUGUUGUUGGUUUUAUUGAUGAAAAAUAUAAUAUACUUAUAGGAAUGAUAUGAAAAUGAUGAAUAAAAAGAUAAUUUUAACGUAUCAAUUACUAAUUAAAAUUUCUUAAUUGAUUGUUGUGGUGGUAGUUGAUGAGAAUGACGUGGUAGUCAGUCUUGUUGAUGUCAAUCCAAACAUUGAUGAUCGAGGCGGAGGUGGCGGUUACGACAACGAUGAUCGUUUGAUGAUGUGGUGGAGGAAAAGAACGAGGAUGAUGGUUGCUUUGCAUCGUCUUGCAUAUGCAUUGUGGUCGCUAUGCAUCCGUGUCGAUGCUCCUUUGUAUCUGCAUCGGUGGGAAGUAAAGCAUUUGCGUCAGUGCUUUGCCCCAUUGCAUAUGCGUCGACGAGAUGUAAGGCCUUUGCCUGAGAGCGACGAAGAUGCAGAUGUAGAGCGAUGACAAUGUAGAUGUAAGACGAUGAAGAGCGAUCAUCGUCCUCUUUCUCCUCUCCUUUUGUCUCACCUCCCUUCGUCGUUCUCCCUCCUCUUCCUCCUCUCGCAAUAAGUCGUAAAAAUCUCUCAUGCUCCACCUCCAAGACUCAACCCCGCCCAUUUCCAAAGGACAUCCUUGAGAUCCAUCACCAACAUUAUCAAACCCUCGUUGCUGCCACGGUCGCCUCCCUCGCCUUUGUUGUUGAUGUUCGUAUCAACAUUGGCAAAGGUCGACCAUCGUGUUGUUCUUACCAAUGACCACCACAAUAGCCACCCGCAGCCCCCACGGGUGUCGUUGUCCGCCACCACCACAAUAGUCGACUAAGAAGUUUAAAUUAGGGUAUAACAAAAAAAACACAACUGGAAUGACGAUUCUUGCACAUGCUAAAGAACGUUAAAAUUAUCAUUUUACCCAUCAUCUUCGUACCAUUCUUGCACAUGCUAUCACAUGUUGUUUCUUCCGUCAAUAAAAUCGAUGACGAUAGGGUAAAUGAGAUUAAAUAUUUCACUUUCAUAACAAUAGAGAUUAGCUCAAAGUAAUAAUAUGUAAUUAGCUCUCAAAACAGAAAGAAAAGAACACGAAUCACAUAGAUAAAAAGGGAAAAACAGUACAAGGGUCAUCCACUCCAAAUGUAAUUUUAGUUAGACGAGUAUAAACCCUUUCAAUUUGACACAGCACAACUAUACAAUUCCUAGCAGAUGAUAAUCUGCAGAAGAAAGCAUGCAUUGUUGUAAAAGAAUUAAAAGUAUAUGUUCCACUAUAUAAUAAUUCUCAUGACAGAUACAUUGUUCGUCCACAAGAUUUAAGAAUCCAUCAUAUCUCAAUAAAGUUACAACAAAAAGAAGCAAGGGAAGAAACAUAGAACAGUAGAAAAAGUUUCUCUUAAAUCCCAAACUCAUUCCAAACAUUGUCUGGUGUUGAAUUGCCAAUAUGACACUUCCCUGCUUAACAGAAUUGAGAUCGUCAGCUGAAGCAAAUCUGAAGACCUUCCCCACCAACUUCAACUUUCAAGCACUGAAAGCCGCUCGACUCGAGCUCAGCAACGACCUUAUCUGUAAUUGCGGAAGAAAGUACUGUUCUGGUGGUCAAGGUAGCAUCAGUAUAUACAGAGAGCAAGAUGCAUUAUUUGCAAAGAACAUAUACAAUAUCAUAUAGAAUCAUGCCUGAAAUAUUAAUACAUUUGCAAAGCAUGGGCAACAUGCAGUGCUGUGCUGGUUGAGAAAAAUAACAGCAUUACCAGGCAAAUGUAGUGACAUUAACCAUUUAAUUCUACAUGGAAAUCAUGGUUGGAUUGAGAGAUUGCUAGAUCAAUAUUUUUUCAGUACAAAAAAGAAGUCAGUUAAAAGUAACAUAGAGGAAUUCAUUCAACCAUGUAUUGCAAUUUGAAGCAUGACAACUCUUGAUCUCAGUAUGUUUUGUUGAGAAUAAAAGCCUAUUUUAUUCCCAAUGACGACACAUGUUCAGAAAAAAGGCAUGGUGUUAAUUCAGACAAGCAUAUAUAAUAAGCUGAUGAACUCUGCUUCAGAUUGAUUCUUAGUGCCAAAGUCAAUGCAAAUUCCAUGUAUAUGGAUUCAGAUUAUCAAUGCCAGUAUAUGUGGUUAUUUUCUAACUAAAUGCAGUGAUACCACCACAAAAUGCCAUCAUUGUCUCCAUCUACCUGUUCUAUUGUGCUCUUAUCACAGCAAUUCUUGCAGAGCAAUUACUCCUCGCUAUUACCUGACAUACUGAUUGGCAUGAUGGACACAGUUUUGUUCAAGUAAUAACAUAUGUCAUCAAUUUAUAGUAUUAACAUACUUCACAACCUACCUACUAAAAGGAUGGGCAUCGGAAAUGUACUUUAAAAGAACUCGUAUCCAGCAAUUCUUAUCAAUUAAUUUUGUCAUAAAAUUCUAAUGCAUAAGCUAAAGUGGUUUUCUAAGCUUUAAACAUUUACGACUAUUGCAAUAUCAAUCCUCAAUGAUCAGUCUUUUAAUAUUAUUCUGCAGCAGCCUCAUGUACAGAAAAUUGUACUUAUAUACGUACUAUUCCACAUACCAAGCAUUAUACUCUUUCUAUUUUCUUAACUGCUGCACAAAAAAAUGUAAAUCUUUUUCCAAAGACAGCAAACAUACCAUAAUGAUGAGUGUGGAAGCUAUAGCUUAUUGGGAAAAAAAAAGGUUCUUAAGAAAUUUUCUCAAUGCCCAGAAGUCCAUUGCUUGCUUAGCUUUAGACAAAAUUCUCUUGUCUGCCUGUAUAAAGGUAUGAUCAAAAUUAGCCAUUCUAAUGUUUCUAACCUAAUAGCCCUUUGAAGGUUGCUGUCAAAUUCUGACCAGAGAUAGGUGUGGAGUAUGACCUACAAGUCCAGACUGCUCAUUUGCACGCACAGGCACACGCAUGUACAUACACGCAGUCGCAUAAGACUAUAUUAUGGUCUGUACUCAGGUUAUAAACUAGGAAGAAAGUCUCUCGAGUUGUGCCAGAGAAUCUAUAGGAAACUACAAAUGACAGCAUAUGACUAUGAUUCUGAGGGAUAUCAAAGCAAAUGAAUCUAAUUCAUCAAGGUCUAUAAGAAACUUCUUGCUCUUACGGUUGAUAAAACUUAAAAAAUUUCUAGUAUAAUCUUUUCCUGGAUUUCAGUGGCAAGUUUAGGAAACAUAGAUAUGGUUGUCAAACAUAUUCGCAGAAGAAAUAAGAACCAUUUAAAAUGGUCUCAACAUGUUUAAACAAGCUCAUAAAUGCACCAUUUUAGUGAAGAGAAAGAAUUAAACUAGUGGUGCGAGGAAAGGUAAAAGCUAAACAUUUGAUAAGAUGGCAUAGAACGAGAAGGAUACAUGUCGGUAGCAGAGUCAAAACACACCCUCCACCACCAGCACCGGUCAGCUUGGAAGUUAAUUUGUACUUCAUUGUCACUCGAAGCACAGUUUCUAUAGAAGCAUGGCUUACCCCCAUGCACUGAAGUAAACCUUGGUUCAUUUCCAUUAAUUCCUCUAUCUUCUCUUCUCUUGCAGUAACAGAUAUGUCAUCUAGAGCAGGUGACUGUAUAAUGGUUGACAAUUCCUUGCUGAUAGAGUUAACUGCAGUAAACACGGCAGCCAUUGCAUCCGGAUGCCUGGAGGCUCUUUCAGAUACACCAGCAACCAAUGCCUUUGUGUUCCUCCCAACCUUUGUAUUGGUGAUGAGCAUUCUUAGAGGUGCACUUGAUUCGAUAUGGAUCAACUCUCCCAAUCUGAACUGAAUCAUGUUACCUGUUACACACACAUUCCCGAAAUUGCAUAAUGCAAGAACAAUAAUAUCACACGGUUCAGACAUACUCCAUGCGAAGAACACAGAUGGAUUUGUUGACGUGAAUUAAAACAAAGUAGUCUUACAAAGGUUACAUACCAAAUGCGCUUACGGUGUUAUCAAUGCCGGAGGGCUUUCCGUGAAUGAUCUUUUCACCUUCGAAUGCCCAUCUGUUCACCAGUUGAAGCUCAUUUUCGCACAACCUCAGCCAUCCACCUUGCGAUUUGUCGACGGUUAUGGCAUCAGACAACGCAAGAAAAGACGCCGCGAGGGCGACGCAAAAUGACGCAGAUGAACCCAGGCCCGAGCCAAGAGGAAGAUCCGAGGAGAUGACCACUUUUCCUGCCUUGUAACUUGACGAAAAGAGGAAUUAAAUAUAGGAAAAUGAUGAGGCAGGAGAUAAAGAGGAUCAGCGUGGAUUGGUACCCAUGGAUCGAGGUGUAGAGGUGGAUGAAGGCGGCAAUCCCAGAAGAAAGCCAGAUUUUUGCUUCCGGAAUGUCUUGUUCUUCGACUAGGGCAGCAAUCAGCUUGAUCCGUUCCGGCGAGCACGAAACCGGGGUUGAAGGAACAGUAACAGCGUCCCCCAGCCCCUCUUUCAGUCUCGAGGGCGACCAAAAAAAGGCCAAGCCCAGGUCUUUAAGCUCUAAUCCUAACGAUCCAUCGCCAUUCCCUGGAAUGAACAUCGAAAGAUUCCAGGAUCAGAUGCCUCAAACCCCGUCUGAGAGGGGAAAAGAUCGAAAGAAGGUGCCAGACCUGGAGGGACGGGGGGAUCGAGGCGGAAGGAGACGUGCGUGAAGAGGUCGAUGGCGGCGGCGACGGCGGUGGAGCCGUGGACGACGGCGUGCUCGCCGGAGAGGAUGAUCUUGCCGGGAGCUCGGGCUCGGACCUCCGCCAUUACGAGUGGUGGGAUACUGAGAGUGGAGCGGAGAUCUCGACCAACAAGAAUCUAUUAAUCUAUAUUUCCCCAACUGAAUCCUCAAGCAGUAGUUUAUGGUUGGCUUCAGGUUUUUCCCAAGGAAGGUUAAAAAAAAAAAGGGGUAAAUUUACCGAAAACACCUCUAAUUUUUAAUUAUUAUUUUUUUCAAAAAUUCUCAUAAAAAUAUCUUUUUUCAUAAAUAAAAUAAAAUAAAAAUUUUCCCCUCCCUUUGCUCUUAGUUGUUUUUACCUUCGUGCAUGGGUCUUUUAUGCACGAGCAUUUGCACGAAGAGGGGAGAGGUGAUGAGGACGAUGCUACGAGAUGAAGGUGAUGGUCGACGAGGCGUGAAGGGAAGUGAUGUGAAGGUGGACUAGGGCAAACGAGGACGAUGCUACAAGAAGCCAUCGUUCACCGGGGCUUCGGUCGCCGACUCCCCUGUCAUCAUACAUGAUGGAGGUGAUGGUCAUCUCGGACUAGGGAGGGGUGCGUAGAAGCGGUUGUCUAACCCAUUACUUGAUGAGAAUUUUUGAAAAGAAUAUAUACCAUAUGAGAAAUUUUUAAAAUGAUGAUAUUCAAGGAGAAUAAAAUCAUCUUUUAAAUUUUUAGUACAUUAAUAAGAAAAACAUAGCGAUCUAAUUUAUUAUAAAGGAGAAUAGAAUACAAUUUGCUUGUUAAGUUUAAUAUACAUAACUAUAGGAUACAAUAAAAAUUUACAUGAUUCAUUAGUCCUUUUUUUUCUCAAUCCAUAAUAUAUCUCCACUAAUAACAAUUUUGAUGAUAAUAAUGCAAAAGAGCAACAUUAGUAUAUUAUUGAUUUAUUUAAUUUAAAAAUAUAUAUAAAAAAUGAGAACAUCUAAAAAACCCCUAAUGUUCUCAUCAUCAUAAUAAAUUUUCUAAAGGAUACUAAUGUAAAUUAGAAUUUCUAGUAAUACCUAAACGAUAAUUAAUUGACAAAAAUCAAUCAUAGUUUUUCAAAAGAGGAAUAUACUGAAAAAUUACCUAAAUUGAUGAACUAUAUGUACAUCUCCCUUCAAUCCUUAAUAUAAUUGAAGAUAUGCUGAUAAUUACUCAUUUUUACAGGGAUGGAAAACUGAUUAGUCAAUUGGGUUGUGGAUUUUAUUAGAACCUCCGAGAAGGAUUUUUUUUUUUUUAGAGAGAAAUUUUUGUGAAGCUCUUUGGAAUCUUUUUUGUGCUAUGUAAUAUAGAUUAUUAUAAUUUGAGGGGAAGAAAAGAACAGCACAUGCAUCUUACAAAUCCCCAAUGGAUCAACAAGUCCAAAAAAUACCAUGAUAAUUCACCAUUUUAUUGUAUACGUACAAUGAAUGUGAUGAAGUCAUGUAAUUGAAGGCAAAGCAAUUAAUUAAUGGUGGUAGAUAGAUCAACGUUAUGUAGCUUAAUGGUCGUAGAUAGCAGCUAUCUAUUAGUUGCACCAAAAUAAACGAAGGAAUUACUAAUAAAAAUAAAGAUUGAACCAAGUGAAGUUUGAAUCAGAAAAGGAAUCCAAGUGAGAGGGAAAAGAGAGAGAUAUAGAUAGAUAGAUAGAUAGAUAGAUAGAUAGAUAAAUAGAGAUUGAAAUUGAUUAUUGAUAGGGAAUAUGAUAUUUUUAUUGAUACGUGAUUCGUAAGAUGAGUUAUCCUCCACCUAUAUAUUAAAAUGAAUAAAGAUUCAAAAACAAAUAUUUCGUAAUCAAAAAAUUAUUUAUAUCUAUUAUGACGAAGAAGAUAAUCAUAAACUUUUUUCUUAUCUUCUAAGAUAUAAAAAGACAUCUUAAACUCAAUAUAAAAAACUUAAGUAUAUUGAAAUACUAACUUAAGUAUAGGAGGGAUCGAGUCAAAAAAUCUCUCUUGAUCUUUUUAUGGGUGUAAAUUAAUCACUCAUAAAGCAGUAAUAUCAUACAAACUUACCUAAUAAUAAUUUAAAAUUUCACUCUAUGAAACUUUAUACAUUAACUUUUAAUCAGUUGACUUAUUUAAAUUAAGGAUUUAAAUUUUUAUCUUGCCAUGUUUUUAUACAUCAACAUUAAUUUCAUGAUGUAUAUGUAAGUUUGAGAGUUGGAAAUUUCAUCUUUUAUAUUUUUUAAUAUAAAUAAUUAAUCUAAUAAUAGACAGAGAGAGUUGGAAAUUUCAUCUUUUAUAUUUUUAUAUCUAAAUAAUUAAUCUAAUAAUAGAGAGAGAGAGAGAGAGAGAGAGAGAGAGAGAGAGUAAAUGUUUUCAUCUCUCGGCAGUUGUCUCAGAGCAGUGUUAUAUAUGAAGCAGAGAAAGCUCCAAAAACACGCAAGCAGCAAAUGGCGAGACUAACGGCGCUUCCCCUUCUCGCUCUCGCCGUCAUCUUUGUCUUCUUCCUCGUAGUCGCUGAGGGCGGCAGCAGCGGGGGAGCGGGAGAUGAGCUCGCCCUGGGCUGGAUCCCCGCCGGAUCCGGAUGCCGCGGGAGCAUUGCGAAGUGCCUCGCGGGGGAGGAGUUCGAGCUGGGGACGGAGGUAACCCGCCGCAUCCUCGCCCGCUCCUACUACAUCAGCUACAACGCCCUCAGGCGCGACAGCGUCCCCUGUUCCCGCCGCGGCGCCUCCUACUACAACUGCCGCCCCGGCGCCCGGGCCAACCCUUACUCCCGCAGCUGCUCCGCCAUCACCCGCUGCCGGAGGUAAGAGCUCCGCCAUCACCCCCUUCCCGUCUCUCAAAAUGCCAUCUUUAGACUAAGAGAAGGUCGAUUCCGCACGCUGACGGUUUCUUCUGACAAGAUUUUAGCCGAUGUUGGUGGUGUCGAUGCUGUUCUUGUUGUAUUGGUGCUGUGAACAGGGAUCGUACGUGGUUGCCCUAAGGAGAAUAAAAAUCUGAUCUUUUGGUUCUUGAUCGGUUCCUUCUCCUCCCUAGUGAUCUUCAACUGCAUCUCUUCAAAUAAAAAAAAAAAUCCUUCUUUUGAUCGAAACAGAUCGGUUUUGUAUGUGUUAUUGGUUUCAUAUGCAUCUUCUAUUUGGGUCAGAUAAAUGUGUGCUGGUAAACUCCAGAUUUGAUGAAAAUUUGAUGUGUGCUCAGCAAUCGGAUCAAAGGAAUUGGAUCUUCUUCUCUGGUAUAAAACAUAGGAAACCAAGCCAGGAAUGAGUUGUUAUGUUGGGACAUGUGAAGUCUCAGUUGAGAUGUGACGUUCGUCACAUGAGAUCGAGAGAAGUAAUAGAAGAAAAUGUACACCUUGGUCAGCAUAAAUCAUGGCGGCAGUCAAGUGAGAAGGAUGGCAUUCAUGGCAGAUGAGAGAUCUCAGUAUCACUACUGAGAAAUUAAGAACAGGAGGCCAUGUGUUUGGUAUUAAGAAAAGCUGUGUGUGACCUUCAGACAAUACAUCCCUCCACCUUAGAGUUAAUGUGAUCUGCAUAACUCAUGGCAGCUCUAGUGGCAGUGCCAUCUCAUUUUUUAUAGUGUUGAUCUUUGCACAUUGAUCAGUCUAACCUUUCUUUGUGGUACAGACUAGCAUCAAUAAUGCUGUGUAUUUCAGUAUUGUUUUUGAGAAGAUCAUUCAUCCUUUGAUCAUUUUUGGAUAUAUAUAUAUAUAUUAUAGACACAUACAUGUUCAUUCAUCCUUUGAUCAUUUUCGCUUGACCAUCCAAAAGUAUCAUUGUUUGUAUGAAUCAGUACUUGAAGCAUUUAGACAAAGGCUUUUGCUUUCAUUUUGAGCUUGUAUCAUUUCAUCCUGUCAAGCUCCAGCUUGCAAGUUACACAUUUUGCAUGUAUCAAUUCAUUUAAAACUUGCAUAUGAGCUAAUGAUACCCACCAGUCAUGGAGAACCUUAAAGCAGAAGUAUCAAUGAUGUCAGGCUGUGAUAAUAUUCAGACAUUUACUCAAGAAUAAUUGACAAAGGAAUAAUGUCUUUGUUAGUUCUCUCUUAAGUUUGUCAUAGUUAUGAGUGAUCUAAGUUGUCUAAAAAUUUCAUGAGAUAAAGAUAUAUGAUUUUUUUUUAUUCUUUCUCCUACUGUAUGUACUACUUUAGGUUAUGAUACAUGGGAGGGGGCUUCAUGUUUGGUUGGGAUGCUGAUGGGAAGUAUGAAGCUACUUGCUUACAGAAGGUAGCAUAUCCCACAAAGCUUAAAUUGUCAGUUCAUGGUUCACCUCACUUGCAAAUUAUUCUAACAGCUAAUGAUAGGCUAAUGUUUAUCAUCCAUAUUGCUAUUUGACAAUAAUUGCAUAGUGCCACACAAAAGUGAAAAAGAAUUCGGCAAGAAUCUAAGUUCAUCUUUCUUAAAAGCUACUGUAAAAUGCCAAACAAGAGAACAUCUGUUCCUAGAUUCAAACCUUAUAUGAAGUCUUCAUUAACUUAGUUGAAAGCAAAUUCAGGACAACACUCAAAACCAGCUAUAAGAAAAUAACAUAAACUUGACCAAGCGUAAUUUUGAAUAUUCUUCAUAAUAGUAGGAAGAUAAAACUAAAAUUGAGCAACCAGGAUAUUUCAUAGUACAUGCAGCAUUUUGUUUAGCACUUGACCUCCUUCAAACCAUAGGCAAAAUAUAUAAAUGUUGGAUCAACUGCACCAUCCUUGUAGUAUGCAAAGACCAUGCUUCCAUCGUCGUGCAUGCUUUCGCCCACAAAACUGCAAAAGAUACUAUUUGUAAGGAACAAAGAGAUCAUAAGGUGCGUUUAUGGCAGCGAACAGAAAUAGAGAGAACACUUUCCGAGACACAGCAAGAAUCCUAUCUCAGCUCUCAAUCUGAAGAAAUCUAUAACAAGUUGUCUAAAGGAUAAUUCUUAACAAAUAUGUGCAUACCAUCCCACAAAAAUUAUAACCCUCAUAAAAAAUUGAAGUCUAACUUAAUAAUAAUAAAUUCAUUAGAAUCUUUAUAGACAAUAUCAAUACUUUUAUAAGGUAUGAGUAAGAGACAGAGGGUCUUUCGUAGACUCUUUUUUCUCAAAGGGAUUGUAGUGAAAUGUAUGAGAAGCAAUAAGAUAGUGCAGAAGAAUUAGGGGAAAAAAGAAUUUAAGGCUUGAUCGAAUCCUGUUUUUGUUGCUUUUUUCCCCAAUAUAACACCUGUAGGGUACUGAAUGCUGAUAUAAAAAAUUUGAUGCUUACAAUUGUAGAUCUUUGAGCUUUGAUAGCAAGAACUUUGUAGCUCCCUCGAUGUGUUUCUUGAACAAUUCUUGUUUCUCCUCGUCAAGUUUAGGUGUCAAUAACUUGAUAUAACGCUUCACAAAAGUUACAAACUGCUUCUUAUCAAAGGGAGGUUGUUCCUAUUGAUGAUAAAAGAGACUUCAGUAUUUUAUUUCCAAUUAAAAGUAAAUAAAUGUCGUUAACACAAAAAAAAAAACCAUUGACCUGUAGUCUAAACGUGUCGACUAUAUCAACCACCUUAACUGCAGUGUCAUCGACACCGUCAUCAUCUCCACCUUCUGCAGAAGGGUUUGCACCGAUGUCUACAUCGACAGUCCCUUUAACCACCCACUGCCAAUAGAUCAUUACAAUAUGCUCAAAACUAAAGCAACAUAAGUGCAAAUUCAGGAACAAAAUUACUAGCUCAUCCUGAAAAGACCCUAGAUGAUAUUAUAAAAGUGGAGAAAAGGCCUUCUUCCAGAAACUAAUAUACAAGAAAAAAAAAAGAAGAGAGGCUAAAGUUGUAACAAAAAUUGGUCCAACACAAAGACACAUGAAAUAUGAAAAAUACUGACCUUCCCAUCAACCUCCCAUAGCAUCCCGUUUUCAAUUUCCUUGCAGAUAAAUGAGUCAGACAAGAGCUCAUCACCUAAAAAAGGACACAGUUAUAGUCAGAUUACAAUACAAUAUGCAAACAAGAGGAAAGCAUAAGGAACAAUUAUUAUGCAUACAGGUUGUGUUUACGAACAAAAGAGAAAAUAUCAUAAAUUUAAUUAAGAAGUGGGACCUGUAAUGAAAUGACUGACCUACUGUUAUUUACUUUUCCCUAAGAAACAACAUAACCUGUUCUAAUUACAAAUAUUAGACAGCACCAAAUCAAAUGAAUGACAAGAACUGCAAGAAGUUGAUGUUUCUCAUCUUGUGGCAGUCAAUGGCCAAGGUAUGCAAAAAAUUUAAACCUAAAAUAACCCAACCAAGUCAAAAGUGAAUUGCGCAUAUUUGUCAAGGAAUCUGAUAUCAUUGUGAAGCAUUCUCUGCUAAUGUUAGAAAUUGCAAAGUGAAAUACUAUAUAUGUAUAUGUAUAUAUAUUUAUGUAUAUAUAUUUAUGUAUAUAUAUAUACACAUAUAUAAAUGAUUCACACAUGAGGAUCUACCAAAAAUCAUCAUCAUAAAUCAUGAUAUAAUAUUUUAUAAAGAAAUAAUCUGACUUCUAAACUGAUUGCAAAAAUAAUCUUUCCAUCAAGAAAGUUUUCGAUCCUACCACAUCCAAGGUUUGGACAUUAGAUUUAAACCCCACAAGGCCAUAAAUAGGUCUGAGUAAUUUGUGGUGUGAAAACUGCUUUUUCUUAUAGUAUCCAACAACACCCAAUUCAGCUAUAUGUCAAAACGCUUCAGAACAAAUACGACUGUGCCCAUCGCAUAACGAUCACAUAGCAUACAAAGUUUCGAUCUCAGAGGGGACUUAAGAGAGUAGACACGGUAACAUAGCCCAACUCAGGAAGCCACUUAGAUCGACCAAAAUCCAGAACGAAAACAGAAGAAAACAUAGAACAUCAAUUAGGGAAAAAAAGCAACUUUUAUGAUGGAGCUUUAACCCCAAGAUCCAAUCUUUCCGUCAGAUAUAUAAAUUAACCAUCACAAAUCCAUUGAUCUCUCAAUAGAAACACACUCACUCUAAAGAGAGAAAAUAGAUCUUCAGAUCUUUACGCAUACCUGUAAGCAGAUCUUGAUACACCAACAUGAUUCUUAAACGGAUCAAACCCUAUUCCGGAGAAGGCGAGAGACGCGGAGGCGAGACAGAGAGGGAGAGGGAGCGAGAGAGGGGGAGACGGAACCCCAUAAGGCGCUAUUUAUCGACGAGGGUUAGGGGGGACGUACGGCUCUCCCGUCUUUCCUUCCCCAUCGACCCUCCAAAAUUGACCAUGAUCUCACCUUUGAAGCGUCUGAUGCCGAACGGACGGCCUCGGAUGCUGCUGCAGCGGAAAGCCGCAUAUAUUUCGGACGGCGAUCGGAUUCCCCCGAAGAAACGAACUUUAUGGUUUCCCGCAUAGAAACUCCUGUAGGGUAAUGAUAUUUGAUUCGACCCAAACCGAUGACUUCAGUUUAUUCUCGGUCUCGAUGUCGAUCGAACCCGGCUCGAUCAGAUCGGAAAGCAAUUGGGCCGCAGUUAAUUGCGGGCCCAACAAGCAUUAAAAUACUUCUCUGACUGUCAUUGGAAGUUUUGGGUCCCACAGGUUCGUGAGACGGCUAGAAACGGCAGUGCUGUUUGAACGAACUCGUCCACGUGGAGGCGCUCGUGCGCCGUCCCUUCUUACCACAAGAGGACCUCGUUGUUGCUUUCUUCCCCUCGUUGUGCGUGUCUUGUGUUAGUUAUGACCAAGAAAAGACGAGGGAGAGAGAAGCGGGGCGAAGAGGGGAAGGGAGAUGGGGGAGAGCCCGAGCUCGUUCGAGACUCUAAGGAAGUGGGUCGUCGAGCACAAGCUUCGGACCGUGGGUAACCCAUCGGAUCUCCUCGUCUCUUUUCCUCGCGUUCGUUUCCUAACGUGAGGGAGAUAUGUUCUGAUUGCGUCCUUUUGCCGGCAAAAAGGGUGCCUCUGGCUCAGCGGCAUUGGGAGCUCGAUCGCGUACAACUGGUCGCAGUCUAAUAUGAAGCCCAGCGUCAAGAUCAUCCACGCCAGGUUCGUCUCGAUUGAUCUAUUGCCUCUCCGGUGGCUUCUACAUUUGUUCAAUCCUUCAUUCCUUUUGUUCGUGUUUUGCUUUCAUGUAUUAACUGGCAUCACCGCCGGCGGGAGAUACAUUGCAAUUGCUGGUGUUUCGAUGUUAGGGUUUGCCGCAUUCUUGUGCCGUUGCUCGCAUAUCGAAUUGGUUUUAUGGAGGAGUUCUCUCUCUUGCUUUAAUGUAUUAACAUCUUUGUCGCAUUUUUCCGGCUUCUAUCGUAUUGUUCUUGCUCCUUUUUUUUGUAUGAGACGAUAAACGAGAUACCUUUUUAAUCAUAUAUGAAUUCCUGAAAGAUAGAGGAGGCAACAAUUGGUUUCAGUGAAGGUCUACGAGUUUAAAGAAGAAUGGCAUUCCAAAGCCGAUAGAUACAUUUGUUCUCUAGCACUACGAACGCAAACUUUGUUAUCGACCUCAUUUCUAUGAUCGGGUGCAGGUUGCACGCUCAGGCUCUAACAUUGGCGGCUUUAGCUGGAGCUGCAGUGGUUGAGUAUUAUGAUCAGUAUCAAUCCAAAUCAGGAGGACCAAAAGCGAAUUAAAAUGCUGGCGAAUUCCUUCCCCCAUCACAGAAGGAUCAAUAAUGUUGGGCUAGCUGAGUUCACCAUAGCUUUGCUCCGAAACAGAGUAUAUUACCAAGAAAGUAAGAUAUGUUCCUGCAUUUUUGUCAUAUAAAAUAACAGAUAUUUUCUACCAAAGACAAUUUCACUUCAUUACUUCUGCUUCUUGUUUGUAAUUAAGUCAAGAGGAAUGACCACCUAGCAAUGGUAACAUAUGAAAACAUGAGACUGCUACUUUGGUAAAGCCCAAUGGUAAAACCAUGGCAUUAAAGUCCAUUCAUCCUUCAUGAAGUACACACACAUUGUUAACAAAUGGGCACUGUUGUUCCUAGCAAAAUAUGCUUGGGCUUGUCAUGAUGACUGUGGUCGUCACUCUUCCAUUGCAUCCACCUCAGCUGCUGCUUCCACCUUCGACUUCAAUGGGGUAAUCUUGGUAGAUAGUACCUCUGCAAUCAUGCGGAUAGCAUAAUUAAAGUUUUCUGCUGGUGUAACCAAGCUUAGAAGAAGAUAUUCCUAGUUUGCUUUCUCAGCCUCCUACAGUUUUACUUGGAUUCCAAGACAUACCGGUAUGACCCUUGAGAAAGUUAUAGCCUCUUGAACUGACGUAGGUUCUUGGAUUUGGCAACUGAUGAUUCCGUAAGUACUCGGUUUGGCCCUGAUACCAGUAGAAAACAUAAGCUAUUGGAUUAGUAACGAUGGUGAGAAACUAAACAUUUAAAUGAAAAGUUCAAAAUCGGGUCCAUACUCUGGUUAUCACACAAACAUCAACAUUGCUUCCACUUCCCAAAUCAUUGAAUAUCCCAGAGCAUAUAGCUUCCGAUACAAGCUUUAUUCCUUCGUCUCUCUGUACAGUCAACACCAGUGUUUGAGAUGUGAUAAUAAGUGUUAAAACUCUUUGAGUUCAGACUUGCAACGAAAGAGAACCUAUAUUGCAAAUGCUACUGUGAUCAUGCAAUAUGGAAAGGUACACCAUUAAUACACUUAGAUUUUGAUAUGACAUCAUCAACAUCAACAAGCUACUUAGAAUAGGUAUUGGGUCAGCUAUAGCACACAACUCAAAUUCGAGAAGCACUGAUGAAUAUUUGCUAGGAUCUGAAAACCAGCUACCAACUUAAAAUUUCUCCUUUGGAGUUAGUUUGAACUUCUAGUCAAUGGAAAAAAAAGGAUUUAACAUAUAACCUUAAAAGAGCUAGUUGGCUGGUAGAAGAAUCUACCUUCCACAAGGUGCUUUUUUGGGCAACCAAGGUACAACCCCUUAAAAUUUCCAACAAAUGUGGAUGUCUACAAGUAGGGUAAACAACAAGAACUGACAUAGGGAGCUAUACUUAGCUUCAAAAUUAAUUGAGUAGAACUCGUCUGUUUCACUUACCAAUUCUAACUUAGUUUUAUAAUUAUGAGUAACCAUAUUGUAAUAACAAAUAUGUUUUACUCUCGAAAAUCGAAUUGCAAGAUAGACAUAGAAAUUCAAUAAUCUAAACGCCUAGAAUUAGAUUAUAGGGAUAAAACAUUGAAUAUGCUGUAUUUUGAUUAUAAAUACAUAUAUAUACAAGUGAUGUACUUUGGUUGGUUCAGUUAACUUGUGGCCUUUCCAUUUUGCUGCCUUUUCAUUUCACCUAAUGGCUUACAGAACUGAAUGAUCUGCUACAUGUUCCGGAUAUCAAACGUUAGUCCCUUCGGUCAUUUAUAAUAAUUGCCACUUCCAUCUUUUACACCAAUAAAGUGCAAGCUUGAGUCUUUGAUCAUUAGACUAUUUAAAUGCGGCACCUCGCCCCAUAUUUGGUGCAUGCAACAGCUACCACUUAAUCCUUUAAGACAAUUAAUGGUUUAUAACUGACAGGAAAUCAUGAAGGCCUUGUCAUCGAGUCAAAAUCAUCGACUAUAACAGAAUAUGAAUCUAGAGAAGAUGUAUUGAGUUGAUGUAAAGUAAUUUAAUUUUUUGCUUUCUCCACAACUUAUGACAUUUUCAGAGCUAAUAAGGCAAGUGGUAAUUUUGACUUAGAAAUUGGAUAAAACAAAAUAUCAUUACUAUUUCUUGUUUCUAAGAAUAUGUGAAACAUAAAUGACUAUACAUUAAUUUUCUUUGAAGCUCCACAAGGACUGUUUCUAAGAGUAGACAGAUUUUUACCCUUGAAACAUUCCUGCCAAGGGUUACAAUCUGUUUUAACUUAUCUAGAACAUGUAGCAAAAUGUCGUGCAGCCUUCAUGGUUAAUAUGUCUCAGUUUUGUCCAUUGUAGGGUCAUUAUGCUAAUAGCAAUUCAUUUACAAAUACUUCGUAUCAAACAUUAGAUCUUGGAUAGGUUAUGAUUAGCUAUUCAGCAACAACAGUAACAGCAAACAUAUGAUGUAUGAUAACCUAAUAUUGUUUACCCACCGUAAGACCCUCUCUGAAUUUUGAUUCAAAGACAGCCAUUGCAGCAAGAGAACCAGAACCCAUUGUAGCAAAAGGAAGAGUGUCAGUUGAGCCAUGAGGGUAUACCUACAUAAUAGUUACAACAUUAGACGUCACAGCAGAUAUCUAGUAAAUAAAUAAAUAUUUUAAAAUCAGCCACAAAAACUGCACUUACUGUGUGCAAAUGUGGUCCUGUAAUAUCAACUCCACCAAGAACCAAUGCAGCACUAACAUGACCUUGGUAACUGUCGAAAAUUUUAAUAUUAUACUGGUAAAGCACUUGCCAACAAUUUCAAAGACGACCCUACUUGAUUACCAUUCAAUAUGUACCUGAAAAGGUGUGAUUUCAAAAGUGUAAGGGCAGUAAUAACCCUUGAUUCUCGACCAGUUGCAUAACGGUGAAGCUGCAGCUGAGAGCUGACCAUAUCUGGAACCAGAUAGAUCAAACAAAUCAUCCAUGUUAAUUGGCAGAGAUUCUUAACCCAGCCAAAAAAGGAUUGGAAUUUGGUGGUGAUGCAAUUGUGAUAUAGAAAUUAAAAGGCCAAUGCAGGCAUCUGUCACAUGCACCGGAAGGCCUACCUGUUACUGCCUCUGUAUCAGCAGCAGUUCCAGCCCCACAACAAUAAAUAUUUGGUGCCAUAUAAUGAAUUUUUUCACAAUUCUUAUCAGCAACUAUAGGCCCUUCAGUGGCCCUUGUAUCUGCUCCAAGUAUAACACCAUCCUGAAAUAAUAGUAAUGUAAAGAACAGGUGAGGUGUGUAUAUAUCAAUACUUACAACCUUAGAUCCUUUACUAACUUGAACUAGCAAAUUAAUACAUUUUCUGCAAGCCUCACAAACUUUAUAGAACACUGAAGAGACUGGUUUUGUUUGGUAUUGAUAUGAGAAAGAAUAAACCAAACAGGAUAUUUGCAUUAUUAUACACUUUAAGAUUUCAUAAAAUGACUUAUGAUAAUUAGUAGAGCCGAUACACAAGCAAUCAGAAAUCAUAAUAUAUGGAAAUAUCAAACAACCAAUAUGUUUGGCAGUCAUCAAAACAGUUGCCGAGUGCAUCAUAAAGUGUGAUCUAUGAACACCAAUUUGAACCUCAACGAGUUGUUGGUUGAAAGAAUGUCAGUCCGCUAAUACCCUCAGCUUCUUUCUUAAAUGUGUUGAACAACAUCGAUGCAGGCAUUUGAGACAGUUCGCCCAAUUGUCUUAUUGACUGACAUUCCACUGCUUUUUUAUUUGAGAUGAACAACAUAAAAGAAAACUUCUAAAAUAUUGAACCAAAUUAUGGAACUUUUACUAAGAUUUUAUUUGUCAUAUUGGCUGCAUUUUGGUAUAUCAAUGCAUAUUCUUAACAUAUACGCCUCAAGUAAAUUGGAAAACUAAAUAUGCCUUGAGCAUAUGAAGAAAGACAUAUAUCCUCCCUCCACAUCAGAUUAAGUAGCUUCAACAGAUACAAAAACAUACUUAAUAUUAACUGGUAAUAUUUAUCCAAUGACUCAAUGGAAAUAUUAGUCAAUCAUUUACUCAUUUGCAGGAUUAGUCAACUGGGAAAAGGAAGGCAAUAUGCAACACAAAAUUAUUUUAGAAAAAUUGACACUGUUCCCCGCAAGCUAACAAAAAUAAAUGCACGUGCAUGAAAAAAGACAUCCAAAACCUAGCCAAAAUUCAGAAUUCAAAACACAAACAACAUAUAUGUUAGUGGUUAACUGUAAAGGAAAGAUUCGUUUUUGCAAAUAUAUAGACAAUAUUUCGAAGGUAGUUGCAUAUGACAUCUCAAUUUAGGCACCGCAUGGAUGCCCAAAUACAAUCAUGAAUUUAUUAAUAUGUCAUUAACAACUAUGUCGUGGAGAAUCUGGAGAUAAACCGACAACAGUUAGAAAAAAAAUGAAAACCUCAUGCAUCAAAGAAAGAUUAACAAACACUUUACCAAAACAUUGCAAAUGAAAAGAGCUUCAGUUUAAUAAUUAACUGAAUAACAGAUCACUUGACUUAAAUGGUAAAAUAAACAAAAAUGAUAAUACAGUUUAACCAGUUUACAAUUGUAAUAUUGUUCAAGAAUGAAAGAGCACAUGCACCUCAAAGACCAAUCCAACAAUGGUUGUUCCGGUCUUUCUAAAAGUUGGAAGCUGAUUGCCUUUUUUCAACAGCAUUUCAUUCCUUUGACACAGAUCAAAGCUGAAGCCACCUCUUGUUGGAGCAUCUGCAGCAAACCGAGCCAUUCUGGAGAAAAACAAGAACUUAACCAAGAAAAAUCACAAACAAAUACUAUUUGUAGGCCCAAUUAAACUUAAGGAAAACAUCCACAAAGUGCUAUUGCAAGCAAAUCUAAAGUACAAAUUGCAAAAGAAUGAACUUUGCCAAACCGACUAUCACAAUAUAAUAAAUUCUCUCAAAAUACAAAAAGAAAAAGAAUCUUUCCCUUUUUAGUUCCAUAAAUACUGAUAUCAGUAUAACUGACCUAUUAAAACUUGACUUGAUACUAACCAAAGAAUACAUCAUUUCCAUCUUAGGUACUACCAUUAUUCAGAUCCCACUGCUGAAGUUAUAUUCCUAAAUUGGUACCUCUUGGAUUCCUAACAUGAAUAGCUUGUACUGUCACACCCCAGAUUAAAAAAAAUAAACCAUCACUUCAAAAUCCAUGAUUUACAGAGGACCCAUUUUUUUUCAAUAUCCUCGUGUUUACAAUUUUCAACUCGAAAAAGGGCCGCAACUUCUUGUGAGUGCUCAAGUGGCAAAGAAGUCUACUGCACCAAUGCCUCAGGUCUCUUAUAAAUUAGCAUGUUACCUCGAGAAAAAAAAUAUAAGAUCAAAAAAACAUAUCAGCAACCAUAUAUGCUGGUAAGAACCUUCGAAAAAUCAUAAAAAAUAAUAUUUAAUACUCAUGAAACAUAUUCAAAUAUUAACAAUUUAAUAUGAAAUGACAACAUAUCAAUUCAUUAUGAAACUUAUGUAUCAAAUAAACAAUAAUAUGUCUUAUGCAGUAAACAAAAUCAUGUAUCAGUUUCAUGCAUCACAUCUCAAUGGCAUACAUAACAGUAAUGCAACAAAGGCAUAUAUCAUACUAGAGGUGCACUCUCCCAACAGCAAAUGAAGAGACAUACUCCAUGGGAUGGAGUCUCAAUAGUGGAUAAGAAGAACCCAUAUUGCACUCUCAACAGUAGAUGGAAUGGUGUUCCUCACCCACCCAAGUGAGGACAUGUUUCAAUAAUGGAUGGAGGAACCAUCUAUCUACCACGUCUGACGGCCCGUUGAUCCCUAAAGGGAACCACCCUACAUUUGGUGUAUGAGCUACUAAACUAUAUCCAUUGGUGGUUACGCACUGUGAUGGGCCCAUAACUCCUUUAAUAGGAUGCAUUUCUAAGGUGGACUACUCAACAUAGCCACAUAUAUCACAUGAUAACAAUUACAUUACUAUCAUCGACUUAAUAUCAAAAUAAUGAAAAACCACUAAUCAUUUCCAAAUCACAACUUCGAAUAAAGUUUUUAAAUUCAUCAAGUCAUAAAGACAUGAGGUAUCAAUCUCUUAACAAUCCUCAAUUGACCUGAACCCUAAUUGGAAUAGCCUAAUUGAAUUGAACCAAACUUUAUUUAACUAAAACCUAACCAAACCAACCUAUAAAUCCUUAUUGAACCAAUAUAAAAUCACCAUAGACUAGUUUAAUUUAGAUAUAAUUAGUUUCAAUUAGGUCAAAUAAGUUUGAACCGAUCAAAUCGAUACGCAUUCACUCCGAAUCAACUUGAACCAAUCAAACUAGUUUGGUUCGAUCAACUAAUGAGUUCAAAUCCCAAUAAGCUACAUAUUACUGAGUCAAAUUGGACUAACCCACCUAAGCCUCAAACUGGUCACGCGUGUGGCGCAUGACUAUCCCAAGUAGUAGGCUAGGCUGAGGUGCAACAGGCUGGUGAAAAGGGGUUACGGCAUGGGUUAAUUCAUUAAAACAAAUUUCUAAAUCUAUUUUUCAUUAAUUAAGCAAUCUAAUAAAUUCAUGAUCCUAAAUUUAAAACUAAUUAGAUUAUAAAAAUUCACACAAAUCCUUGAAACAAAGAUAUGUCUAUUUAAAGGAAUUAAUACUAUUAUUUCAAUCCAAAAACAAUAAUUUUAACAAUUAAAUCACAUCUUAAAAGUAUAAUUCAACAACUUACGAUUUAAGCUUAAAAUAUAAGUCAUGAAUCAAUAAUUCUAACAUCAAAAUUCAACGGUCAUUAUUUACUAAUAAUAAAUUUCGAAAUUAAAAUAUUAUCAUACAACAUAAAAAUAUAAUAAUUUUAAUAUCAAAGAUUUCAAAAUAAAAAUCAAACUUUACAAGGUAGAGGACCUACCUCUCUUCGAGAAAUCCACUCUUCAAUCCUCGUGCUACCGGUUUCAAUGAGGAAUGAAGAAAGGAGAAGCCCUCUUUAUAUAGAAGAAGAUGAGCCCACCCCAAAAGGUAAGAAUAAUUUAAUUUAUAUUUAAAUUAUAUUUAUUUUAUUUUCACACACAAAAAUAAAAUUUAAAAUAUUUACUUCCUAAGAGUCACAUCAUUAUAAAUAAAGAUUUAAAUACUCUGAACUUAGCUAAACAUAUAUAUUUUUACAUAUAUCAAUAACAAUAAAAGAUCUAUGUAGUCGACUUCAAAUAGUUGGGAAUUAUGAUUUUUUUGUUCUUGUUGUCGUAAAAGUCACAUCACUCAUUAGGAAAUAUACCAAUUAAAAAUUUUCAGACUAUUUAAUUAUUUAAUUGAUUGACUAAAUUCCUAACUUGCCCAAACCAUUAAAGAAACCAAUUUAGUUUAUUUCCUUAAUCAUAUUACACAAACAAAGAAAUAAGCAAUUCAAAUAAAGCAACACAUUAAUCAUGGUAAUUUGCUUUAUGGUAAGGGAAAAAUCUUUGGUCAUUACAUAAAACAUAUAGGGCCAAGUUCAAAUUCGUCCCUGAACUUCAAUUCGUGUCAAUCAAGUUCUCAAACAUCAAGACUUAAUUCAAUGUGGUUCUUCUAGCUUAGCUAUCGUCUCCAACACAUGAUGGAAUGUAGUUAGGAAAGACAAUUAUUUGGAUCAACUGCAAAGAUUGCAGAUCAUACAAAUUAAAGUAUGUGAUGUCAAAUUCUAACACAUACAAUAGAAGCUAAAGUUCACUCCUUCACCCUUCAUCUUCCCAAUAUCAUGGCUAUUGCAAAAACAGAUAGAAGAAAGGAGGCGAAAAGAGAAGGAAAAAAGUAGGAACAAAUGUCAACCUAACUGCCAACGCUCGAUAAGCAAAAAAGGAGAAGGAACAUAAAAAUUGCUUUCUUUUAGCUAAUGCUGCAUAAGAUCACUUCUUUUGUGUGAGCCCUCAACUUUAUCUGCAGCCUUUUUGCUUGAUCAUGAAACGGGAAGGAGAUAAAGAUGAAGAAUAGAGGAGGAGAUCAUGGUGAUGGAAAAAGAGAACUCUUAACCCAGGAACAUACAAGACAUUUUGGUGAGAAAUUCAAACCCUUUAGACAUGGCUGAACAUAUGGACAGAAGACUGAUGGUAGGAACCGAUUGCAACCACUAAAAUAUUUUUCAGGAUUAAAUUGACACAAAAUUAAACUUUAGAUACCAACUUAAAAUUGGUCCUACAACAAAGUGACUGUUUGUGUAAUUGAUCCAUAACUUUUGUAGAACCGUUAGCUGGAGAUCUAAUCAAACUGUCGAAUAACUUCCAUAUGUAAAUUUAUUGCUCACUGAAAGGAUAAGCAAAGAAAUGGCCAAUUUCUGGCAAUGUAAAUAACAGACUACCAGCAAAAAACAGCUUUUCCACAGUUGCUCGCUUUUGCAAGCUGAUAAAUGUGACUUACCAACUUGCAAAUAGAUCUUAUUAUUGAUAACUAACAAUAAACCUGACCCUCCACUAUAUGCUAUUUCAGAACUCCAACACAUAUAACCCAUUAUAAUUACCCCCUUAUAAAAAUCCGCCAUUGCAGCCAAGAAUAAAGCAAAAAAUCAGAAAAUCACAUCAAAACAAUCCACAACAGAGAAACACAACCCGUAACCAACCAAAACAUACAAGAAAAACCCUAAAAUCAAACAAAACACGAAACCCUAACUCCGCUUAGUCAAAACCAGGCUCCAUAAUUCAAACAGGACUCCUAUUAUUAGAAGACCAUAUCAGGCCGGCAAAUAUUUCGGAUGCGAUGUCCGCAGAAGAAAAUUGCUUGAAAGGAAAGAUCAAUAGCGACAGUAAAAUCGAGGCGAAGGCUCGACGAAUGCAAAGCAUAUAGAUGCAUGCGGUGGAGAGACCAAGAGACAGAGAGAAAAAGAGCCUACCGCUCGCGAUCAACCUCGACGAUCUCUCUCUAUCUCGCUUUGGCUUCCGGAUCGAGAAGAGGUUAAUUGCUGCUUCUGUUGCAUCGUCGUUCUUUACGGCUCGGCUGGGAAAGCAAGGUCGUCCAACGAGGCUAAUCGGAUCAAACCUUGAAUAGAUGAGUUUGAUCCGACACGAUAAUUUAAUUGCCCGAUCCGCACUGGUGAACUCCACGCCGCGAUGGAUCCACUAAAUGGUCGGGUGAUGGGCCGGGUAGAGCCCGGAUCGAUCCGAACUUGACCCGAUCCGCAGCUGGUCACAUCAAAACGGGUCGGAUCAUGUUUAAAUACCUUAAUCGGGCCGCUCUUGUUGGUUACCGAAGUCCUAUCAUUGGCAGCGGCGGCGGAGACGAUGGUUCGCGGAGCGACGGCGGGGGCGGCGGCCGCGAAGGGAGGGAAUAAGAAGGGGUCCGUUUUCGUCAUAGAUUGCGCGAAGCCGGUGGAGGACAAGAUCAUGGACAUCUCCUCGUUGGAGAAGUUCCUCCAGGAGCGGAUCUCGCCGGUGCCCUCGGCGAUUCCGUCACCGUCACCCGCGACAAGAGUAAGAUCACCGUCACAUCCGAGGGGCCCUUCUCCAAGCGGUAAUCACAAAGCAUUCCCUGUUCUCUGCCCUAAUGCAGCUUUCAUCUUAUCAAUUGUUGGUUGCAUUGCUUCCUUCUUUCAUUGGAUUGGAUGUCAGUAGGACUUUCUGCUCAAAAGUUAGUAGCUUGCACGUUUUCUGAGUAUUGUAGCUAGUUGCUGACCACCUGCAUUGGUACUCCAAGACUGAAUUGUGUUGUACUAGAUGUGCAAGAGGCUCCAUUGAUGCACUUGGAAUUGACUCACAGUCAGAGCAAAUUCUACUUUCUCUGCAUCUGAGUGAAUGGUGCUUUUUUUAUGUUUAUUUUGACAUAGUAAUGUGGUUAGGAAUGUUGUACUCAUAACAUGAUUACAUGAAGACAAUUCAUUAUCAGGAAACAAAGAGCAGCAAAAAAAAAAAAGAAUUGAAUCAAAAAGUUUAAUACUCUUUUAGCUGUUCAUGAUCAUCUCCAAUUGAAAACAGUAAUGCUUAAUAUGUUUGUCAAAGUAUUAACAUAUUAUCCUUUUUUCAUAUGUGAAUUAGUUAUUACUGUCUUGAUGAUAAUAUCAAGUUCUGCUUUGCAACAAAUUGAGAAGCACUUGAAUCUUGCUACAUUUUAUGUAUUCAUCUACUUUUUAGGGUUUAUUUUGAUUUUUGUCAUAAUUGUAAUCAAGGGCAUGGUAAAAUUUUCAUGCUAAAAGAAAAGCUUAGCUGACAUCCUUCUUAUACUGCUUGGGAGCUGAAUUGUAAGUUAUCUACCAAUUGUUACCACUAUUUAACUUCAGAGAACAAUAGCCAGCUUGAAACCUCCUUGUCAUUCUGCUUUGCAUGAGGAGACACUUGAAUUCGGGAAUGAAACACUUUUCUGUGAAUAAUGAUCCACCUUUUUCUUCCCUGGCUGCAACCAAAGAUGAACUUAGAUUAUCGAAUUCAAAGAUUUGUUCCGGCUUUUGUUGAGUUGUUUUUUGGAAUAUUGUUGUCUGGAAUCCUUUUCUUAGAUGCUAAUAAAUGUCAAGUGAUAUGAGUUGAUAUUGUAAAAGAUUUGCCUUUCUGCACCUUUCUGCAUUUGCAAUAUUGUGAUCCUUUCAAGGUCAUGAAGCAUGAUUUUGUCAUUACCACUGUUAAUCUGCUGCAGUACGUCUGCCAAGUAAUUUAGCUUUCACUUUGCUGACUUUUAGGUACUUUCAAAAGUAUCUGACCAAGAAGUACUUGAAGAAACACAAUGUGCGGGGUUGGUUGCAAGUUAUUGCUUCCAACAAAGAUCGCAGUGUUUAUGAGAUGCGAUACUUCAACAUUGCAGAGAAUGAGGGGGGAUGAUGAUGACUAAUUUCCUUCGACCCGUUAUUCGACUCUUCCGGUAGCCAACGUCUCAACCGAUAUCGAGCGACAAUAAUCACGAGAACAAUGACGAAGGUGAAGGUGCAUAUGCAAGGAUGAUGAUGAUGGCACAUAAGCAAUCGAGCGACAAUAAUCACGAGAACAAUGAAGGUGCAUGAGCAAGGACGAUGACGAUAGCACAUGAGCAAUGAUAGUGACGAGGGCAAGGGUGUAUGAGCAAAGCUAUUAUCUUUUCUUUUAGAAAAUAAGAGAAACUAAAUGAAAAAGGAGUGCAAAUUGAGAAAAAAUAAAAAUGAGAAAAUAUUUUGGGAAAAUUGUCCCUAAAAGUAAAUCGUUUUUUCUCUAAUAUUUUUACCAAUUAUUUGAUUCCACAUGUUUCUAAACAUUUUUAGGUAGAGAUUAAUAUCGUUUUUAAGUUAUAAUUGUCAUAUUAAUGAUCAAUCGAUAAAGAAUAACUACACGGUGAGUUCAUUGUCUCAUGGUCUUCUUUAUUUCGUUAAUAAUGAAAGCCUCCACAGCAGCCAUUUAAAUAAACUUUCCUAUCAACAACAUCAACGCUAAAGGACAGCUUCAAAUUUAUAUCAAAUAUAUCUUAGGGUACAAUUCUUUCGUGAGGAAACCUUCUUGUGAAUUACUUCUGCUUGGCUUAGUUUCAGAAACACAAUAUAGAACUGAUUCAUAGUUGCAAAAGAUUAUUAUAGGAGGCAAACUCAAAGAGUUGUGUCACAAAUCUGUUUUGAGUAAAUAUGCCCACGAAAUAUGGUGAAUGAAACCAAAUAUUGGCCUCAUAAAGCAAAAGAUCCAGUAUAUGCUGGAUUUGAAAUCCACUAACUUAACCAGGGUUAUCAAAAAUAGGUAAUGCCAUUACUGAAAACUGACAAAUAACACAAGUUUAUCCAACUCCAUCAGAACAAACAAGUAUCAAAAGCCCUAAAAGAUGCGGAAUAAAAGUUUCAACUAGUUUUUGCAACAUCUCACAGUUGGAAACGAAACAAAAGGAAUGCUCCACGAGCCACUUGUACCUAUUCUGCGACAAAUAGUUCUCAGCAUUGUUACUUUUACUUCUUAGCUUUCUUGGGAGCCCUGCAUGAGAAACACUUUCCCACAUUAGAUUACGAACAUACAAGUUCUCUGGGUAAAAGUUGCACGGGAAAGAUCCCUUACUCGGAUUGAGAAGCAGCUCCUGCGGGUGCUCGGUCUCCAGGCCCCUGCUCACAAUGACGAAACAGAUUAAUGAGUUCAACAGUCGCAAACUACUAGCAGCUUAAACAAACUUUAGUUUCGAGGAAAAAAAACAACCGGCAAAGCAAUUUUAAUAAUCAGACAGAGUAACCAUCCAGAGUGAGUAAAAGAACAGUUGAAAUCCGGUAAGCUGCAUAUUGUAAGCCAAAGAAAACAAUAUAUAAAAAAUUAUUGGACCUGAGCCAGGCGUUCCUCUCUCCUGGCGAUUUUCCUUUCUCUGCUGGCCUUGCUCUUGGCUCUCUUGGCUUCAAACUGGUCAGACAAUGUCUUCUCUCUUGCCUUCUCAGCUUUGGAUUUAUGAAUACUCUCCAUCAGCACCCUCUUGUUCUUGAAGACAUUACCCUUAACUUUCAUGUACAUGUCAUGGUACAUAUGUUUAUCAAUCUUCUUUGAUUCACGGUACUUCCGAAGCAACCGUCUGAGAACUCGCAUUCUGCGCAUCCAAAGCACCUUAGUUGGAAGCCUAGCUUCCCUUGUUCCCCUGCGCUUACCUGGGAGACAAAAAAGAUUAACAAAAUGUAUAGAUAGAUAAAGAUAAACUACAAUAAAAUUAACAAAGAUGAGCAAAAACAAAAUUAUUACCAUAUCCAGAAUGUCGUCCUUUUCUCUUUGCCUCCAGUGCCCUCCUUGCACGAGAUCUCGAAUGAAUCUUGGUUGGCUUCCUGAUGACAAAACCAUCCUUGACCAGCUUUCUAAUGUUUUGGCCUGCAUCGUGAACCCAUUAGAUAAUUACAAGUCCAAUGAAAGCAAUGGAUAAAUGAGAUUCUUAAAUAUAACGAAUUGACAAAACAAACAAUAGCAUUAAAAAUUCAUCUGCAAAUGACCAUUAUAAACUAAUGGCUCCAUUUCAUUUCUCCUCACCCUAAUCAAGGAUAUUUGGGAAAAGGCUGAAACCAAGGUAUUACACACGAUGACAACAGUCAUAACUGGGUUUCCAUAGUAUUCCAUGUUCAUCUCUCAUGGUAAAAAUAUUGAUUACCCAAGGAACUCUCAUCGCCCAAUUAGGGUUUUUUCAUCCCACACUUCCCCAGCCUAAAAAUACAGAAGAUUUUGUACCAAUUAUUUGCACAUCUCAACUCAAAUGACAAUGACAAGAUACUAUUUUCUUUGAAACAACAACAAACUAUAAAACAAAAAUAAAAUAAAAAGUGAAAAUUACAAAAUGAAGUACAUCAUUGUCAAAAUACCAUUCACAAAAGUUCCAGCAGUCUUUUUGUGUUGUCAGCUCCUCCAUUCUAAACAUUCAGAAAUUAUUACAUACAUACAUACAUAUAUAUAUAGACACACAUUCAGAAAUUACUAUACACACACCAAUAAUAGAGAACGAGUCAACUCAACUAUACAGUUCAUGUUUUUACUCUACAGGGCCUAAAAGAACAUACUCAAAAAUUUAAGGACAAUUUGAUCAUGUUACUGUAUUUCAAUAGGCAGCCCAAUGCACAAGGCUACUGCCAACGUGAAACAGAAACAUCAGAUGCAUGCAAUCUUAAGUUGGUUCCAUAUAUUUGAAUGCUGGCAUUGAGAUCACACCAGAAGUACCUCUCAUGUCAAGCACAUUCUCAAUCUUGACCUAAUAUUUAUAUUCAAGCAGUGAUACUCGUACAUGCCCAUUGGCAAAACCAUUAAAAUGAGAUGAAAAUAUGAAGAAUGCAAGAAUAAAAUUAUCUUAUCCAGAUCUCGAAGUAUACAAAGUGAACCGAUUGUUAUGUUAAAACAAAUUCAUGAGCAAAAGAGUGGGAAUGGCUAUGAAUAUACGCCUGUAUUAACAAAUUGACAGGUAUAAACACAGUGCACUCAUAUAUUUCCAUGUGAUCUAGAUUGUGUCAAAAAACAUAACAAUAAAACCUGGGUUUGUAUGUCACUCGCAUGCAACUCAGGCAGUCUUUAAAAUUAAUCCUAGUCCCCAGCUUGUUAAUCAGAAAGAUAUGGAACCUUAAUAUUUCAGCUGCUAAAUGCAUCAAAAGAACAUAUUAACAAAUAUGAAAAUAAAUUUCCUUGGCAAUGUAUUAACAUGACAAAAGCACGUAUUCUCAUGCACUACAGCCUAUAAGACCAUGGUAAUCCUUGAUCCAACCCAACUUAAGACUGGCCUGGGACUUGUGGGUUUGAUUUACAGUUACAUAGGUUUAAUCCAACAAAGAUAAAUUACAAACUGAUACAUCAAAUUCAAAAGUUUAACCAUCUUAACCCAAUACAACAAUUUAAUUAUCAUGACAAAUAAGAUAGGUGUGUCAUUUUCAACUAACAAAUUAAAUGAGUUAUGCUAGCAUAUCAGAUAGCCUAAGUAGGACAAGAACCAUGUCAUUUUGAAUCAACUCGACAGGACCAGUUUAUCAAAUAGGUUGCACAAAUGGUCUUGGUUCAACAUUUAAUCAGAUGAACAAAUUGAAUUUAUUGAGAUUUUGAUAGUUCAUCCAUAGUAUCUGACACAACUGGAUCUGACACAACCCCUUCCAGUCCUAAAUACAGGAUAUCAAAGGUUCGACUAUCAUAAAAUAUUCAAGAAAUAACGUACAUUAACACACCAUUUCAAUCAAUACUCAGUGAGGUAGUAUACCGCUAAAUACAUCAAACAACAAAUUUGCAGAAAUUACCUAGCAUCUCGCUUGUUAAAUCAUCCAAAAAUCUUUAAACUUUUAUUAAAGGGUGAAGAAUAAACCUUAGAAACUACAUCAAAGGUAAAGAAAGGUUCACAAAAGAUAUAACCUAAGACUUCUCAAAGCUCACGAUGAGAGCAAAUGGCCAUAACAUAACUAGCAAUUGUAAGAGGGAUAAAACUGGAAAAUGCUGGCCUACAACCAUUCUAUAAUCAUAAGCGAGGAUAAACAUUCUGGAACAAAAAUCAAUUUGCGACAAUGCGUUAUCGAACAACUAAUGACAACGCAAAGAAUCGUCGCGUUAAAGACUUAGAAUUGCACAUACGAAGUGCCAGAGCAAUAACGUCACUGGAUACAUCGAAAACACGGGCCUUUACACAUAAAAUAUCCCCAGAACUCCAGACGUAAUAAACCUAAGAAGAUAACUAUAUCUACAACGAUGACGAGUCUAAGAAAUCAUCCAACAACCAUGAUUCAACCACGAGCAAAAAUAACAUUCAGAGAUACAAGAAAGGAAUUGGUCAUCCCUGUCAAAGACCAAGCGAUCAAUAGGCUUAGAAUCCAGCGGCUGUAUUCGGAUCCAGACAACGAGGACUAUCAACAACGAUAAAGUAGAGCUCCUUACGGGAGUUGGCCAUGGAGAUCUCGUUGACCUCAUUGGGGUCGAGCCACACCUUCCCCCUCCCGCACUUGAGGACGCUGGCGGCGAGCCGCUUCUGGAGCUUCAGCGACACCAUCGUGCUCCUCUCCUGCGAUGUCCAGAAGAACGCUGCGGAGGAAUGCUGCGGCGGCGGAGGCCGAAGGCGUCUAUUUGUACACCACUCAUCUUAGGGUUUCCGAGGGCAAAAUCGAAAUAACAUCUUCUCCUAUUAUAAUGGGCUCGACCAGGCAGAGACGGCCCGGCCCAUGUGGUCAGUUGUUCGAGUUGGUUCGGCGAGACCACGUUGCGAAGUCGGAUCGCGAUCGAGCUAAUACGAUUACUUCCGAUUCUUUUUUAUGUCGAUUAGGGUUUGAUAGAGUACCAAAUUUGCCCAAAUUAUAGGAAAAGAAAUGUGAAAAAAUCUUUUUAUUUAAUUAAAAAAUAUUGUAACUGGUUUUAUUUAAUUAAAAAGUUUAGUGACAAUAAAAAAUGUCAACUUUAUUCUAUGUUUUGAAUGAUUCCGAAUGAAAAUUGUGUAAAGGUUUUGACAUAUUUCAAAAUAAACCAUGAUAAAAAUUUAUUUAUUUUUUACUUUGUCACAAAUAUAGAAUCAAAUAUCUUGAAAAUAUUAUAAUAUUAAUAAUAUUUUAAGAAAUAUAUUUAUAAUAUAUUUAAAAAAAUUCAGAGUAAGGUUUCGAGAAAUCGUUUAAUAAUUGAAACUCGCUAACUAGGAUAAUAUAACACAUCAUCCUUAAAAAUAUAUUAACAAUUAUAAGAAUCUUAUUUUAAAGAUGUAAUAUCAAAUAUAAUAAAUUUAUUUUGAGUAUAUAUUUAUCAAAUAUAAUGAAUAUGAUAUAUAGCAGUGUUCAUAUCAAUUUGAACCUGAGUUUGAUUAAAAUAAGAUAGUUUCAAUUGAAAUUGCUCUAAUUUGAUUAAAACUUUUGAGCUUAAAAUCCAAUAAAUAAUUAAUAUAGUUUGAUUAAUUAAUUAUCUAAUUUUUAAUUUUAAAUAAUUUUAAUAUAUUUUUCUAAAUAUUCUCAUAGCACCUAAUCAAGUGCAAAAAAAUUAUGCGGCAGGAUUAAAGUGAGAAAAAGAUGAUAACAUAGACAAUAAAAGAGAGAGAGAGAGAGAGAGAAGAACAUAGAUGGCUCCUCCUACAUAUACAAAAAUUUAGUUUAGUAAUCCAUUGAUUUCUAAUGUAAGAAUGUAUUUUGUUAAAUUGUUGUCUCAUAUGCUUAUUGAUUUAUGUGAUCAUGUAAAUUAUACAGUUCAUUAGCAGAUCAGUAAUACUAGUGGUUAUUAUGCUCAAUUCCAUUUAAUAAGAUAUAUUUUGGGUUCAAGAUACGUCACAACCGAUAUCAUGCUGCGUUACAACCGAGUCAGCAAGGGGAGCACCCCCACAUGUCAAGUCAUAACCCAUUGGUAUGUCCCGUCCCGGAAGCUCGGAACGAUGCCCGCACAAAAGUAUCGUCUCAUCUCUCGAUGAUCGGUCACCACGUCAAACCCGUAUACAACCGACCCUCGUAUAAUAGUAUAAAAGCCCUCGGCCGCCAUUCGGCCAGUGAGGGGGAGAGGGAGAGGAAAAAGAAGAGAAAUACAACUACUGACUUGCUCGUCGGAGGGGCCAAAGUUGGGAAUUACUCGACGAAUGUCAUUUUUGCAGGAAAGUGACCACCCUUGAGUCGCGAGUGUCUCAACCUGGGAAUUAUCAUCUAGUGUACGAAGGUGAGCUACCGAUCAGCCUAGAGACGGAGAGACACUGCUCAACACGGACGACGCACAAAUCGAGGAACGCCGAUCAACACCCCGUCGCGAGGGCCCGACCUACCUCGACAUCCAAUUCAACUGAUAAAAAACUCCGACAUCGACCCGUGGACCAAGCCAUGCCGACUAAUCAACCACACCACAUUUGUUGACCAACAGCAUCUACAUCCAUUUCUAAUUUAAUUCCAAAGAGAUUGAAAGUAUGCAAUUGGUUGUUAUAUUUCAUAUUUAAAAUUGAUUUGAUUCCAUAUAAACUGAUCAAUCAAUCGAAUCAAAAAGGGAUUUUUGAUAAAUCGAUACCAACCAAAUCAGUUCAAGAUCGAUUUAUAAUUAUAUACAAUAAAGUUAGAAGGAAAAUAUAAUAUGAAAAUAAUAUAUAUAUAUAUAUAUGAAUAAUUUUCUCAAUAUUAUCAAUGAUACUUUUAAGCAUCCAAGUCACUACUAAAAUGUGCACAAGAGUAGCCCAAAGCACAAAUUAAUGAGAGAAAUCUUGUUAGCCUAGAAAAGAUGAGAGACUUGUCAAGAACAUAACUUUUGCUAAAUUUAUUGGAUUUUAAGCUCAAAAAGUAAUCAAAGCAUCCUCCAAAAUAUAGUAAAAAUAUUAAAAUAUUUAAAAAGAAAAAAAAAUCUCUCCCUAAAAUUGAAAGAAUAAUUUAUUUUCUCUCCUAACCUGACUAGCUAAUUUAAUAUGGGAAGAAAGGGUCGAGAGGAGGAGGAGGAGGAGGCAGCGGCGGCCUCGAGCUGACGGUCAGAAGGCGAAGCAGCACGUCUAGUGGGAGAGGAGGGGCGGCGAUGGGUUUCCCGAUGAGUUUCUCACGCCAACACCCAAAGCUUCACAGUAGAAACAGUAGGGAACAUUGGUUUUAUCUUUUACCUUUUUUUGCCUUACGGAGUUGUUGCCGUGCCAUUUCUACGUCUCUCUGAGCUCACCUGCGCAGACCCUUCUCCGCACCAACCUCGGGGAUUCAGUCCAAGCCAUGGCAUCAACGUGGUCAAUAGGGGAACUGUUGGCCCCCUCUGGCCAUUUCUUUCUCCUCUUUGAAGCAGUGAGCUACUGAGAAGCACCGGCAUCCGCACGUACGCUGUCGUCUUGGCUCGUCCUGGAGCUUACGGCUUAUUCUGCUCUUUACGCAAGAAAGUUCAUCGGAAUCUUCUUUGGCUCGGUAGAAGCUAUGAGUUGUGGAUGUCCGGUAACGAUCUAAUUCUUUAUCGCACUUUCCCCGAACCAAACCUCCGCUUAAAUGACGGCUAUAGAGGCAGCGGUGGCAAGGAAACGUUGCAGAAGGCGACCGCAGAAGAGGAGGACGAGAAGGAGAGCAGAGGUGAGAGAAGAAAGGAGGAUGCGUAGCUCGGUGCAGGGAGGCGACGACGCCAGCGAGGCCAGCGCGGCCUUGGCUAACUGCUGGUGGCGCUCCCUCAUUGAGUUCGACGGCGACAGCGAAGGCGGGAGGACGGAGGCCGCCGCGGGAUCCAGGGGCGCGGUUGCCUCGCCUCGGGUGCGGGUCCUGAGGGAGCUCGAGCGGCUCGCGGCGGCAGCCAACGUGUCCCUCGACGACAUCCGGCACAAGCUGCUGACGUACAAUGCUGGCGACCUCUGGCUCCCUGCCGGUGGGAUUCCCAAGCACGAGACGGACAUCCCCCCUGUCAUCACCAUCCUGCUGCUCGGGCUUGCCGGCACCGGCAAGACCGCGCUGGUGGAUCUCAUGUACUGCGUUCUCGGCCGCGCCGGAUUCCUGCCUUUCGCUCAGAGCAUCCCUCUCGCUGGUAGUUGUUUCUUCCUGUAGAAAGACCUCAAAGAUCCGAUCUUUCUGCUUCGUCUUGCAUCGUUCUCUGCAAAAGUUUCGAUCUUUAUUGCCUUCUUCUCGAGUGCUUCCUUGAUGAGCUUCGACUUUUCUUGCCAAGCAUCGGUUCCAGUUGUUGUCAGCCUGGAUAGUCUUCGCUCGUUUGGUUCUCUUUUCGGAGAGAUCACUCGUUUGUCGAUAGAUUUCUUUCCCUUACGGGUUGUAGUUUGUUUUCACUGAUCCGAGGAUGGGAUUUCGCAGGCAACGACGGGCGGACGCAGUGCCUGGAGGAGCACAACGUGCUGCGGUCUAUGCGGAGCGGGUUCUGCAUCUUCGACUCCCGCGGCCUCGACUGCGACCGGAUGGCCGACGGCCUUGAGGAGGUGGCGGAGUGGAUGAACGAGGGCGUCCGCCACGGCCAGCCCUGCCGCGGCGCAAACCCCCCCGACGCCCCUGCUCCCGCCUCCGCGCCCCCCGCUACGCGCUUCCUCCGCCGACGGGUCAACUGCCCCGUCGUGGUGGCCAACCUCUACGAGCUCCACCACUCCCUCCUCUCCGGCGACCCCCGCCCCCUCGAAGCCACCCGCGACCUCUUCCACUACCCUCCCAUCAAGAUCAGCCCCAGUAAGUCUCACCACAACACCCGACCUCGUCCUCUAAUCCCGCCGAAGCAUUUCAUCGAACACUCAUUUUUGUCUGAACAGCCGACAGCCCCAUCCUGGUGCUGACGCACGGCGACGAGCUAUCGCCGGAGGAGAGGAUCCAGGCGCGGGUGAAGACGUGCGAGUACCUGGGCGUGUCGGAGACGAACGGAGUCUACGACAUAUCGUGCCUCAACGAGUACGGGACGGCGGUGGACGAGAUGGACCCGGCGACGUCCUACGCCGUCGCGGAGGCCAUCUUCCGGGCCCUGGUGGUGGCGGACAGGACACACCCGGCCAAGGCCAGCAUCAAGGAGUGGCUACUGGUGGUGAUCACGUGGGCAAUGUGCGCCCUCUCGACCUUCUUUGCCUUCCUCUCUUGCUGCUGCUCGAAGCUUGCCAAGGCCAACAGAGAGUACACCAAGUUGAGGACGCAGUGAGGAGGAUGAUCUCUUGGUUCUGCUACUGUAUCUAUGGAUGGUGGUGCGAAGCAGUGUUGAUAUUGCAAUGAUGGACGACUUCUCAUCAGAUUAGCAGCUGACUUUUCCUUGGACUAACAUGGUUCUUUGUUCUUUGUUGGUGGAUUUGUGGCAUUGCAAUAUCAACACUGGGUUAUGAUGCUUGUUUGGUAUAUUUUAUGAUGUUAUAUUAAUAAAAUGAGCUAUAUGAUACUCCAUCAUAGAAUCAAUAUAAUGCAUCGAGUAAAUAUUUCUCAAUAGAAAACAACAUUUUUUUUAGGUAGAUCAUUUACUCAAUAGAAAACAUCAUUUUUUUUUAGGUAGAUCACUAAGAAAGUUUAAACACUAAAUAUAUAAAUAUUUUUUUUAUUGAAUUAUCAAUAACAAUUAUGAAAAAAUAUUUUAAGAAAAAUAAUAUUCAUAUUUUUCUUACUCUUCAUAAAAAUAUAAUUUUGGAAUCACAUCUUCAUUAAUCUAUUAACUAGAUGCACAAUACUUCAUUAAUAUCAAAGUUGGAUCAACUAUCUCUAUAAAAAAAAAAUAAUUUAUCGAUGUGUUAUAAAAUAUAUCGAUUGAAAUGAACACUGUUCUUGAAUCCUACCUUCAUUAUUUAUUUUUUUACAAAAAAAAAAAUCAUACUUUUUACCUCAACCACCUUUGGUUUUCGAAUUUUAUAAUUAUUUUUAAUUUUCUUUUUAUUUAUAUACUAUGCUAUUAUUUUAGGUUAGCAAAUGACAAUUUAUUUUUUCUUUAUUUUUAAGCUUACAAUAAGCACACGUAUCUUGUAGUUGAACCUGCGCCGUCAGAUCUCGAUCAGACGUCAGCCUUGCGCGUAGCUCAAUUCAAGUGUUUUACCCAUUUCCGUCGUAGUUUCACUUCUCAGGAGCAGGGAUCAGCUACAUCAAACCAAACAGCAAACGACCGUGUAUCAUGCACAUUCUUGCUCUGGGUCCCACUCAAUUCUCCUCCAAUUGGGCAGUCAGAACCCUCCACGUCGUGAAAAGCGAGUCGUUGCUGCUCGACGUCAAACGGCGGAUCCACGCUUCUUCUCACAUCCGCCUAGUCCGUUGAUGCGGUAAGGUGUACCCUCACGGGGAAUUAAAUAAGCCGGUCGUUUUUUCUCCCCGUACUCUCAUUGGCUUCGGCCGGAUGCCUUAUGCGGUGACACCUCAGCUUAUUAUAUUACUCCACGGCGUAUUUUUUAACGAUAAAUAAUUCAUUUUUUUUUUGGCCUCUCUCCCUCUAUUGUUUUCUGUUUCCCUCCACUCUCUUCACUCUCAGGAGUUCUCCGCCUCUCUCUCACACCGUUCCCCCACUAUAUAUAUAGAGAGAGAGGAGAUGCGUGAAAGCGGAGGCCAUUACCAAUCACAGUGAAUCAGGGCAUGAUGGAUCGAAGUGACAUGGUAAGGCUGGUUGUGCUUCUGUUCUUGUUGUGUCGUGGUCUUGCUCGCUCUUCAUGUUUGGUGAUUCAUGCGAUUGUUUGCGGUGGUGUGCUGUUUCUUGCUUCGAUUCCAUCUGCAGGCUUCGUGUGAUGCAAAUCCGAGGAGCAGCGAUAGCCAGAUCAAGAGCUGUACGGAUUGCCGAGCCACAAAAACCCCUCUCUGGCGAGCUGGCCCUACUGGCCCCAAGGUACUAUCCCUGAGUCGUUUCGGUCUUUGAUUGGCGAUCGGAUUUGCCGCUUGUUUCGUUCGAGUUUUUUCGUUGUUGAUCUGAUGAUCUGUGCGAUGGCAGUCGCUCUGCAACGCGUGUGGGAUCCGGUACCGGAAGAAUGUAAAGGAAGCGGGAAUGAAAGUGAAGAAGGAGAAGAGAGAGAUCGGCGACGGAGGAGGCCGGAAGAGGUUUGGUGUGUAUCUUAAGAUGCAGAUGUCCGGGUUGGGUUUGUGGAAGCAGAUAUCCAUGAUUCGGAAACGGAGGAGAUGGAGGAGGAGGAGGAGAGAAGUACUUGGGGAAGAGGAGCAGGCCGCCGUCCUACUGAUGGCCCUCUCGUCUGGCUUGCGAUAGGAUUUGAGCCCCUAUAAGAUUAUCGCCACCCGAUUUCCUUUUCUUGGUGGAGAAACGGAGGUUUUCUCCCCGUUCUACUUUGUCAUGCUACCGGCAACUUGGUGAAGCAUCAGGUUGCCAUCUUAAUUAUCUUCUUGCCAUUUUACCUCGCCCUACCACGUUGAUUCAUCCAUGUAACUUCAUCAGUUCGUCCUCGAGCUAGGGAAGCUCGCUACCUCAAACUUCAUGAAUAAUAAUAUCUUCCAGGUUUUGCAUAUUUUUGCUGAUUAUUAAAAGCCACGAACAUAUCGGAAGCAAAAUUAGGUUUGGUAAUAUAAUCUUUGUACUGUGAAUGUUGAUUGAAGUAAAUUUUCUUCGAGUCUGUCUUGUUGUGUGCAAGAAUUUAAUUUGCCUUUUGGAAUGGUAUACCUUAGUCACUGAUCAGAUUUUGAGUUUUAUGAACUCUUUCAUUUGAAGGGAAAGGUUGCUUACAUUAUCCCAGACCGUGCAUUAAGGUGAGCUAGGUAUAUUUGGUCAUCUUUCUCUCAACUCAAGUAGUCAAUGUUGUGAACAAAUUACAUUAUCCCAGACCUUGCAUUAUAGUCUUUGUAUUAUGCUUGUUGAUGCAGGAAAACUUAUUUGUGUCCGUUUUGUUGUGAACAAGAAUUUGCUUUUGGAAUGUGGGUCAAGAAGUCAAUGAUCAGGUUUUCAGUUUUUUAAAUUCCUCUAUUUCAAGGUUAUUUGAUGCAAAGUAUACUUAUUGGCCAUUUCUUUUAUAAGCUUAAGUAUUCAAUGAUGUUGCAAGUCACACUCACUGAAGGGUCUCAAGAAGGUUUGUUGAUGAUUGUUGGAAAUGAACAAGCUGUGAAUGCUGUUUGUAAGCAUCUAAAAUAUGAAAAGAGGGUCCACAGGGCAGGAAAAAAUGGUCCCUUUCAUGUGGAUUGACUUUAAGUGGUUAGUAUGGUCUGGACUUGUCAGUUUGCUAUGGUCAUCAUCAUUGUUGGAAGCUGUCACUGCUGUUUGUGACAGGAAAACAUGUGUGAAAAAGAUCCAAGCAUUGUUGGAAGCUGUAGCUCGAUAAUUUUACUCACUGUGGUCAGUUUUAGCAAUUUGAGUCUUCUUCUAGACAAUUAUAGACUUCCGAUACUAGAUUGUUGUAGCUUGAUAAAUUGUGUGUUGCUAACAGUAGAUGUCCUUUGGAUAGUAUCAUGUUGAUAGAUGCUUGCUCCAGUGAGAAUCUCCAUGGGCUGCUACCUUGGUUGGUGAAGGCCAAGAAACCUUCAAAUUGCAGCGCUCAGUUCUAAGCUUUCAAUUGUUUAAUCUCCCUGCCUGCUUGUCCCUCUUGUCUUUUAUCUUGGCUUUCCCCUGCUUCACUUGUCCUGCCAUCAGACUUGUCAUUUUAUGAAGAAGGCAUCACUUUCCGGCACUCAUGGAACAUUCCAUUUUCUUCUCAUUUCUGUACUUUCUCUUAGACUAUUUUGAAUUAUACAUCAGAUACCAUCUUUUCUUUUGAAUCAUGAUAUGUUGUCUAAUCCUCUUCGUGCUCAAUUUUAGCAGAUAUGUUCGUGACUCAAAUCUUCAUCACUUGAAUCGCGAGGUGUGAAAUCUUGGCCACUUUUCAGAAAGUACAGAACAAAAGUUUAUUCAGAAACACAAGGUACGAAUAUUUAAGAAAGUACACUGCCAAUCAUGCAAGUUAGAUUUAUGUUGUUUGCUGAUAGGUGAAGAGUAAUAUGUCACACGUUAUAUCAUCACAUAGGACACGUGGUCGAUCGGCCGAUCAUUAAAAGUCAUGAUAAUCAUAUAUUACUGGUAUGUAACGAUUAGAUCAUGAGACACACAUAUCACAGAGCAAUAUGUGGUCGAGCGAUCGAUCAUUUGAAUCUCGUAAUUGACUUGACUAAUCUACGCGGGUGCAAGGGUCGACGGACAUCACGUGAUGUCUUCGUCCGAAGCGUCGCACACCCCCCUCUUGUUGUCGGUGACACUGGGCGUAACCGUUUCCGGAGUCACCUAUAAAAGGGAUCAAGUUGUACUCUCAAACAUAACUUUGUUUAAAAUUAACUUGAUUAUCGAAUGGGCAUUCGUUACCUCCCGAUUUAGUUUUGCAUAUUUGAUGUUCUACAAAUAGUAGUUUGAAUUGA
rnacentral:lncRNA from 1 species